CGUGAGUUCCACGUCCCGAGCGCCCUCCUCUGGAUCCAACCCGCCACCGUCCUCAAUAUAUACUACUACUACUUCAACGGCUACGGAGAUGAAAUUGCAGCAAACUCGAACGACGCCACGUGGCAAAUCCAAUUCCCGGGAAUUCCCGCCCUUAAUUUUUCCAAACGAGACCUUCCGUCGUUCAUACUUCCGUCGAGCUCCGACAAGCACAGCGUCGAACUUCCGAGUUUUAAGGAGCAGCUCGAAACACUAGACGCCGAGAAAACAAAACCCAAAGUGCUGGUCAACACCUUCGAGGCACUGGAGCCCCACGCGCUCAAAUCCAUCGACAACUACGAGCUAAUCGGAGUGGGGCCGUUGAUUCCUUCCGCCCCUUCAGACAAGUCAUUCCGCGGCGAUCUUUUCGAAAAAUCCGAUGACAACAGCGUAGAAUUAUGGCUCAACGCCAAGCCGGAAUCGUCGGUUGUUUACGUGUCUUUCGGCAGCAUUCUCAAGCUACCGAAAGCACAAAUGGAGGAGAUAGCGAAAGGGCUUUUAGAAUCCGAUAGGCCAUUUCUAUGGGUUAUACGAAUAAACGAGGAUAACAAGAAUGAAGAGGAGGAGGAGAAGUUGAGUUGUUUAGAUGAACUCGAAAAGAUAGGAAAGUUUGUACCUUGGUGUUCGCAGCUCGAGGUACUGACGCACGCUUCGGUUGGUUGCUUCGUGUCGCACUGCGGGUGGAAUUCGACUCUGGAGAGCUUGUCUAGCGGAGUUCCGGUGGUGGCUUUUCCUCAGUGGACCGAUCAAGGGACGAACGCGAAGUUGAUAGAAGAUGUGUGGAAGAGUGGGGUUAGAGUGAGAGGAGUUGGUGGAGAUGGGGUGGUGGAGAGUGGUGAGAUAAAUAGGUGCAUUGAGGAAGUGAUGGAUGGUGGCGAAAGGAGUCGGGAGUUGAGAGCGAAUGCUCGGGAAUGGAAGAGUUUGGCGAGGGAAGCUAUGGAUGAGAAUGGGAGUUCUUGUAAUAAUUUGAAGGCAUUUCUUGAGGAUAAUUGAGCUCCUUGUUUUAGGGUACAUUAAGUGUAUUUACUUUGCUAGAGAGGUUUUGUUUGUUGAAUUUUAAUUUUUGCUAAUUUAAGUGAGGGUUGAAGUUCUUCCUUUUAUUUUUUAUUUUCCCACCUUUUCUUGUUUCUUGUUUAACUUUGUGUGGGUAUGUUUAGUUUUUUUAAGUAUAUCAAAACUUGUAUUGUCUUUUGAAUAUAUUACACUUAGGGGUGAAAACGAUCGAGUCGAGUCGACUCGACUUGAACAACUGGUUGUGAUCAAGCUCCUGUGCAUUUAUAUCGAGUUUUGUGUUUGAGCUUGAUUUGGUAAGCAACCGAGGAACUCAACACACCCCCAAACUUGAACUUUUGUUUGUCCUCAAGCAAUACUACCAACUUGUAAAGCAACAAAAUUAAUAAAUGAGUCAUCUCAUCACAUAGAUUAAAAAUUUACAAGCUUAAAAUUGUCAUGGGACCUCUCAAAAAUUUACAAGCUUAAAAUUCAAUGAUAGUUAACUGAUCACCAUUGCCAAGAACCAAAAAUCAUGUUAUCGCUUCAAGCAUCUAAUAUCUGUAAUAUAAAAAUAGAGAAAAUUUAUACUUACAUAGUAAUAUUAGACUCCAAAGACUCACCGAAUUUCUCUACUCUCGAAUAAUUGAGCUAUUGGGAUCACUGGGACUUUUUGGCUUUCAAUUGUUGGGCUCUUUGGUGGGAGGUAGAAAAUAUGGGUAUAUAAGUGGCUACUCUUUUCCUUUCGAUUCUCAUUAUUGAAUAAAGAGUUGCACUGAGCAAGAUGCUUUUUUUUUCUUCUUAAAUCGAGGUGUUUUCACAGAGAUUUGAAGAUUUGGCUUUUUGGAAUAGCUUAUUCACCUCUAAUGACUUAUUAUCCUACUCGAUUCUCAAGAGUUCAAAAGUCUCCACUUUUUCUCUUGAGGUAUGGUUCGAGUUUUUAUUCGAAUAUUUGCGCAUGUCCUCCUUUUCCCUUCUAGUUCUCUUCUUCUUCGUUCUUUUUCUAAGAAAAAGGAAAACGUAACAAAUUUUCCAACCAAACUCCAAGGGAUUUUUUUCAAGAAUCUCCAUCUACUCUACCUUACACGCAUUGGCUAAAAGAAAGAACUCCUUUUCUUUGAGGCCCAAAUGAAGGUUCUAAAGAUAAUUUCGAUAAAAAUGUCGGCUUGAAAGGCUUAGAUGGUUCAAAUAAGGCCCAAAUCAUAUCCCAAAUCACUCAACGGCUCAAUACUUCACUUAGCAAAUUCCUAAGGUGUGUUCUAAAAUCGAACAUCAUAUGAUAUCAUAAAUUAACUCUACGUUUGAAAAACAAAAUUUUCAACAAAAGCAACACAUAAUUCAGGAUUCUCAAUAAUAACUCACUCCUAAAUUACUUUGAAUCGAAAGCUCGCCAAAAUUCAAGUAUAGCUACAACAAAGCAAGUAAUAUCAUCAUCAAACAUUGGCCAUCUUUCUUCAUCAUAAUUCAUCGAUGCAUUCAACUCAAACAUUAAUUUUAAAGAAAACAAUAAAUAUAUGAAAACGACUAAAAAGAAUAAAAAAUCAUAAAGCAUGCAAUCUAAAACAUAUAAAACACAUAAAAAGUGGUUUUCAAAAAUAUCCUAAAGCAUGCAAUCUAAAACAUAUAAAUCACAUAAAAAGUGUUUUUUCCAUCCCCAAACUUGAAGUUUUGCAUUGUCCUGAAUGUUAGCAUUUGUCAUAUCUAAACUGUUUUUGGUUCGAAUCCUAAUUGUAGGAUAAAUUUUUAAGUUUUUUUUAGUAACCAGAGGUUCAGAUUCUUUACUUUCAGCCAACCCGUUGGGCAACAACGGAGUGAUUGCAGCGGGCAAUCAAAAUUAGUUCAAUGUUAAAAACUGGUUACAAAUAAUCUUGUUUGACCUUUUAGGUAAAAAGUUUAUCCACACAGUGUCGGAAAUUGGUAAAAAUAAUAUUGAUGUGGUUGACAGUAAAUUACUGUCAACUAGAGUGAUAUUAUUACGUGGACUGGUCAACAAAGCAAACAAAAUAAAAAAGUCAAAAUAAAAUUACAAUAUUUAUGUGGUUGACAUUAAUAUUAUUGUGUUUACAAUAAUUUUACUGUCAACCGUAGUAAUAUUACCGUCGACGGUCAGUGCGGAAAAAAAAGGAUGAAAAAAAAAAUCAACACUGUCAGAGACUGGCAGCGGAAAGAAAAAAUAGAAAGUAAAAACAAUGCCAGCGCUAGUCUCCAACGAUGGAAAAAAAUCACAAAAAAGAAAGUUUGAAAAAAAGGUCGAAAUUUGAUUUUUGUUGUAAAAAAUGAUGAAAUUAGAGUUAAAUGAGAAUUACAAUUAGAAAUCGUGUUUAAAGGAUUUAUGGUAAUUUUAUCAUAAACAUUGAGUUUGGAUUUAUUUAUAAGGGAUUAUCUCACAAACCCACCUCAUAUAUAUGCAAUGUCCAAUUAAGAGAGGUCCAAUUUUUUUUUUUUCCUUUUUUAAGAUAAAUCCAAAAUAUUAUUUAAUUAAUCAUAAAUAAUUUAAUUAAUUAUUAUCAGUGUUCUAAAAAUCGGUCGAGGCGGCCGAUUAAUCGGUCGCCGAGGCGGGGGCGGUCCAAAACCUUUACGAUUUUGUAAAGGUUUCAAAAAUCGGUUUUUUGCCUGUGAGGCGGUUUGAGGCGGUCCGAGGCGGUCAAACCUUUAAGGCGGGUCAAACUUCGGUGGCAAAAAUCGACAAAAAAUCGGUCAAAAAUCGGUUUUUUUUUUUUUUUUUCUAAAUCAAAAUAAAAGUUGGGACUUUAAUAAAAAAAAAUAUGAAGUUAUGCUUUAUUUUGUUUAUGUUAAUUAUUAUUUUUAAAGAACUAAUAAUGUAUGCCAAGAAUGUAUGUAAAUUAAAAAACAAAAAGUCUUUUUAUUUAUAUUUUAUAAGGAUAUUUAUGUAUUAUGAUCUUAUUAUUAUUAUUAAUUUUUUAUUAUGUUAUUAGAAUAUAUACAUGAUGGAGAUAUAACUAUGUUUAAAUAUUUUUUUAUCUAUGUUUUGAGUAUUUAUAAAUAAUAUCUACAAAUAUAUUAAAUUAAAUUUUAAAAAUCGAUUUAUUUCCGAUUUAUCACCGAUUAAUCACCGCCGAACCAAUUAAUCGUGAGUCGGUCUCUGACCGCCUCCAACCCGAUUACCGCUUUUUACAAUCUUGAUUAUUAUACCAUUUACCUAACCCUAUAACUCACGUUGUUAUUCUUUUCUUUUUAACAGUAGCCGCCUCUCUUUCUCCACGUUAGUUGCGAUCUCUUCUCCAAAUCUCGGCCCUCUUCGCCGAGGGUGAGAGAUCCUGCUCCACCACCUCCCCAUCAUCACCGCCUCUGCCUGCCUCCUCGUCAUCCACCACAUCAGCCGUCGCCGCUCGUUCAUCUUCUAGGACCAGUUCACGUCGACGUACUCGUAGUUCCCCGAUGGAAUCCGGCCGCUUUUCUCCCACUUCGGUUUGCAGAUGCUUAUAAAAAAAAUCGUCAGAAAAUGUUAGAAUUUAGGUUUAAUAUAUAUUUAAUCUAAAAAUUCGAUACCUUAACCAAUUAAGAAAGAAGCUCACCGGCGUCCAAGCCACCGCUGCACAACCGAGCCAUCAGCCGCCGUUUAAAAUCCGGCGACGAGUAAUUGUCGCCACCGACGACUUCUGUCAACACCACCUCCACCUCAGCAUGCUGCUUCUGACGGCGUCGUUUUGGUCGCAAUUGAACAAUUUCUUCAGAGAAUCUUCGAGUUCGAAAUCCGGAGAGUUGUUUUGAUCUGAUUCGUCGCCGUCGUCAAACUGGUUCCCAUUCUCACCCCGAUCGAUGACGUCAUCGUCGGUUGUUGUAAUUUGCUCUCUGAUUUCCUUCUCGAAGAAGGAAUUGACGAGAUCGGUCGCAGAGGAAUGCUCGUUGCCGCUGCUCUCGUAUCACCUAACCCUAGCCAUCUCGUCGAAGGCCGCCGCCAUCCUUUUGAACCUCACCGGAAUAUUCACCAUUUUCCCCCGCCGAUUAAUUCCGAAUUUUUAAUUUCCUUCUUCCCUUUUUAGAAAAUAUCUUUAUCAUGGUCUGAGAUUUUAUUUUCUCCUAUUUUUCAUUAAAUUUAUUUUAAAUUCUUCAAAUUGAAAGAUGAAAUUGAUGAUGUCAGCCGUUUGGGUUUAGAGAGGUGGUGUUGUACAAAACAUAAGAACAUAGAUAUAUGCAUUAGUUUGGUCUUCUGUUGGAUUAUUGUAAUGAUUUAGUUUUUUUUUUUUUUUUUUUUUUUUUUUUAACGGCUGUUUUUUUUUUCUUUUAAUUUAGGUAAUGUUUUUGUUGUUGAUGAUUUUUUGACCGAAUUGCUGAUGUGAGGAAGAAGAUGGUGAUUUUUUUUCAAAUAGUGGUUUACGUUUCAAAUAACGAGAAGAAGAUGAUUACACGGACUAUGCUCUAGGGUUCAUUGGAGAGAAGAUGGUGUUCUUUAUAAUGGCUUUAUAGCUUCAUUUUCGCAUAUUUUUUUAUGGUUGCUUGUUAGAAUUCAUAGUGAUUUUCGAUGUUUAUAUAGUUGUGUAUAUAAAGUGGUUUUCAUGUUUAUAUAUGUGUUUUAUACAGAGUGGUUUUCAUGUUUAUAUAGUUGUUUAUACGAAGUGGUUUUUAUAAUGCAGGCUUUGUCUUUGAUAAAUUUAUAGUGGUUUUCAACAACUUUUGUUCAGAUUUUAAUAUAAUUGUAUAUACAAAGUGGUUUUUAUGUUGACAUAGUUGUUCUACAGAGUUAUUUUAAAGUUUACAUAGUCGUUAUACAUAGUGAUUUUCAUGUUCUAUAGUUGUUAUAUAGAGUGGUUUUCAUGUUUAUAUAACUGUUUAUACAUGGUGGUUUUCAUGUUUAUACAGAGUAGUUUUUAUUUAAAAAAAUAGGAAAGAAAAAAAAACCAUUAUUAUAAAAAAUUGAAAUUAAGAAAAAAGAAAAAUCAUGAAAAAAUAAAAUAAGAAUAAAACCAUUUAUUUAAAUUAAAAUAAAAAACAUGAAAAUAUAAAUAAGAAAAAAAAAUUAAAAUAAAAAAUCGAAAAAAAAGAAAAAUAAAAAAAAUAAUUACAAAAUCUUCUUUUAAAUCAAAAUAAAGAAAAACAUUAAAAAAAAAUAAAAAAAAAAAGAAACGGAAAAAAAACUGAAUUGGCGUGAUGAGGGGAAUAAUUUAUGGAGAACAUUUGGGUGUAGAUUAUGGGUAUAAUUUUUUUAAUUAAAUAAUUAUACUAAUUAAUAGUUAGUGGGGCCAUAUAUGGUUUUUCAGGCCCAUUGGAUUUAUCUCAAAUAUCAUUUAUAAAUAAUGGGUAUUUACAAAUAAUCUCAUCAAUGGAUACUUAUUCAUAAAGAGAUGAAGACAAAAAACUCAUUUACAAAUAAAUCCACACAUGGUCCAGAUUUUUGUAAAAGACUAAAAUAGCCUAUCAUACUUCUUUAAUAUGCUCCAAUUUCAUCCUAAAUUUAAUUUAACCUCAAUUUGAACCCAAAUUUCACGUAUUGUUCAAUUUUGACCCAAAACUUUUUUAUUUUCAAAAAAAAAAUUUCCCGCUAGAUUCCGGCGUUAACUUUUAGAUUUUUUUUUCUUCCAGUUUUUUUCGCCGGUUUCUGGCGUUGACUUUUUUUUUUUUACCUGAUUUUUCCGCCACAGAUUUCCGGCGUUGACCGGCGGUCAACGCCUGUCUCCGGCGUUGACUUUUUCAUUUUUUUUUCUUUUUUUCUGUAACAUUUUUUUUUUCGUUUAAACAACAAUAUUGUUGUGAGUGAGUGUAAUAUUAACUAUAUUACUGUUAAACACAGUAAAAUUAACUAUACUACAGUUUAACACAGUAAUAUUGCUAUAUUAAUCUCUACCACAGUAAUAUUAACACAACAAAACUCAUUAUUAUUGUGUAAUAGAGUAAUAUUACUAUGUUGACCGUUCAACAAAUGCAAACAUUAUAAAAAGCCAAAAGAAUUAAUAUUACUGUGAGUGACCGUAAUGUUACUAUAACAACAGUAAUAUUACCGUCAACCACAGUAAUAUUACAAUAAUAGACAGUAAUAUUAUUACGUUACUCCAUGAAUAACUCAAACAAACAAAAAAAUCCAAACAAAAUAAUAAUAUUGAUGUGGUUGACAGCAAUAUUACUAUAACAACAGUACCGUCAACCACAAUAAUAUGAUUGUGUUUACAGUAAUAUUACAAUAAUAUACAGUAAUAUUAUUACGUUACUCCGUGAAUAACUCAGACAAAACAAAAAACCCAAAAAAUAAUAAUAUUGAUGUUGUUGACAGUAAUAUUAUUGUGUUUACAUUUAUUUUACUGUCAACGACAGUAAUAUAACUACGUUGACUUGUCAACAAAUCAAACAAAAUAAAAAUGAAUAACGGGAAAUAAAAAAUAAUAAUAUUACGUUAAAUUACUGUCGCAGAACAAUUACAUAAAUGUAUUGUCAACGACAGUACAAUUACGUUAAUUAACUCUCAUUAGCAGUAUAAUUACAUUAAUUUACUGUCAGUGACAACACAAUACGGUCAACGUUUAGCGGAGGACGUAAAAAAGAAAAUAAAACUAAAAAAAACACUAAAAAAAGUUUACGCCGGAAUCCGGCGGCGGAAAAAAAAAGUCAACGCCGAAAACCGGCGAAAAAAUCCGGAAGAAAAAAAAAUAAUAAAAAAAGAAUAUCUAAAAGUCAACGCUGGAAUCCGGCGGCAAAAAUUUUUAUUUUGAAAAAAAAAGAUUUUUGAAAAAAAAUAAAGUCAAAAUUAGAUUUUUGUGAUCAAGUACUAGAUUGUUUGUGCUUUUGUAUCAUAAUAAAUUAAGUAAUAAUUAUUUAUAUAGCAUAAUAACAAUAGAAACGUUUAGUUAUCAUAAUAACAUUAAUUUCAACAGUAACAUUAAUUUCUUAAUAAUUUUAAUUUCGCAUUAACACUAAAUGUUUUUUACAGUUUCGUUUUUAUUUUUCUAUGUUUCACUGUAACAUUAUUUUUUGUACAACUUUUUUCCCCUCCUUCCGCUAAUGUAAGGCUCAGUUUGGAUUGGAGGAUUUCAAACGAAUGGAUUUCAAAUCCCCUGAACUUGAAAUACCUUGUAUUCGAAAUCCAUACAAUUUAAAAUCAGUUGUUUGGAUCAUUUAUACGAAGGAUUUCAAAUAAAUUUACUGUUUGGCUUAAGAUUAGUGGAUUAAAAUUAUUUAAUUAUUUUUACAAACAUUUUCGUAUAAUACAAAUGUGAUGUUGCAAGUAUUGAUUUUCUGAGAAACGCCUGCAAGUUUCAUUAAAUAAUAACACUACCUAAAAAUAGAAAUAAUAUAUAGAUGAUCCAAACGUACAAAUGAAUUGUCUACUUACAGUUUCUACCAGAGCGUACAAAAUGUUGUUGCAAUAGUGCUAUUUGUUUUAUCAUGACAAAGAAUAUGCAAGAAAAGUGUCACAAUUUCUUUUACCGUCACAUUCUUUGUUUAUACCAAUCCAUUAGGCAUUCUAUUAUUUACCCGUAAUUGCUGCAAGCAUGUUGGAUCAUGACAUCAAGAUCUCAUUCAAAGUUUUGUUUUUUAAACUCUUUCGUCAUUUUCACUCAAUAAUAAGUGUUUCGAUAAGUACUUGCCAUGAUGCAAAGCUCCAAUAAUACCAAUUAAAUAGCUGAACAAAGACGUAAUAAUUUUUAUCUUUCUUCAUAUUUUUCUAUUUCCCCUCUUGAACGUUUUCAAUGAACAAUAUCCAUUUAAUCAACAUCCAAAUUUGCUGCAAUUAUUUAGUUAAACAUACAAGUAAUUUAAACUAAGACCUUCUUAGACACAUAAUGAAAUUAACUAUCAAAUAGGGCUGAAUGGGACCUUAACCAAAGAAAAUUGAGAAAUAGGGUUGAUGCUAUAGUUUGACAUUAGGCUUCAAAUCAUGCACUACAAUAGCAUGAAAUCACCAAAUGCACCAUUUAUUUUUUUGUGAAAUUUUAAAAAACAAGAACAAGACAUAUAAAAAUUUACAUAAACAAAUUAAAUAUGAAAACAGAGAAGUGAACUUACCAGUUUUUUGUCGAAAAAACUUCAGUUGCGCCGAAGUUGAGGACCGCCGUCGAGCGCCGCCAUUGAAGACAAAUAUUCCCGAGCUAUAGAAGGUUGAUGAUUGAAGACGAGAGAAAUCCAUAUGGGUCCAUUUGAUGGAAAUGAAUAAGCUAGAUUCGUUAAUCAAGUUCAAAGUAUUGAAGGUUCUAGAAUUAUCUAGAAUUCAUGAAUGUGGAAGAAUACAUGAAUUUGUCUUUCGGAGAGAUUCAUGUAUAAUGCUAUGGAGGAAGAAUAUUAUUAAUUAUGUCCUCAUUUAUUUAUUUAGAUACAUGUUAGGAAAAUCCGAUAAAUAUUCUAUCUAGUUUUUUAUUUGGAGUAUAUCAAAAACAAGAAGAAAUAUUCUAGAGAAAAAAAGAGAGUUCUUGAGUAAGUUUGUAUAUUUGUGAUGAUUGAGUGAGUAAUAUAUUUUUCUCUCCUCUCCACUACUCCUCCACUCUAUUUUAAGUUAUUCCGCUGCGUAUUUAUCACUCAAUAUUUUAAAUCAAUCCAACAAAGUGGCAUCUGAGCCACAUCUUAAUAGAAAAGAGCGAUGGCAACAAGUGGAGCUUUCCCAUUUCAAAAGCUUGCAAAAGAGAACUAUGAUCGAUGGAGCAUACAAAUGAAUUUUUUUCUUGGUGGACAAGACGUUUGGGAAGCCGUUGAAGAAGAAUAUGUUGAGCUGGAGAAUUUGGCUUUGGGAAGCCAAGCCCAAAGGAAGACAUCAAAGAAGCCAAUGUGAAAGAUCAAAUAGCGCAGUUCAUAAUCCAACUCGGUGUAGACAAUAGUAACUUUGAUAAAAUUUCUCAAGCUACUACGGCAAAGCAAGCGUGGGAUAUUCUUAGCGAUGCUUUGAAAGGCAUUGAUAAGGUGAAGAAGGUACAAAUCCAAUCAUUUCGUGGAGAGUUCGAGUCUUUGAAGAUGAAAGACUCCGAAGAAGUUUCCUACUACGUCUCUAGGGUGGUUUUGAUCGUUAACCAACUUGAGAGAAAUGGUGAAAUAAUGGAAGAGAGAAGAGUGGUUGAAAAAUACUCCGAUCCCUUGACCCUAAGUUCGACUACAUCGUCGUGGAAAUUGAAGAGUCAAACGACGUUGAGAAUCUUAAAGUGAACGAUAUAUUUGGCAAGUUACAAGUCCAUGAGGAGAAGAUCAAGAGGCGAAACAAAGAGCCCAAAGUAGAAUAAGCCCUUCAAAAAGGACGAACCUUGGCGACGAACCAAAAUACGAUGGUGCUCAAUUUCGUGGCAGAGGUAGUGGCCGUGGUCGUGGAUGCGGUCGUGGUCAUGGUAGAGGUCGUGAAGGAGAAUUCUCGUACAACAAUGAUAAUACUAAGCAAUAGAAUCGACCAAAAAGACGUCGUGGAAGAGGAGGAUUCAAUCGGCGCCAAGAUAAGAAAGAUGUCGAAUAUUACAGUUGUCACAAAUACGGACACUAUGCUUGGGAGUGUCGAAAUGAGUCAAAUGAUGAAAAGACUCAUUAUGUUGAAGCAACGGAAAAACUCCCAUGGAAGGAGGAAGAAGAUUACCCAAAGCUUUGUUUUAGUUAAUUUCGUAUUUGGACAAGUAAUUGAGUUCAAAUGAGUCCUUGAAACUUUCAAUUUACAUCCCAUGUGAUAUUUUUAUGUGAAAACACGAAAAAAACCCAUUUAUUUUAUCAUGUGUUUCAUGUUUGCGCCUGAAUUUGUGAAGAUUCGCCAUAAUAUUUGCCCUAAGUGGUUAAGUGAAGCAAAAUAACGAAUUUGGGUGUGCAUGUGCAAUUAUUUUUAUUAAGGUGACAAAGUGCAAAAACAGGUAAAGGAUAGGUGGCAAAAUGCUAUUAAACCAAAAAUUUUCAUCUAAUUAUGCUUACACAAAUUGAAGUUCCAUUUGAAAAAAAAACAAAUAGAGCUACAACUUUCGUGUUUGGCGUAUUCGAAGAUAUAAAGUUUAUGGUACAUACAGUUGCAUAUUAUGCUCAAAAUUGUGCCUGGAUUAUGAAUUUCACUACUUACAUAGUUUCGUAUUUCUACCAUAACUAUCUCGUCUAAAGUCCAAGUGCCUUAAUACAAAACGUAUUCAAAAGCCAAAAUAAUAAACCUUCACGAAAUGAAUCAGCAUGGAUUUGGGUUUGCUUUUUACAAAUUUGCAACGCAGCGAAAAGUGCAGGUCAUGUACUUUUGUAAAAGAAAUGAGGGAACACAAAUUUUAUUCAUAAGAUUGUAAGUUAUAACACAACAACAUUCAUGAAUCCCUCAAAUCAUAAAUAAAUAAAAAUAUUCACGAAUCAAAUAUUUUAUUUUCCAAUUCUUGCAAGACAUGUACAUGUCCAGUAGGGCUCCAGCGGAGGGUUCGGAGCACGGCAAUGUCCUCCGGGGCAACGAUAGGGCCCACAAGACACUUUGUUACACGCAAAAGUACAAACUUCUCCGAUGCAUGGUUCCAUUUUGAAAAUUGGUUCACCAUUACAACUUGUACUACACAUUAUUGAAAUCAAACCAUAGACAAGAAAAAGAAUUAAUAGUUGCUUCCUCAUUGCUUCCAUUUUGUAGCAGAGUGUUCAAUAUUAUAACUGUCAUAAUUUGUGCCUUUUUAUAGGGAGAAAAUAUGUAAUGAUUUAAUAAAAUUUCAAUUUUAAUAUUGCUUGGAUUGAAGGUAUAAUAUUGCAGUUACAUGAUACACAAAUAAAAAAUUAGGUAGGGAUUACUUGAAUUGCAUAAAGAAACCAGAAUUCAAACAAAGAUGUAUGCAAUAAUAUAUAUAUUUUCUCCAGAUAUAAAUAUAAGUUACAAAAUCAACGACAAAAGUAAUAAUUAAAUAUAAAUUACUGUAAUAAAAAAAAGGCACUUUACAAAUAAGUCCAUCAAUGAGUACUUAUUCAUAAAGAUAUCAAGACAAUAAACUUUUUUACAAAAAAGUCCACACAUGGUCUAGAGGUUUGUAAAAGACUAAAAUAGCUCCUCAUACAUUUAUAUGCUCUAAUUUCAUCCUUUAAUUUAAUCUAACCUCAAUUUGACCUCAAAUUUCACAAAUUAUUCAAUUUUGACCCAAAAUACAUUUUUAUGGACAAUUUCGUCUGUCACCGCCGUUGACCACCGGUCUCCGACGUUGACUUUUUUUUUCUUCCAGAUUUUUUCGCCGGUUUCCGCGUUGUUUGUUUUUUUCUUGUGGUAACAUCUUUUUUUUUCGUUUAAACAACAAUAUUGCUAUGAUUGAUAGUAAUAUUAACUAUAUUCCUGUUAAACACAGUAAAAUUAACUAUACUACAGUUUAACACAGUAAUAUUGCUAUAUUAAUCUCUAGCAUAGUAAUAUUAACACAACAAAACUCAUUAUUAUUGUGUAAUAGAGUAAUAUUAAUAUGUUGAUUGUUCAACAAAUGUAAGCAUAAUAAAAAGCCAAAAGAAUUAAUAUUACUGUGAGUUACAGUAAUAUUUCUAUAACAACAGUAAUAUUACCGUAAACCACAGUAAUAUUACAAUAAAUAGACAGUAAUAUUAUUAGGUUACUCCCUGAAUAACUCAAACAAAACAAAAAAAAAUUAUAAUAUUGAAGUGGUUGACAGUAAUAUUAAUAACAACAUUAAUAUUACCGUCAACCACAAAAAUAUUAUUAGGUUACUACGUGAAUAACUCUAACAAAACAAAACAAAAAAACCCUGUGGUUGACAGUAAUAUUAUUGUGUUUACAGUUAUUUUACUGUCAAAGACAAUAAUAUAAUUACGUUGACUUGUCAACAAGUCAAACAAAAUAAAACAAAAAUAACAAAAAUAAAUAAAUAAUAAUAUUGUUAUUGACUCUAAUUGUACUGUCAAUUAAAUUAUUUAUGAUUAAUUAAAUAAUAUUUUGGAUUUAUCUUAAAAAAUGAAAAAAAAAAAUUGGACCUCUCUUAAUUGGACAAUGCAUAUGAGGGGGGUUUGUGAAAUAAUCCCUUAUAAAUAAAUCAAAACUUAAUGUUUAUGAUAAAAUUAGCAUAAAUCCUUUAAACACAAUUUUCAAUUAUAAUUCUAAUUUAACUCUAAUUUCAUCAUUUUUUACAGCAAAAAAAUAUAAUUUUGACCUUUUUUUAAAACUUUCUUUUUUGUGAUUUUUUUUCCAUCGUUAGAGACUUGGCGCUGGCAUUGUUUUUACUUUCUAUUUUAUCUUUCCGCUGCCAGUCUCUUUCAGUGUUGAUUUUUUUUUGCAUCUUUUUUUUAACGCCGCUCACCGUCGCGGUAAUAUUACUAUGGUUGACAGUAAAAUUAUUGUAAACACAAUAGUAUUAAUGUCAACCACAUAAAUAUUGUAAUUUUGUUUUGACUUUUUUAUUUUGUUUGUUUUUUUGACUUGUCCAUGUAAUAAUAUCACUCUGGUUGACAGUAAUAUUACUGUCAACCACAUGAAUAUUAUUUUUACCAAUUUCCGACACUGUGUGUAUAAACUUGUUACCUAAAAGGUCAAACAAGAUUAUUAGUAACGAGUUUUUAACAUUGAACUAAUUUUGAUUGCGCGCUGCAAUCACAUCGUUGCUGCCCAACGGGUUGGCUGAAAGUAAAGAAUCUAAACCUCUAGUUACUAAAAAAAACUUAAAAAUUUAUCCUACAAUUAGGAUUCGAAUAAAAAAACAGUCUAGAUAUGACAAAUGCUAUGCUAGUACUUAGAUUGUUGGUGCCUUUGUGUCAUAAUAAAUGAAGUAUAAUUAUUUAUAUAGCAUAAUAAGAAUAGAAACGUUUAGUUAUCAUAAUAACAUUAAUUUCAACAGUAACAUUAAUUUCUUACUAAUUUUAAUUUCGCAUUAACACUAAAUGUUUUUUACAGUUUUGUUUUUAUUUUUCUAUGUUUCAAUGUAACAUUAAUUUUUGUACAACUUUUUUCCUCUCCUUCCACUAAUGUAAGGCUCAGUUUGGAUUGGAGGAUUUCUAAUGAAUGGAUUUCAAAUCCUCUGGCCUUGAAAUACCUUGUAUUCGAAAUCCAUACAAUUUAAAAUCAGUUGUUUAGAUCAUUUAUACGAAGGAUUUCAAAUAAAUUUACUGUUUGGCUUAAGAUUAGUGGAUUAAAAUUAUUUAAUUAUUUUUACAAACAUUUUCGUAUAAUACAAAUGUGAUGUUGCAAGUAUUGAUUUUCUGAGAAACGCCUGCAAGUUUCAUUAAAUAAUAACACUACCUAAAAAUAGAAAUAAUAUAUAGAUGAUCCAAACGUACAAAUGAAUUGUCUACUUACAGUUUCUACCAGAGCGUACAAAAUGUUGUUGCAAUAGUGCUAUUUGUUUUAUCAUGACAAAGAAUAUGCAAGAAAAGUGUCACAAUUUCUUUUACCGUCACAUUCUUUGUUUAUACCAAUCCAUUAGGCAUUCUAUUAUUUACCCGUAAUUGCUGCAAGCAUGUUGGAUCAUGACAUCAAGAUCUCAUUCAAAGUUUUGUUUUUUAAACUCUUUCGUCAUUUUCACUCAAUAAUAAGUGUUUCGAUAAGUACUUGCCAUGAUGCAAAGCUCCAAUAAUACCAAUUAAAUAGCUGAACAAAGACGUAAUAAUUUUUAUCUUUCUUCAUAUUUUUCUAUUUCCCCUCUUGAACGUUUUCAAUGAACAAUAUCCAUUUAAUCAACAUCCAAAUUUGCUGCAAUUAUUUAGUUAAACAUACAAGUAAUUUAAACUAAGACCUUCUUAGACACAUAAUGAAAUUAACUAUCAAAUAGGGCUGAAUGGGACCUUAACCAAAGAAAAUUGAGAAAUAGGGUUGAUGCUAUAGUUUGACAUUAGGCUUCAAAUCAUGCACUACAAUAGCAUGAAAUCACCAAAUGCACCAUUUAUUUUUUUGUGAAAUUUUAAAAAACAAGAACAAGACAUAUAAAAAUUUACAUAAACAAAUUAAAUAUGAAAACAGAGAAGUGAACUUACCAGUUUUUUGUCGAAAAAACUUCAGUUGCGCCGAAGUUGAGGACCGCCGUCGAGCGCCGCCAUUGAAGACAAAUAUUCCCGAGCUAUAGAAGGUUGAUGAUUGAAGACGAGAGAAAUCCAUAUGGGUUCAUUUGAUGGAAAUGAAUAAGCUAGAUUCGUUAAUCAAGUUCAAAGUAUUGAAGGUUCUAGAAUUAUCUAGAAUUCAUGAAUGUGGAAGAAUACAUGAAUUUGUCUUUCGGAGAGAUUCAUGUAUAAUGCUAUGGAGGAAGAAUAUUAUUAAUUAUGUCCUCAUUUAUUUAUUUAGAUACAUGUUAGGAAAAUCCUAUAAAUAUUCUAUCUAGUUUUUUAUUUGGAGUAUAUCAAAAACAAGAAGAAAUAUUCUAGAGAAAAAAAGAGAGUUCUUGAGUAAGUUUGUAUAUUUGUGAUGAUUGAGUGAGUAAUAUAUUUUUCUCUCCUCUCCACUACUCCUCCACUCUAUUUUAAGUUAUUCCGCUGCGUAUUUAUCACUCAAUAUUUUAAAUCAAUCCAACAAAGUGGCAUCUGAGCCACAUCUUAAUAGAAAAGAGCGAUGGCAACAAGUGGAGCUUUCCCAUUUCAAAAGCUUGCAAAAGAGAACUAUGAUCGAUGGAGCAUACAAAUGAAUUUUUUUCUUGGUGGACAAGACGUUUGGGAAGCCGUUGAAGAAGAAUAUGUUGAGCUGGAGAAUUUGGCUUUGGGAAGCCAAGCCCAAAGGAAGACAUCAAAGAAGCCAAUGUGAAAGAUCAAAGAGCGCAGUUCAUAAUCCAACUCGGUGUAGACAAUAGUAACUUUGAUAAAAUUUCUCAAGCUACUACGGCAAAGCAAGCGUGGGAUAUUCUUAGCGAUGCUUUGAAAGGCAUUGAUAAGGUGAAGAAGGUACAAAUCCAAUCAUUUCGUGGAGAGUUCGAGUCUUUGAAGAUGAAAGACUCCGAAGAAGUUUCCUACUACGUCUCUAGGGUGGUUUUGAUCGUUAACCAACUUGAGAGAAAUGGUGAAAUAAUGGAAGAGAGAAGAGUGGUUGAAAAAUACUCCGAUCCCUUGACCCUAAGUUCGACUACAUCGUCGUGGAAAUUGAAGAGUCAAACGACGUUGAGAAUCUUAAAGUGAACGAUAUAUUUGGCAAGUUACAAGUCCAUGAGGAGAAGAUCAAGAGGCGAAACAAAGAGCCCAAAGUAGAAUAAGCCCUUCAAAAAGGACGAACCUUGGCGACGAACCAAAAUACGAUGGUGCUCAAUUUCGUGGCAGAGGUAGUGGCCGUGGUCGUGGAUGCGGUCGUGGUCAUGGUAGAGGUCGUGAAGGAGAAUUCUCGUACAACAAUGAUAAUACUAAGCAAUAGAAUCGACCAAAAAGACGUCGUGGAAGAGGAGGAUUCAAUCGGCGCCAAGAUAAGAAAGAUGUCGAAUAUUACAGUUGUCACAAAUACGGACACUAUGCUUGGGAGUGUCGAAAUGAGUCAAAUGAUGAAAAGACUCAUUAUGUUGAAGCAACGGAAAAACUCCCAUGGAAGGAGGAAGAAGAUUACCCAAAGCUUUGUUUUAGUUAAUUUCGUAUUUGGACAAGUAAUUGAGUUCAAAUGAGUCCUUGAAACUUUCAAUUUACAUCCCAUGUGAUAUUUUUAUGUGAAAACACGAAAAAAACCCAUUUAUUUUAUCAUGUGUUUCAUGUUUGCGCCUGAAUUUGUGAAGAUUCGCCAUAAUAUUUGCCCUAAGUGGUUAAGUGAAGCAAAAUAACGAAUUUGGGUGUGCAUGUGCAAUUAUUUUUAUUAAGGUGACAAAGUGCAAAAACAGGUAAAGGAUAGGUGGCAAAAUGCUAUUAAACCAAAAAUUUUCAUCUAAUUAUGCUUACACAAAUUGAAGUUCCAUUUGAAAAAAAAACAAAUAGAGCUACAACUUUCGUGUUUGGCGUAUUCGAAGAUAUAAAGUUUAUGGUACAUACAGUUGCAUAUUAUGCUCAAAAUUGUGCCUGGAUUAUGAAUUUCACUACUUACAUAGUUUCGUAUUUCUACCAUAACUAUCUCGUCUAAAGUCCAAGUGCCUUAAUACAAAACGUAUUCAAAAGCCAAAAUAAUAAACCUUCACGAAAUGAAUCAGCAUGGAUUUGGGUUUGCUUUUUACAAAUUUGCAACGCAGCGAAAAGUGCAGGUCAUGUACUUUUGUAAAAGAAAUGAGGGAACACAAAUUUUAUUCAUAAGAUUGUAAGUUAUAACACAACAACAUUCAUGAAUCCCUCAAAUCAUAAAUAAAUAAAAAUAUUCACGAGUCAAAUAUUUUAUUUUCCAAUUCUUGCAAGACAUGUACAUGUCCAGUAGGGCUCCAGCGGAGGGUUCGGAGCACGGCAAUGUCCUCCGGGGCAACGAUAGGGCCCACAAGACACUUUGUUACACGCAAAAGUACAAACUUCUCCGAUGCAUGGUUCCAUUUUGAAAAUUGGUUCACCAUUACAACUUGUACUACACAUUAUUGAAAUCAAACCAUAGACAAGAAAAAGAAUUAAUAGUUGCUUCCUCAUUGCUUCCAUUUUGUAGCAGAGUGUUCAAUAUUAUAACUGUCAUAAUUUGUGCCUUUUUAUAGGGAGAAAAUAUGUAAUGAUUUAAUAAAAUUUCAAUUUUAAUAUUGCUUGGAUUGAAGGUAUAAUAUUGCAGUUACAUGAUACACAAAUAAAAAAUUAGGUAGGGAUUACUUGAAUUGCAUAAAGAAACCAGAAUUCAAACAAAGAUGUAUGCAAUAAUAUAUAUAUUUUCUCCAGAUAUAAAUAUAAGUUACAAAAUCAACGACAAAAGUAAUAAUUAAAUAUAAAUUACUGUAAUAAAAAAAAGGCACUUUACAAAUAAGUCCAUCAAUGAGUACUUAUUCAUAAAGAGAUCAAGACAAUAAACUUUUUUACAAAAAAGUCCACACAUGGUCUAGAGGUUUGUAAAAGACUAAAAUAGCUCCUCAUACAUUUAUAUGCUCUAAUUUCAUCCUUUAAUUUAAUCUAACCUCAAUUUGACCUCAAAUUUCACAAAUUAUUCAAUUUUGACCCAAAAUACAUUUUUAUGGACAAUUUCGUCUGUCACCGCCGUUGACCACCGAUCUCCGACGUUGACUUUUUUUUUCUUCCAGAUUUUUUCGCCGGUUUCCGCGUUGUUUGUUUUUUUCUUGUGGUAACAUCUUUUUUUUUCGUUUAAACAACAAUAUUGCUAUGAUUGAUAGUAAUAUUAACUAUAUUCCUGUUAAACACAGUAAAAUUAACUAUACUACAGUUUAACACAGUAAUAUUGCUAUAUUAAUCUCUAGCAUAGUAAUAUUAACACAACAAAACUCAUUAUUAUUGUGUAAUAGAGUAAUAUUAAUAUGUUGAUUGUUCAACAAAUGUAAGCAUAAUAAAAAGCCAAAAGAAUUAAUAUUACUGUGAGUUACAGUAAUAUUUCUAUAACAACAGUAAUAUUACCGUAAACCACAGUAAUAUUACAAUAAAUAGACAGUAAUAUUAUUAGGUUACUCCCUGAAUAACUCAAACAAAACAAAAAAAAAUUAUAAUAUUGAAGUGGUUGACAGUAAUAUUAAUAACAACAUUAAUAUUACCGUCAACCACAAAAAUAUUAUUAGGUUACUACGUGAAUAACUCAAACAAAACAAAACAAAAAAACCCUGUGGUUGACAGUAAUAUUAUUGUGUUUACAGUUAUUUUACUGUCAAAGACAAUAAUAUAAUUACGUUGACUUGUCAACAAGUCAAACAAAAUAAAACAAAAAUAACAAAAAUAAAUAAAUAAUAAUAUUGUUAUUGACUCUAAUUGUACUGUCAAUUAAAUUAUUUAUGAUUAAUUAAAUAAUAUUUUGGAUUUAUCUUAAAAAAUGAAAAAAAAAAAUUGGACCUCUCUUAAUUGGACAAUGCAUAUGAGGGGGGUUUGUGAAAUAAUCCCUUAUAAAUAAAUCAAAACUUAAUGUUUAUGAUAAAAUUAGCAUAAAUCCUUUAAACACAAUUUUCAAUUAUAAUUCUAAUUUAACUCUAAUUUCAUCAUUUUUUACAACAAAAAAAUAUAAUUUUGACCUUUUUUUAAAACAUUCUUUUUUGUGAUUUUUUUUCCAUCGUUAGAGACUUGGCGCUGGCAUUGUUUUUACUUUCUAUUUUAUCUUUCCGCUGCCAGUCUCUUUCAGUGUUGAUUUUUUUUUGCAUCUUUUUUUUAACGCCGCUCACCGUCGCGGUAAUAUUACUAUGGUUGACAGUAAAAUUAUUGUAAACACAAUAGUAUUAAUGUCAACCACAUAAAUAUUGUAAUUUUGUUUUGACUUUUUUAUUUUGUUUGUUUUUUUGACUUGUCCAUGUAAUAAUAUCACUCUGGUUGACAGUAAUAUUACUGUCAACCACAUGAAUAUUAUUUUUACCAAUUUCCGACACUGUGUGUAUAAACUUGUUACCUAAAAGGUCAAACAAGAUUAUUAGUAACGAGUUUUUAACAUUGAACUAAUUUUGAUUGCGCGCUGCAAUCACAUCGUUGCUGCCCAACGGGUUGGCUGAAAGUAAAGAAUCUAAACCUCUAGUUACUAAAAAAAACUUAAAAAUUUAUCCUACAAUUAGGAUUCGAAUAAAAAAACAGUCUAGAUAUGACAAAUGCUAUGCUAGUACUUAGAUUGUUGGUGCCUUUGUGUCAUAAUAAAUGAAGUAUAAUUAUUUAUAUAGCAUAAUAAGAAUAGAAACGUUUAGUUAUCAUAAUAACAUUAAUUUCAACAGUAACAUUAAUUUCUUACUAAUUUUAAUUUCGCAUUAACACUAAAUGUUUUUUACAGUUUUGUUUUUAUUUUUCUAUGUUUCAAUGUAACAUUAAUUUUUGUACAACUUUUUUCCUCUCCUUCCACUAAUGUAAGGCUCAGUUUGGAUUGGAGGAUUUCUAAUGAAUGGAUUUCAAAUCCUCUGGCCUUGAAAUACCUUGUAUUCGAAAUCCAUACAAUUUAAAAUCAGUUGUUUAGAUCAUUUAUACGAAGGAUUUCAAAUAAAUUUACUGUUUGGCUUAAGAUUAGUGGAUUAAAAUUAUUUAAUUAUUUUUACAAACAUUUUCGUAUUGAUUUUCUGAGAAACGCCUGCAAGUUUCAUUAAAUAAUAACACUACCUAAAAAUAGAAAUAAUAUAUAGAUGAUCCAAACGUACAAAUGAAUUGUCUACUUACAGUUUCUACCAGAGCGUACAAAAUGUUGUUGCAAUAGUGCUAUUUGUUUUAUCAUGACAAAGAAUAUGCAAGAAAAGUGUCACAAUUUCUUUUACCGUCACAUUCUUUGUUUAUACCAAUCCAUUACCCGUAAUUGUUGCAAGCAUGUAGGAUCAUGACAUCGAGAUCUCAUUCAAAGUUUUCUUUUGUAAACUCUUUCGUCAUUUUCACUCAAUAAUAAGUGUUUCGAUAAGUACUUGCCAUGAUGCAAAGCUCCAAUAAUACCAAUUAAAUAGCUGAACAAAGACGUAAUAAUUUUUAUCUUUCUUCAUAUUUUUCUAUUUCCCCUUCUUGAACGUUUUCAAUGAACAAUAUCCAUUUAAUCAACAUCCAAAUUUGCUGCAAUUAUUUAAUUACAAUAGAACAUACAAGUAAUUUAAACUAAGACCGUCUAGUAUUAUUAAUUAUGUGCUCAUUUAUUACAUGUUAGGAAAAUCCUAUAAAUAGUCUAUCUAGUUUUUUAUUUGGAGUAUAUCAAAAAUAAGAAGAAAUAUUCUAGAGAAAAAAAAGAGAGUGUAACAACAAAUUCUUAUCUGCGAUUUAAACAAACAAGAAAAACUUGCACAAAGAUAAUAUAUUGAAUUAAAAUAAAAUAUUGCGGGUUACAAACUCUAAUUUAAUCCUCUGAUUCUUCUCUCAAGAACAAUAUGCGUUUGACUUUGAAUUUCGGAGUCGGGUCGUUGACUUGAUCUUCUCCGGAUUUGAUUUGGAUUUGAAUAACGUCUUCCAAGGGUCUUACGACUUGAAUCUCGGAUCGAACGCUGAACUUUGACAGGUUUUGACUUGAAGAUCUUGGAGUUCUUGAUGGAUUUGGCUCUUCAAUCUUCCUUCGAUCUUGAUUUGUUGGAGAACGCCCUCGAUUUGAUGAAAAACGCCUUGAAUUUGUUGAAGAACGACUUGAAUAUUGUAGAGAGAAUUUUCUCCUACGGUUUUUCUUCUUCUUGAGUUGUCUUUUGAAUUGUGUAGGGAGGGUCCCUAUUUAUAGUGGUAGAAUAAGAGUCUUACAUGAAGUCUUCUUGAUGACGUGGCGCGAUUUGAUUGGCUCUCUUCAAAUUGAUAUUUAUCUCUUAUAACUUGGAAGAGAAGAAACAAUCCUAUUGGUCAAUAAUUAAUUGAUAAUUAUCUCCAUGACUUAUUUUGAAAGAUAAAUCAUAAUCUUGGGAUUCAAUUUAAUAUAAUAUAAAUUAUAUUAAAUUUACGUGUCUACAAAUGCCCCCUCGAGACUUGUUCACGGACAAUGUGUCUUGGAGUGAAUGAGUCUCGAUAAUUGCUUAACUUCUAUUGCAGCUUGAUCUAGCAAAGCACAUACAUCUUUUGAAAUCAUGACUGGACUUAGAGAGAUUCUAAGUUGCCUACGUGCCCUAUAGAGGGAUCAAGUCAUAACGUAGUUCAAAAUAUAUCCUUUUGAGGGAUGUCAUGCACAGUUUACACUCAUGUGGACAAGGAGAAACAUUCAUAGUUUAUGCUCGUAUCGAGGAGCCUUGACUUGAUUUGGAUAUAUAGAUAGUUUAUGCUCGUAUCAAGGAGCCUUGACUUGAUUUGAUUAUGUAGAUAGUUUAUGCUCGUAUCAAGGAGCCUUGACUUUGAUUUGGAUAUAUGGAUAGUUUAUGCUCGUAUCAAGGAGCCUUGGUUUGAUUGGGAUAUGUUGACAUUUUAAACUCGUGUCAAGGAGUACUUCAUUUGAUAUGGACAUGUAGACCUUUUAAACUCGUGUCAAUGAGUACUUUAUUUUAUUUGGACAUGUAGACCUUUUAAACGCGUGUCAAGGAGUACUUCACUUUAUUUGGACAUGUAGACCUUUUAAACUCGUGUCAAGGAGUGCUUCACUGGAGUUGGACAUGUAGACCUUUUAAACUCGUGUCAAGGAGUGUCUGAUUUGGACAUGUAGACCUUCUAAACUCGUGUCAAUGAGUGCUUGAUUUGGACAUGUAGACCUUUUAAACUCGUGUUAAGGAGUGCUUGAUUUGGACAUGUAGACCUUUUAAACUCGUGUCAAGGAGUGCUUCACUUGAUUUGAACUUGUAGACCUUUUAAACUCGUGUCAAGGAGUGUUUCAUUUGAUUUGGACUUGUAGACCUUUUAAACUCGUGUCAAGGAGUGUUUCAUUUGAUUUGUACUUGUAGACCUUUUAAACUCGUGUCAAGGAGUACUUCACUUGAUUUGGACAUGUAGACCUUUUAAACUCGUGUCAAGGAGUGUUUCACUUGAUUUGGACUUGUCAUAUUGCAUAGGGUGUUGGUUCCUCAAAACACUUGCCCCCAUCCUCAUGAUCUUCUUGUUCUUCUUCAACAUGUUCUUCAUUGAGCUGGUACGGAUUUUGGAAUGGUGGUUCUUCAAUUUGAUUUGCAAGUAUGCUCAACUCCAUAUCAUGUGCUCGAGUGGCCAACUCUUCAAAACAUUUAGGUUGAAUUACUUGAAGGAUAUAUCGGAGUCCCCAUUGCAUUCCUUGGAUGCACAGUUCAAUAGCUGAUGUCUCAGACAGUCGAUCCUUACAAUUAAGACUCAAAUUUCUCCAAUGGUUGAUGUAGUGGAUGACAGGUUCCUUCUUCCAUUGGCGGGAAUUGGUGAGCUCAAUCAUGCUAACUGUUCUUCGAGUGCUGUAAAAGCGGUUGAGAAAUUUUUCCUCCAAGUGCUUCCAACUAUCAAUGGAGUUUGCCCCCAAAUCAAUGUACCAAUCAAACGCGUUGUCUUUGAGCUAUCGGACGAAUUGCUUGACGAGGUGAUCUUCGUAUGUCCCGACAUCAUUGCAAGUCUCCACGAAGUGUGCCACAUGUUGUUUGGGGUUGCCUUUGCCGUCAAAUUGUUGAAACUUUGGAGGUAUAUAGCCCAUUGGCAUCCUUAGAUCAUCAAUCAUUUGCGUGUAUGGCUUGAAAUAGGUUGAUGGAGACUUCGAGCUUCCUUCCAACUUGUCUUUGAUGAUUCCACUGAUCAGCGUCAUCACUUGAUCUACAUGAAUCAUCCCUUAUGGAGAAACUUGAAGUUCUUGAGCUGGAGCCUUCUCGUUUUCAACUGGUUGUUGCUUUGUGGAUGUCUCGACUUCGUCUUGAACCUCUAUCUGAUUCUCCACACCUUGACUAGCAUCGGCUUUGUCCAUCUUGUUGAUCAACUCGGCAAUUUGAGAAUCUCGUUGUUGAACAUGCCUUGCGAGUCCCUCAAUGGCCUUUGUCAAACUUGCAAUUUGCUCCUCCAUGGUUGUAGCGUUUGUUGUCAUGACGGAUGCCACCUCUGAGUAGCUUGAUGUUGAACGAGGCGUGGGCUGUGAAAUCUCUCGUUUUGAGCCUUCCACGUUUGCACUUGUAUUGACAAGAGGUGGUAAGCCUUUCUGAAUGGUUUGAGGCGUCGAGUUAGUCUCGGAGUAUGCUUGCAGCUUCUUAGCCAUACUCCUUGUACCCAAGCCCACAAUUGAUGAAUCCGAAGUAGCAAUCUUCAUUGUGAACGUAGAGCAGUCACUGCAACACUUCGAGGAUCUUCGAGAGAGAGAGAAGAGAUGAGAGGUAGAGAUGUCCCACCGGGCAUGCCAAAAUUUGUAACAACAAAUUCUUAUCUGCGAUUUAAACAAACAAGAAAAACUUGCACAAAGAUAAUAUAUUGAAUUAAAAUAAAAUAUUGCGGGUUACAAACUCUAAUUUAAUCCUCUGAUUCUUCUCUCAAGAACAAUAUGCGUUUGACUUUGAAUUUCGGAGUCGGGUCGUUGACUUGAUCUUCUCCGGAUUUGAUUUGGAUUUGAAUAACGUCUUCCAAGGGUCUUACGACUUGAAUCUCGGAUCGAACGCUGAACUUUGACAGGUUUUGACUUGAAGAUCUUGGAGUUCUUGAUGGAUUUGGCCCUUCAAUCUUCCUUCGAUCUUGAUUUGUUGAAGAACGCCCUCGAUUUGAUGAAGAACGCCUUGAAUUUGUUGAAGAACGACUUGAAUAUUGUAAAGAGAAUUUUCUCCUACGGUUUUUCUUCUUCUUGAGUUGUCUUUUGAAUUGUGUAGGGAGGGUCCCUAUUUAUAGUGGUAGAAUAAGAGUCCUACAUAAAGUCUUCUUGAUGACGUGGCGCGAUUUGAUUGGCUCUCUUUAAAUUGAUAUUUAUCUCUUAUAACUUGGAAGAGAAGAAACAAUCCUAUUGGUCAAUAAUUAAUUGAUAAUUAUCUCCAUGACUUAUUUUGCAAGAUAAAUCAUAAUCUUGGGAUUCAAUUUAAUAUAAUAUAAAUUAUAUUAAAUUUACGUGUCUACAGAGAGUUCUUGAGUAAGUUUGUAUAUUUGUGAUGAUUGAGUGAGUAAUAUAUUUUUCUCUCCUCUCCACUACUCCUCCACUAUAUAUUAAGUUAUUCCACUGCGUAUUUAUCACUAAAUAUUUUAAAUCAAUCGAACAAAGUGGCAUCUGAGCCACAUCUUAAUAGAAAAGAGCGAUGGCAACAAGUGGAGCUUUCCCAUUUCAAAAGCUUGCAAAAGAGAACUAUGAUCGAUGGAGCAUACAAAUGAAUUUUUUUCUUGGUGGACAAGACGUUUGGGAAGCCGUUGAAGAAGAAUAUGUUGAACCGGAGAAUUUGGCUUUGUGAAGCCAAGCCCAAAGGAAGACAUCAAAGAAGCCAAUGUGAAAGAUCAAAGAGCGCAGUUCAUAAUCCAAUUUGGUGUAGACAAUAGUAACUUUGAGAAAAUUUCUCAAGCUACUACGGCGAAGCAAGCGUGGGAUAUUCUUAGCGAUGCUUCAAAGGCAUUGAUAAGGUGAAGAAGGUACAAAUCCAAUCAUUUCGUGGAGAGUUCGAGUCUUUGAAGAUGAAAGACUCCGAAGAAGUUUCCGACUACGUCUCUAGGGUGGUUUUUAUCGUUAACCAACUCGAGAGAAAUGGUGAAAUAAUGGAAGAGAGAAGAGUGGUUGCAAAAUACUCCGAUCCCUUGAUCCUAGGUUCGACUACAUCGUCGUGGAAAUUGAAGAGUCAAACGACGUUGAGAAUCUUAAAGUGAACGAUAUAUUUGGCAAGUUACAAGUCCAUGAUGAGAAGAUCAAGAGGCGAAACAAAGAGCCCAAAGUAGAAUAAGCCCUUCAAAAAAGACGAACCUUGGCGAGCAACCAAAAUAUGAUGGUGCUCGAUUUCGUGGCAGAGGUAGUGGUCGUGAUCGUGGACGCGGUCGUGGUCAUGGCAGAGGUCGUGAAGGACGAUUCUCGUACAACAAUGAUAAUACUAAGCAAUGGAAUCGAGCAAAAAGACGUCGUGGAAGAGGAGGAUUCAAUCGGCGUCAAGAUAUGAAAGAUGUCGAAUGUUACAGUUGUCACAAAUACGAACACUAUGGUUGGGAGUGUCGAAAUGAGUCAAAUGAUGAAAAGACUCAUUAUGUUGAAGCAACGGAAAAACUCCCAUGGAAGAAGGAAGAAGAUUACCCAAAGCUUUGUUUUAGUUAAUUUCGUAUUUGGACAAGUAAUUGAGUUCAAAUGAGUCCUUGAAACUUUCAAUUUACAUCCCAUGUGAUAUUUUUAUGUGAAAACACGAAAAAAAAAAACUCAUUUAUUUUAUCAUGUGUUUCAUGCUUGCGCCUGAAUUUGUGAAGAUUCGCCAUAAUAUUUGCCCUAAGUGGUUAAGUGAAGCAAAAUAACGAAUUUGGGAGUGCAUGUUCAAUUAUUUUUAUUAAGGUGACAAAGUGCAAAAAUAGGUAAAGGAUAGGUGGCAAAAUGCUAUUAAACCUAAAUUUUUCAUCUAAUUAUGCUUACACAAAUUGAAGUUCCAUUUGAAAAAAAACAAAUAGAGCUACAACUUUCGUGUUUGGCAUAUUCGAAGAUACAAAGUUUAUGGUACAUACAGUUGCAUAUUAUGCUCACAAUUGUGUCUGGAUUAUGAAUUGCACUAUUUACAUAGUUUCGUAUUUCUACCAUAACUAUCUCGUCUAAAGUCCAAAUUCCUUAAUACAAAACGUAUUCAAAAGCCAAAACAAUAAACCUACACGAAAUGAAUCUGCAUGGAUUUGGGUUUGUUUUUCACAAAUUUGCAACUCAGCGAAAAGUGCAGGUCAUGUACUUUUGUAAAAGAAAUGAGGGAACACAAAUUUUAUUCAUAAGAUUGUAAGUUAGAACACAACAAUAUUCAUGAAUCCCUCAAAUCAUAAAUAAAUAAAAACAUUCACGAAUCAAAUAUUUUAAUUUCCAAUUCUUGCAAGACAUUGACAUGUCCAGUAGGGCUCCAGCGGAGGGUCCGGAGCACGGCAAUGUCCUCCGGGGCAACGAUAGGGCCCACAAGAUACUUUGUUACACGCAAAAGUACAAACUUCCCCGAUGCAUGGUUCCAUUUUGAAACUUGGUUCACCAUUACAACUUUUACUACACAUUAUUGAAAUCAAACCAUAGACAAGAAAAAUAAUUAAUAGUUGCUUUCUCAUUGCUUCCAUUUUGUAGCAGAGUGUUCAAUAUUGUAACUGUCAUAAUUUGUGCCUUUUUAUAGGAGAAAAUAUGUAAUGGUUUAAUAAAAUUUCAGUUUUAAUAUUGCUUGGAUUGAAGGCAUAAUAUUGCAGUUGCAUGAUACAGAUAAAAAAUUAGGUAGGGAUUACUUGAAUUGCAGUAAAGAAACCAGAAUUCAAACAAAGAUGUAUGCAAUAAUAUAUAUUUUCUCUAGAUAUAAAUAUAAGUUACAAAAUCAACGACAAAAGUAAUAAUUAAAUAUAAAUUACUGUAAUAAAAAAAAAGGCACUUUACAAAUAAGUCCAUCAAUGAGUACUUAUUCAUAAAGAGAUUAAGACAGUAAACUUUUUUUUAAAAAAAUGCACACAUGGUCUAGAGGUUUGUAAAAGACUAAAAUAGCCUCUCAUACAUUUAUAUGCUCCAAUUUCAUCCUUUAAUUUAAUCUAACCUCAAUUUGACCCCAAGUUUCACAAAUUAUUCAAUUUUGACCCAAAAUACAUUUUUAUGGACAAUUUCGUCGGUCACCGCCGUUGACCGCCGGUCUCCGACGUUGACUUUUUUUUUCUUCCUGAUUUUUUCGCCGGUUUCCGCGUUGUUUUUUUUUCUUUUGGUAACAUCUUUUUUUUUCGUUUAAACAACAAUAUUGCUAUGAUUGAUAGUAAUAUUAACUAUAUUACUGUUAAACACAGUAAAAUUAACUAUACUACAGUUUAACACAGUAAUAUUGCUAUAUUAAUCUCUAGCAUAGUAAUAUUAACACAACAAAACUCAUUAUUAUUGUAUAAUAAAGUAAUAUUAAAAUGUUGACUGUUCAACAAAUAUAAGCAUAAUAAAAAGGCAAAAGAAUUAAUAUUACUGUGAGUUACAGUAAUAUUUCUAUAACAACAGUAAUAUUACCGUCAACCACAGUAAUAUUACAAUAAUAGACAGUAAUAUUAUUACGUUACUCCGUGAAUAAAACAAAAAAAAAAAAGAGUAAAAAGCAGUUUACCCCCUAAAUUAAAGGUUGUUUUGCACUUUGCCCCCCAAACAAAAAAAAAUUGCACGUUUUUACCUAAACUUGUUAAUUCAUUGCACGGUACCUCCUAAAAGGAAUAUUCCGGCAAUUUUGACCGGGAUGAGAAACCAUGUGCGUUGCACGUGAAAUUUGUAGGGGUAAAUUUGUCCCUUCACUUAUAUCCUAUGUAUUAAUAUAAACUAAUCAUUAAAAAUAAAAUUAAAAAAGAAAAAGAAAAAGUAAGCUGCCACCAUCCCGUUGGCCAUUAAAAAAAACCCCAAACUCUUCCCACACCACCAUUUUUCAUCUAUCUUCAUAGAUCAACUCUGUUUCUUCUUCUUCUCAGGCUACAUCGAAGAAUUCCACAGUUCACACGGGAUUUCAUACCCAUAUUAUAAAAUACAUAAAGUUUAUGAAUCACUCGUAUCUAACUAUUAAAAAGAAGGAAAAAAAAUAAAAAAAGAAUAUUGUCAUCUUCUUCCCUUGGCCGACCCCUGCCUGCAAAUCAUCAUCAUCACCUCCAACUUUCCUACCUUCAUUUCGACCUCUAAACAUUCAUUCCAUGAGUCCUGCUAACCACCACUGCCCGAUUCGUUGGCUUAAUAACCCCCUUCCCUCUCAGCUUCAUCAACGCCGACAAAGCAAUACCUGUGCGCGGGCAGACAAACAUUCCGGUCGAAUCCACCAUUGCCACGGCGUCCAUCAGAGCAUAAACUGCUUUGUCUAUUGAAAAUGGGUCGGAGUUCUUCAGAGCAUAAACUGCUCUGUCGAUUGAAACUGGGUCGUCGAUUUGAAAAGCAGCUGCGAACGCGUCUUUCGCUUUCACCGAAUUCUUCUCACACUGUUUGAUCGACGAGCUCCUAAUUUUUCUCACACUGUUUGAUCGAAUUGCUAGGUAGAUCGGGAGGUUGGUAGGUAGAUCGGCCUGAAUUUCACUUCAAAUGGGGCGAGAUUGCUUAGGGCGAAAAGAGGGAAAUUGGGAGAAUAGGGCUGAUUUUUUGCAAGAUUAUCCCUGCAUAGAAUUGAUUGAAGAUCUUGUUAUCGAUGGAGAUGAAGUUUAAUUGCUCCAUUCGUUAAUGAUCUCUGUUCUUUUGGCAGGGGAAUGGGUUUGGGAGGUUGGUGGGGGAAGAAGAUGAUAAUUUUCUUUUCUUUUUUUAUUUUUUCUUUUUGUUUAUUUUUGUUUUUUAAUGAUUAAUUUAUAGGGGUUAAUAUGUUUAGGUCCCUCCUUCCAAACUUAAUUAGAACUAAAUUACAACCUCAAACUAAUUUUUUUAAAUACACCUCUAUUUUAAAAUAAAAUAUGACCGACAUCCUUUUGUUUUUUUUAAUUCCUAAUUUGCCCUUAUACCCUAAAUAUAACCUCUAUUUUACGGUUCUUCAAACCAGAUCUGAAUUUCUUUUUCAAUUCUCUCUCUUUCUCUCGCUUCUUUACGUUUCUCUCGAUGCUUCCUUUCUCUUUAUCUCUCUCUUUUAUCUCUCUCUCUCUCUCUCUCUCUCUCUCUCUCUCUCUCUCUCUCUCUCUCUCUCUCUCUCUCUCUCUCNNNNNNNNNNNNNNNNNNNNNNNNNNNNNNNNNNNNNNNNNNNNNNNNNNNNNNNNNNNNNNNNNNNNNNNNNNNNNNNNNNNNNNNNNNNNNNNNNNNNNNNNNNNNNNNNNNNNNNNNNNNNNNNNNNNNNNNNNNNNNNNNNNNNNNNNNNNNNNNNNNNNNNNNNNNNNNNNNNNNNNNNNNNNNNNNNNNNNNNNNNNNNNNNNNNNNNNNNNNNNNNNNNNNNNNNNNNNNNNNNNNNNNNNNNNNNNNNNNNNNNNNNNNNNNNNNNNNNNNNNNNNNNNNNNNNNNNNNNUGAUAGUGUCGGUGGUGCUCGACUUUGGGGGGAGGGGGGUGGCGGCGGUUCUGAUUGUUGGUGGUGGCGGCGCUCAGGGCUGGUGAUAGUGUCGUGGUGCUCGACUUUGGGGGGAGGGGGGUGGCAUCUUUAGUGACGUGGUGAUGUUAGAGUCGCAGAUCUAGGGUUUGGUGUAGGAGAUCUACGGUUUGGUGGAGCGAAUCUAAACUUUUUCGAUUUCAUGUCUAUAGAUGUCUAUGAGUAUCUAUGGGUAUCUAUGGUGUCUGGCGACUAGGGUUCAAAGGAAGAAAUAGGGUUUUAAGAAUACGUGACUACGGAUUACUACAGUGUUCUACAAGUGUCUAUACAUGACUCCGGGCUACUACGGUAUCCUACAGAUUUCUAUAGAAGACUAUGGCCGACAAAAAUUAAAAAAAAAAUCAUAAUUUGCAAUAUUAUGUUGAAAAAAUUAGAAAAAAUACGAAAAUGCAAAAAAAAAAAAAAUUGUUCUACGGAAAAAAUAAUAACAAAAAUGAUAGAUGCGAAAAUAAAAAUGUUAAAUGCAGAAUGAUAAAAAUGAUAAAUACAGUUUAAAUAUUACUUGGUGCAUAUUUCAUUUUUUGUAUGUGGGGGCAUUUUUGGAAUGAAAUUUAUAAAGGAUGUCAAGCAAAUGUUUAAUUAGACUUGUCAUUUAGUUCAAAUUAGUUUUGUCACUAGGGACCUAUAUCUUAAAGCCCCUAAUUUAUAUUUAAUAUAUAGAAUUUUAGUGAAUAGACAAAUUUACCCCUGCAAAUCACACGUGCAUCGCACCUGAUAUAACAUUCCGUUCAAAAUUGCCGGAAAAUUGAGUUUAGGGGGCACCGUGCAACGGACUAACGAGUUUAGGUAAACCCGUGUAAAUUUUUUUUGUUUGGGGGGCAAAGUGCAAAACGACCAUUAAUUUAGGGGGCAAACUGCUUUUUACUCAAAAAGAAAACAAAAAAAAUUAGAAUACUGAAGUGGUUGACAGUAAUAUUAAUAACAACAGUAAUUAAUAUUACCGUCAACCACAAAAAUAUUAUUAGGUUACUCCGUGAAUAACUCAAACAAAACAAAACAAAAAAACCCUGUGGUUGACAGUAAUAUUAUUGUGUUUACAGUUAUUUUACUGUCAAAGACAGUAAUAUAAUUACGUUGACUUGUCAACAAAUCAAACAAAAUCAAAAAAAAAUAACAAAAAAAAUAAAUAAUAAUAUUGUCAUUGACUCUAAUUGUACUGUCAACGGCAGUACAAUUACAUAAAUGUAUUGUUAACGGCAGUACAAUUACGUUAAUGUACUGUCAGUGAAAGUAUAAUUACGUUAAUUUACAGUCACUGUCAGUGACAGUAUAACCGUUAAUGACAGCACAAUUACAGUCAACAUUUAGCGUCGAACGUUAAAAAAAUUUAAAUAAAAUAAAAAACAACUAAUAAACACUAAAAAGUCAACGCUAGAGACCGGCGGUGAACGCGGUUCGGAAUCCGGCGGCGGAAAAAAUAGACCAGAAAAUAAAAAAAAAUGAAAAGUCAACGACGAAAUCCGGCAGAAAAAAAACUUUUUGAAAAAAAAAAUCAAAAUUGGAUUUUUGUGGUUAAAAUCGAUUAAAUUGGGGUUACAAUUAAAAAUUCCGUGUAAAGGGUUGUGGGUAAUUUUAUUAUAUACAUAAAUUUUUCUUUUAUAUAUAAUAAAUAUUAAAGGGAUGAAUUUAUUGAUGAAAGAGAUAUAGCCCAUAAACCUAGAUUAAUAAUGAUGUUUGGUUAGGGACUUGUGCACAAAAACCCGAAUAAAAAAUUGACUUAAUAUUUUUAUAAAUUUGAGUUGACUUUGUAUUAUAUGGGACUCUUUGAGUUUUGACUUUUGUGCCAUUUUUCAAUGAAGAAGGGCCCAACCAUAUUUUUAGUAUUAAGUAUAUAUUUAACUCUUAUUUUGUUUCAAAUUUACCCUCUUCUAUAUUGCACAUUGCUUGAUAUGUUUUGUUUUAAUUUUUUUUUUUUCUGUAAAGAACUAUAAAAUUGUGGUAUUCAGCCACAAGCUUACCAAAUAAAAAUCAACUACAAAUUAUUGAAAACGACUACAAAAAUAUAAAAAAUUUAUACAAUGCAACUACAUGUUAAUGAAAUAAACUAAAACGAAAAAAGAAAACACCCAAAUGACUUGUGAAACAAAUGAGCGAAAAGGUAAUUUGACUCGUACAAUGCCGGGGUGGAUAAAAGUUAAUAUUGAAUACAAUUCAAUUUAAUUAGCUGAUGUGUUCAAGAGAAUGUCUAAUGAAGCAGCAUCUUUGGAUAUAUUAAUAAUUUUAUUUGUGCGACAUAUACUUACUGUUAAGAAAAUUAAAUUCAACAAUAUCUCAUAUUCAGUAAAUUAUAAAGCCAACUCAAUUUCCCCCUUUACGAAUUUUUUUACACCCAAAACCAUAUAUCUAAAAAAAUGGAUAAGAACUGAGUAGUUAGUAAUGGGAAACAAAUGGGUGACGCUUAUUUCACCUUAUAAUAAUAAAGAAAAUUAACUUAAUUUUCCAUCAUAAACAUCAUUAGGAAAAUAAUUGUAAAAAAAACGCCAAUAAUUGUGAAACAAAACCAAAAAAUUGCUUACCAGUAUUGACACAAAAACCUAGUUCUGAUAUCUCUAAUAAAUUUUUCUGCAAGGAUUUUAAGUAAUAAAGCAAUGAAAGACAUGAUAUGUGUAUCAAGAAACAAAAUAAAAAUAAAGGGAACAAAUUUACGAUUUUCAAAUCUGUCAAAUAUAUUUAAACUCUUUUAUACUAGUCCUGCAAAUUUUCAGGAAAUCUACUAAUAUAAUGGAUGUAUGCGGAAUUUCAAAAUCAGUUAAUCUAAGUUAAUUAGAAAAUAUGAAAUUUCCUAAUUUUCGAAAAAUCUGCUCAUAUUUAGCAUAUAACGGUUUCAUUUAAUAAAUAAAAUGUAGCCGCAUAACAUGAAAAUCCGUUACCCUCUAAUGUUAAUACUAAAACUAAUAUUAAUUAUAAUAUAUUAAUCAUAAUAUACUAAUACUAAUCCUAACAUACUAAUGCGCGAAUACUAAUGUUAUUAUUAAUAUUAAUGCUACUCCUAAUUUUGUAAUUAAAAGUUAAUGUUAGUGUUAGUGUUAGUGUAAGUGUUAAUAUUAAUAUUAGUAUUAGUAUUAGUAUGUUGUGAUAUUAAUAAUUUAAUGUAAGGAAUAUAAAAUAGUUUUAACUUUUAUUUAUUUAAUAGACUAUUGAAGUUUACCUUUUAAUUACAAUUAAUAAUAUGAAAAUAUUUUUUUAAAUUAAUUUAAUAGUAAUUGAUAAAAUUUAUUUUGUAAUAUUAAUAUUUUAAAUAUAUAAUAGUAAAAUUUAAUUUUUGCUUUUAGUAUAAUAAGUUUUAAACUUUUGGUAUAAUUGAUAUUAAAAAAUAAAGUAAUUAAUUAUUUAAUAUAAUUGCAAAAAUAUGACCACAAAUUAAAGUACAAGAUUGUACAAAUUUUAAUAUUUUAUUGGUUUGUUGUAAUUUACAUUGACAUGUCAAAUAUGAGAAGCAAACCAUAUGAUAAUGUUUUAUUGGCUUGUUGGAAUUAUAUUUUUGCUCAGGAAGAUUGUACGUUAAAAGAAUGUAAAUCAUUUUACACCCUUGUAAAUACUCUAAAGAAGAUGAAAGGGUAAAUUACUCUACCCGUUCCAUAAUAUCUGUUGGGCGGCCGCUAUAUGCAAGUCCAUUUUUUUAUUAGUUGAAACCCACAUAAAGGAGUUUAUUAGUUCAAGCCCGUAAAAUAGAUUAAUUUUAUUACAUCAAGACCAAUGAGGACGAAUAUACCGUUAUCAAUAAAUAAUACAAAAAUACAAACAAAAUCUAUUUUUAAUUUGUUCAAGACCAAAAAAAAAAAAGUAAGAAAAAAACAAAAAAAAAAAAAAUAGAAAAAACUCACAACUGCCGCCGCCAGACCGCUGGGACACCGACCAGCGAGACUUCCACCGCGUUGACGACGACCAGCGACCCACCCACCGCAUCACCUCCACCGUACCAUCACCACCACCCCACCACCACCAACAAGUCCUUUUUAACUAAACUUUUGUUUGUCAAUUCCAAAACAUUAAUCGAACAUCGAUUCUUGAUAAAUACGCGUGGAUGAACAUUAACCUAUGCUUACUUCUUGUUGAGUUGCAAUGCUUUAGCCGAUUUUGGAAAAAAAAUUGAGAUUGAAAUUGAUUUUUUGUGUGUUUUCGUUGGUUUCCCAAAUCGGUUUAUCCAGACCGAUUUUGUACACGAAAAUCGGCGUCACAAUGCCGAUUUUUGUUAACCAAAUUGGCGACACAACGUCGACUUUACAAGUCAAAAUCGGCGUUGUAAUGCCGAUUUUUUUUAAUGAUUUAUGUUUUUUAUUUGGUUUUGAAUUUCAUUAAGGGUAAAUUAGUAUUUUUAUGUUGGAGGUCUUGAACUAAUAAAAAAAUGGGCUUGCAUAUAUCCGCCGCCUAUCUGUCGCUUUGAAGAAUUCUUUUUGUUCCAUAUUAUCUAUCAGUUUAAAUUUCCAACACUUCAUUAAUUACUUAAUUUACAAUUUAUACCCUAAUUAACUCUUUCCAAUACCCUUUUUUUUAACUAAUUUCUCUCUCUUAUUAAUUAUAACACAAGGUCAUUUUAGUCUAAAAACAUACAGUUUCCUAAAAUCAAGAUACAUAUUAAUCAUAAUAUACUAAUACUAAUCCUAAUAUACUAAUGCGAAUACUAAUGUUAUUAUUAAUAUUAAUCCUACUCCUAAUUUUAUAAUUAAAAGUUAGUGUUAGUGUUAGUGUUAAUAUUAAUAUUAGUAUUAGUACGUUGUGAUAUUAAUAAUUUAAUUUAAGAAAUAUAAAAUAGUUUUAACUUUUAUUUAUUUAAUAGUAAUAGACUAUUGAAGUUUACCUUUUAAUUACAAUUAAUAAUAUAAAAAAAAAAUUUAAAAUUAAUUUAAUUGUAAUUGAUAAAAUUUAUUUUUUAAUAUUAAAAUUUUAAAUACAUAAUAGUAAAAUUUAUUUUUUGCUUUUAGUAUAAUAAGUUUUAAACUUUUGUAUAAUUAAUAUUAAAUAUAAAUAAAGUAGUUAAUAAUUUAAUAUAAUUGCAAAAAUAUGACAAUCCUUUAGAUUAAAACAUAUGAUAUUUCAAUGCAAAACUGCAAAACCUCUAAUCAUCCCAACAAUCCUUUUGGUUUUAUGUUUGAAGUAAUUAAUCCUGAAUUCGGCCAGCUAAAAUUUUUUAUUUCUCAACAGUUAAAUAAUAAAUUAAAAAAAAAUAAAAAUAAAAAAUAAAAAAAGAGUUAGUUUACGAAUACCUUACUUAACAUGUGUGCUGUCAGGUGUGUGCACAAACUAUUAUUAUUGUCCACUCAAAUUUCCCCAAUAAGAUGACAAAUUUGUCUUACGUUCAUAUCCAUAAUCUGGCAAUCCGGGUGUUUGCAAAUGCUUAUUUAAAAACAGAUAUUAGUGAUUGUGAGUUAAGUUGAUUUUAAGUUUUUAAUUCUAAGGUGGUGUUAGCAAAUGUUUUUUGAAAGUGAUUAUGUUCUUUUUUUUGCUUAUAAUCUGUUUGCAGGUGUUUGCAAAAUCAACUUUUGCUUUUGCUUAUCUUAAAAUAAUUUGUUUUAAGCUAUUUUUUUAAAAGCACCCAUAAUCCUGCUUUUUCUAUUUAAGUUUAUUUUCCGGAAUAAUUGCAAACACCCCUAACUUUUAGAAAUAAGCACUUAAAAUUGGCUUAACCCACAAUCACUAAAUUCUGCUUUUAAAUAAUCAUUUGCAAACACCACCUAAUAGUUGGGGGUGUUUGCAAAUAUUUCGGGAAAUGAACUUAAAUAGAAAAAACAUGCUUAUAGGUGCUUUUAAAAAAUAGCUUAAGUCAGAUUAUUUUGAGAGAAACAAAAACAAAAGUUGAUUUUGCAAACACUUGAAAACAGAUUAUGAGCAAAAACAAGCUCAUAAUCACUUUCAAAAAGUUUUUGCAAACAGUACCUAAGUCAUCCUAAUAAGAGAUUAUAUGUAUAUAAAUCAACUAAUAAGAUCCAAUUUUCAGUAAAUUUAUUAAUUUUUUAUGUGUCAAAAAUACUAUGAUAUAUGGAAAUAUAAAUUGUCAAAAUAAAUUCUCAUAUUUUAAUCCCCUUUCAUUUGACCCAUUUGUUACCAAAUCUGACCACCGUUCCGGAAAAAUCCCAAAUUGCAAAUUCCAGAGCUCUGAAAAAAUAGAUUUCUUCAAUACCAAAGCCUAUACAAGAAUUGCAUCGCGCCUGCCAUAGUUUAAGUCUUCGAAGCAUUCGCAAUUAACCAAAUUCCGUUUGCUAUCUGAUUUGUGGAACCAGUUUGCCAUUUUUCGUUUGCUAGUUGGAGAUCGAUUGAUGUUUGAAGACAUCGUCUGUUGUUUAUCGUUUGUUGUUUCUGAUUUCUACAAUGGUUCAAAUGCGAUUUACUUUUGGUAAUCAACACUCUUAUUACCUACAACGGCUAAUUAACAAGCGACGAUGGUUAAAAUUGGAGUCAAAAUUGUAAUAAAUUAAAUAAUAAAUGAAAUUUGAGGUCAAAUUAAUAUUAAAUUAUAUUAAAAGUAUAAAAUUAGGACAUAUUAAAAUGCGAGAAAGUAUUUUAGCCUUUUUAUCAAAAUUAAAUAAUUAAUAAAAUUUGGGGUCAAAGUAAUAUUAUAUUAUAUUAAAAGUAUAAAAUUAGGACAUAUUAAAAUGCGAGAGCGACCAACCCUCAUUAGAAGAGUUGGUACCUAGCCUUUACCAAUAGGAUAACGGUUUAGGGUUCGAGUCUCCCCUCCCCUACUUCCCCUUGUAAUGGACUUGAAUUUAGUAUUAGCCUUUUAUAUGCAUCUAAACUUAUUUGCAAUAUCCCCGUAUAAAAAUAUAAGAGUUAGGAAUAUCUUACCUUAACCUGUGUGCAUCUAUCAUAUAUAUCUGACCCUGACAGUAAACAAAGUACCAAACUAUUGUCCACUCAAAUUUGUCUUACGUUUAUAUCCGCAAUCGUCAUCUCAAACAUCAUACUUUCUAAACUGUAUUCAUCUAUGUAUACAAACUCGUCUUUUAUACUUAUUACUCCGUAAAAUUAAACUAAAAAAAUUAGGGUAAAUUACAAUCAAAUCUGAGGUAUAGUUAAUUUACGAAAAAAAAAAAUUUUUUCUGGAUAAUUACAUAUACCCACCCCUUCAAUUAUAAUUUUUUUUUUCUUACACAUCCACUAUUAUGGUGUCGAACUCAACAUAAUUAUGUAGAUUUCGUGGAAUAUGCUCUAGUUUGGGAUGUAGAUUUCGUGUAUUAGUUUUGUGUAAAAAUACAGUUUCUGAUGCACCAUAAUCUGAUAUAUGCAAGCAACAAAACACAUAUUAUGAUCAUCUUGCUUCAAAAUGUGGGAUUCGAAUGGGAUAAAACAAGUAUAAAAGUGAUAAUAUUCCAUAUAAUCUAGAAGAUUUCACAAAAUUUAAAACCGCAAGGAUGAACGUGUAAGAAGAAUUAUAGUUGACGGUGGUUGUAAUUACCUAAAUAGGAUGGGUGUUUCGUAAUUUACCCAAAACAUCAAUCAAGAGAAUCAGAACCACAAACUUCCACACUUCCUUUCUAUAUAUAUAGCAAUUAGCAUAGUCAUUCUGCAAUCCUCAUCUCUCUCUCACACUCACAACACCAAUCUCUCUCUUUCUUUCUCUCUCACACUCAUGCACAUAAAUUCACAUGUGUGCGCAUUGAGUGAAUGUGGUUUGAUGCGUGGUUGUACAGUGGUGAAUGUGGGCAAUGUAAAUGUUUCUUUCUAUUUACGUAAUUCUCGUAAUUGUUUUUUGUAUUGGAUUAUGUUAAUAUUUUAGUGGAUUUCGAUAUUUUUGUAGUGUGCAGCGAUGCGAUUGUAGUGGAUUGAUCAAUUUUUUAAUGAAUUAAAUUUACACAUUGUUGUCUUCUUUUUCUUCGGUUCAUGUCCUUAGCAGGCGGACGCCGCCAUUUGUUAGCACCCCAUGACGACGGAGGCCUUGCAUCAGAAAUAAUUGCGGCGGUCGGAGGAGGAAUCGUGGUAGGUGGUGGCGCGGAUGACUUGCUGCUUGAAUAUCUUUCCUUAACUGUUUUUUUUUUUUUUUUCUAUAAUGGAUUUUGGAGUAUACUUGUUCACAUAUGCUUGACACAGAGUGGUUUUCAAAUAUUUUGUGGCUGGAAAGGUGGAGUGGUUUUCAAAUAUUUUGUGGAUGGAAAGGUGGAGUGGUUUUCAAUAAUUAUUUACAGAUUUUUUAUAGUGGUUUUCAAUAAUUAUGUACAAAUUUUUAUAGUGGUUUUCAAUAUUUUACAUAAACCACAAUAAAAAUCUCUAUAAAAAUUAUAGUUGUUUUCAAUAAUUAUUGUACAUAUUUGUAUAUAACUGUAUAUACAGAGUGGUUUUUAUGUUGACAUAGUUAUUAUAUUUAGUGGUUUUCAAGUUUACAUAGUUGUUAUACAUAGUGGUUUUCAUGUUAUAUAGUUGUUAUAUAUAGUGGUUUUAUUGUUUAUAUAGUUGUUUAUACAGAGUGGUUUUCAUGUUUAUAUAGAGUGGUUUUUAUUUAAAAAAACUAGAAAGAAAAAAAAACCAUUUAAAAAUUCAAAAUUAAGAAAAAAGAAAAACCAUGAAAAAACAAAAAUAAAAAUAAAACCAUUUUUCUAAAUAAAAAUUAAAAAACAUGAAAAAUAUAAAUAAGAAGAAAAUAAUUUAAAAUAAAAAAUUGAAAAUAAAAUAAUACAAAAUUUUCUUUCAAAUUGAAAUAAAGAAAACUAUUAAACAAAAAAAAAAAGAAAAGGAAAAAAAAAAAAACUGAACUGGCGUGAUGAGGGGAAUAAUUUUUGGAGAAGAUUUGGGUGUAGAUUAUGGUAUAAGUUUUUUAAAAUUAAAUAAUUACACUAAUUAAUAAUUAGUGGGGGCAUAUAUAGUUUUUCAGGCCCAUUGGAUUUAUCUUAAAUGUUAUUUAUAAAUAAAGAAUUUAUUAAGAAUUAAAAUCCCAGUGAAGGAUGUUUGGCAUAUAACCCCUAGUUUUUUUAAGUAUAUCAAAAUUUGUAUUGUUUUUUGUAUAUAUUACACCUAGGGGUGAAAACAAUCGAGAAGAGUCGAGUCGACACGAACAACUGGUUGUGAUCAAGCUCUUGUGCAUUUAUAUCGAGUUUUGUGUUUGAGCUUGAUUUGGUAAGCAAUCGAGAAACUCAACACACCCCCAAACUUGAACUUUUGUUUCUCCUCAAGCAAUAAUACCAUCUUGCAAAGCAACAAAAUCAAUAAAUGAAUCAUCUCAUCACAUAGAUUAAAAAUUUACAAGCUUAAAAUUGUUAUGGGACUUCUCAAAAAUUUACAAGCUUAAAAUUCAACGAUAGUUAACUGAUCACCAUUGCCAAGAACCAAAAAUCAUGUUAUCGCUUCAAGCAUCAAGUAUUUGUAAUCUAAAAAUAGAUAAAAUUUAUAGUUACAGAGUAAUAUUAGACUACAAAGACUCACCGAAUUUCUCUACUCUCGAAUAAUUGAGCUAUUUGGAUCAUUGGGACUUUUUGACUUUCAAUUGUUGGGCUAUUUGGUGCAAGGUAGAAAAUAUGGGUAUAUAAGUGGCUACUCUUCUCCUUUCAAUUCUCAUUAUUGAAUAAAGAGUUGCACUGAGCAAGAUGCUUUUUUUUUUCUUCUUAGAUCGAGGUUUUUUCGCCGAGAUUUGAACAUUUGACUUUUUGGAAUAGCUUAUUCACCUCUAAUGACUUAUUAUCCUACUCGAUUCUCAAGAGUUCAAAAGUUUCCACUUUUGCUCUUGAGGUAUGGUUCCAGUUUUUAUUCGAAUAUUUGCCCAUGUCCUCCUUUAUCCUUCUAGUUCUCUUCUUCUUCGUUCUUUUUCUGAGAAAAAGAAAAACGUAACAAAUUUUCCAGCCAAACUCCAAGGGAGUUUUUUCAAGAAUCACCAUCCACUCUACCUAACACGGAUUGGCUAAAAGAAAGAACUCCUUUUAUUUGAGGCCCAAAUCAAGGUUCUAAGAAUAAUUUCGAUAAAAAGGUCGCUUGAAAGGCUUAGAUGGGUCAAAUAAAGCACAAAUCAUAUCCCAAAUCACUCAACGGCUCAAUACUUCACUUUGAAAAUUCCUAAGGUGAGUUCUAAGGCUGAACAUCAUAUGAUAUAUCAUAAAUUAACUCCACGUUUGAAAAAUAAAAUUUUCAACAAAAGCAACACAUAAUUCAUGAUUCUCAAUAAUGACUCACUCCUAAAUUACUUUGAAUCAAAAACUCGCCAAAAUUCAAGUAUAACUACAACAAAGCAAGUAAUAUCAUCAUCAAACAUUGGCCAUCAUUCUUCAUCAUAAUUCAUCGAUGCAUUCAAAUCAAACAUUUUUUUUAAAGAAAACAAUAAAUAUCUGAAAACGAAUAAAAAGAAAAAAAAUCCUAAAACAUGCAAUCUAAAACGUAUAAAGCACAUAAAAAGUGGUUUUCAAAAAUAUCCUAAAGCAUGCAAUCUAAAACAUAUAAAGCACAUAAAAAGUAUUUUUCCACCCCCAAACUUAAAGUUUUGCAUUGUCCUGAAUGUAAUUAAAAUGAACUUUAAGGAUAGAAUACACCUUGAUUAGUCGGAACGUCCUCCACGCGUUGCACUCCUCCAUCUCUUAGCUUCAUCUUUCAAGCAAACUUUUUUUUUACAAUUUUUCGAAAAACAAAUAAAUAAAAAAUUCUCCAGGGGUGUUCUGGACGGCCAUCUCACCUUUUGCACUGUUUUGAGACGACCGGUUUAAUUUCCGAACAUUCACAACUUGUCGUAACUUCUUCGGACGACCGUCUAGAGUUUUGGCUUGCUUUCGGACGGCCGUCUGGGCUUUUUGUGUUCGUUUUUUGACCUAAAAAUUCUAACAUGAUUAAAUUAUUAGAUUGCAAGCUUAUAUAUAUUCUAGGAAAAUUUAAAAAAAAAAGAAGAAAAAAAUCUAAAAAUAUGAGAAAAAAAACGAAAAAAACAAUAACUGCUCGGGUUGCCUCCCGGCAAACGCUAAAUUUUAAGUCUUCAGCAAACUUUGCUUCUUAAAACUGUUAUGUCCAAUCCAAAUCCUUGUAAAUUGUGCAUCCAUCAAUGGGCUCUACAACUUCAAUUGCAACCAGGGCAUGGAUAGCAUAGCAAUAGGUCACAGGGUCCACCUUAGCUUGUAGUCUUUUUUUGAUGUAAUCAAUUGGUACGAAGCCAAGAUGGGAUGUUCAUCAGUCGCUCCCUCGAAUCGGUACACAAAAACCUCAAGUCUGCUUAUAACAUCCACCUCAAACGCGUUCGCCUUCUCAUCAACCACUAUUGAUGCCUUCAAUAUCACAUCAGGUACAACGAUAAGAUCUUCAAUUUGAAUAUUUGCACUAACCACAUCCAUCUCCUUCUUCUCUUGUUCCGAGACAUCUAUGGAGUUUAGCUCGAUUGCAUUCUCAGAUUCAUCAUCUUUAAGCGUUCUCAUAAUUUAUUUUUCCCUCUCAUCAACAUUAUUUUCUAGGUCUGAAGAAUUUUUCUCACUACAAUUUUCAGACGAAUUUUCUUUGUUGCAACUAUUCUCGAUAUCGUCUGGAAUAUUUUCAUGAGACCUCUGGAACUUGAUCUCUUCCAACUGUAUCUCCAGUCUUUGGAUAGAUACUUGAGUGGAUUUCCUAAAAUCUUCAAGGAUGGAUUUCAAAUAAUACUCCUGAAUACUGGGUUCUCGUGGCCUUGCAUAAUAGGUUUUAAAAUCAUCACAUUGCGGCUCCCGAUGUUGAAAAUCAUUGAAAGCUUGGCUAGGAACGUUCUGUACGUACGUGUUGGUGUAUGUGUUCCAAUAACAUAUGUUGGUAGUAUCGAAGAAAUUAUUCGCUUUCGGUGCUUCCCAACAUUGGUUAGUGUAAUGAUUUCUUCCACAUGUUGAACCAAAUAGCGGCAUAUCAUAGGUGUUUUGGAGGUAUUCGCGAGAUGGAAUUCGUAUCCCGUUUGAGGUGCGCGAAAAUUGUAACAUGACAUGUAGCAAAAGAAGAAAAAUAAUUAAAUAAAAAUAAAACAAAUAAAAAAUUAAAAUUAAAAUUAAUUUGGAUGAAUCGAGAGCGUUGUUCGAAUCUAGAGUCAGAAUAAAUAGACAAUGUAUUAUAUGGCUUCGUCAUCUAGAUGAUUUCCUUCAGAUGAAUUUGAAUACAUUAAAUCAUCUUGGGAUAAUUUUAGUAUAUGAGAAACAACCGCAUCAGCGACAAUAUAUCUAUCGUGAUCGCGAAGAAAGUCAGAAACUAUUACGGAAAUAUUAUUUUUCUGAAAAUUGUACUUUCCAUUUUCUUAUGUUCGCAGGCGUUUUAGGAUGCGCAGGGAGUUGUUUUUUUAUAUUCAAAAUGAUCUUUAAAAUUAUAACACAUACUUCAUCCGAAAGAGAGAUGCACGUGGUCGUCUUGGCUUAUCAUCUAUUCAAAAAAUAACUACUGCAACUCUGCUUCUUGCUUAUGGGGCAUCUGCUGAUUUUUACAAUCAAUAUUAAAAGAUCGGGGAGGCAACAGGUAACGAAAAUUUAACAGAGUUUUGUUCGUCGAUAAUCGAACUAUAUGGAGAACAAUACUUGCGUUCACCAAAUGAACAUGAUAUUCACCGUCUUCUACAAGAAGGUGAAUCAUGAGGUUUUUUCCAGUUAUGAUUGGGUCUUUAGAUUUUAUGCACUGGCAAUGAAAAAAUUGUCCAACUGCUUGGCAAGGCACACACAGGGGUCACCACCACAAACCAACAUUAAUUUUAGAAGUAGAUGCAUACCAUGAUACAUGUAUUUGACAUUUUUUUUUGGCAUGUCAGGUGGAAAUAAUGAUAUUAAUGUCUUGGAACAUUCUCCACUUUUUGAUAAUAUGAUACAUGGUAGAAUGCCUCCAGUUCCUUAUACGGUGAACGGUCGUUCAUAUAUGAUGGGUUAUUACUUAACUGAUGGUAUUUACGUAAAAUAUGCAACUCUUACUCAAAUCAUUGCUCAUCCCACCACUGCAAAAGAAAAAUUAUUUGCGGCAAAACAAUAAUCAGUUAGAAAAUGUGGAGUGAGCAUUUGGUGUUUUACAAAGUAGAUGGGAUAUAACGCAAGGACUCAUCCGUUAUUGGUCAAAAGAAGAUAUAUGUAACAUAAAGAAAACAUGCAUUAUCCUUCAUAACGUCAUUAUAGAAGGUGAACGUGAAAUUGACAUUGAACCAUGGAUGCUACUACCAGAAGAGAAUUUUCGCCCCCAUCAAUGUGAACGAGAUCCAUCAAUUUUGGAGGCACAUAUCUCAGCACGCCUUAGUCGGAUCCACAAUCGACGAAUCGAUGAAAAUUUGAGAUAUGAUCUAUUGAACCAUUUGUGGAAUAUCUACGGAGAAGAAGAUGUCUAAAUAAUCUAUUGCUUUUGAGUAUUUUUAAUUGUAUUUUUGAUUUAUUGUUCUUUUAUUUUCACUUGAAGAAUUAUAUUUUAUAAUGUAAUCGAAUUUAGUAAAAUUAAAUUACUACAAAAAUUAUUGUGACAUUUCUUUUAAUUAAAGUGAUGAAUACGAGAGACAAAUGUGGAGCAAUCAAUAGGAAUUCACAUUGUUAUUCAUCUUGAGCAUAAAAAAAUGUAACAUCUCUUUUACUAUUAGACUUAAAUUAAUAAUAUUUAAGAAAAAAAGAUCAAAAUAAAUGUUUCGUGUAUUAUAUUUUAUAAGGGAUUAUUUUAGAGACCCACCUAAUUUCCAAAUUAUAUCUAACUAACUACCAUGCGGAUUCCACCCUAUGGCUAUCCCCCUAAUUUAGAAAAUAAUUUGACAGACCCCCCUGGGCAUACAUGAAGUACCUAAACUGCCCUUAGUAGCCCUUUUCCUAAACGCGGACGUUGCCAUGUAUACAUGAUCACAGCGUUUUAAAUCCAUGUGAAUGCGGAAAACGUGCGACGUAUCAGGGAACCUGAUUUUUCUUCGGGAUUUCGUGAGAUAUUCGUUAUGUUUCAAACCUUUCGAUUUUCGUAUUCGGUGUAAUUUGUGGUUCUCUGUAUCAUUCGUUUUCGAAUACGUUGACGUCAUCUCUGUAAGUGUUUUUAAAAUUUGAACACAUCAGAAUUAAUUGUCGACGAAUAUUUAUGUAUUAUGUAAAUUAUUUAUAAUUUUUGUAGAUCUUGCGUUUCUUUUUGUUUUUGUCUUUAUAUGUGUUUAUGGAGUGAUCCUGUGUUCAUGUAUUCUCUGUUUUUGUGUUUUUCAUUUGGUAGUUACAUGUAGUAAUGUUUAUCAGAUUUCGCGUAUGUAGAGUUCGUUGGCAAUGUGUAUCCAUAUGUAAGAUAUAUUUGUAAGACCAGUUAUAGUUUAGUACUAGUUUUAUAUGAUUUUGUUGGUUUUUGUGUUUGAGGUGGUGUGAAAGAGUUCAUACAGUGUGUUUGCGUUCAUGCAGGCCGAAGAAUAAAAGAAUUCCAUUUGUUCGGGAAAACAUAUCAAGGAAGAUGAAGUGUAGCAUGUGUAAUCACAUUGGCACCCACAACAAGAGACCUUGUAUUAGGAGCAUGACUUAGAAUUUUAACAUUUUUCUGAAUUUAUUUUGCUGGAUUGUUUUUUAUUGUUUGUUGACGUUUGAAAUUGAACUAAUUACAAAUUGUUGUUGGUUUUGCAUUCGUUGAUGUGUUUUCCUAUUUGUUGAUGGUGUGUCAAACUAGUUCAAUGUGUAUUGCGCGUGUGCACAACAUCACUCGGUCCACAAUUAUGUGUAGUUACGUAUAGUUGUAUGUAGUGAUAUUGUGCUGAAAAGCAUAUAAUCCGACUCUAAGUAUGAAUAGGAUGACUUGAAACGAUUACUUUGGAAAUAAGCAUCUAUAUCUACGUUAAAAUUGAAGUUUUGGGUAUGUUUUAGCUGUUUAUUCGUGUAUGAAAUUGCAUGUGUUGUAAAUAUAAACAAGUAUUUUUCUAUAUUUGUAGUUAUAGUUACAUGUAGUUAUAUUAUUGUUGUUGUCUUCAAGUCUCAGUUUAUAUGUAGGUUUAUCAGUUGCAAAUUCUCAUGAGCUAAUUGAUUGUUUCUGGGGAAAAUAUUUGGGACAAUGGGAUGAAACUUUUAAUUAUAAUAAAAGCAUAAUACAGAGAAGUGCAAUAUCUAAAGCAAAACAUUAUCGAAAAUAACAAAAUAAGUUUAAUCCCAAGAGUCUACAGAUUCCCAAUCGUGCUCGCCCGUCUCUUCAUCUUCCAGACAGUAGUCUGAAGACGAUUCAUCAGAAACACAGAACACAGAAACGGAAAAAAAAUCGAGAAAUAGUGCCAAUACCCAUUUACAGAGUUUUUUGUAAAAAGUACAUGUUUUCUUCAUAGCUUUUGCCUUUUUCACCAUUGUUCUGGUUUUCGGGGAGAAACUUUAAAACGACGGCGAAGAAACGAGUAGUUUUGUUGUCCGUCGGAGGUGAAAGACGGUGGGUUUUGAGGUCGGCGGUUUCCAUAGGCGGUGGUAGGUUGGAGACGACAAUCUUCUCUGCUGAUAUGUUGCGUGUAAUUUAGAUUUUUGGGGAAAUGCGCGGUUAUAUGGGGAUUUGAUUUUGUUGAUUUAUUUAUUUAUUCCCCAACAUAUUUAUUCCCUAACUCCAGGGGGUAUAUCAAAGGAAGAUUUUUCAUUGGGUUUAUCCCUAGUUAAUUUGCCUCUUCGGGGGUAUGUAAAAUAAGCCCAUUUUAUAAUUGAACUUAUUAAAAUUUAAAUAUAAGUUUUUUUUAUCGAUACAUCUAAAUGUAUAAUUUCUUUUACUAUUAAUAUUAAAGCCAAUGAAAUUUAAUAUUGUAAUCCGUAAAAACAUAUAAUACAAUCAAAUAAUAAAAUAGAAUUAAACAUUACUUAUUUUAUAAUGUUUAAUUAUUUUAUUAUUUGAUUAUAUUUAUAUAUAUAUAUAAUCAAAUAAUAAAAUAAUUAAACAUUAUAAAACAAAACAGAAAAAAAAACAAAAAAAGAAAAAGAAAAAGAAAAAGAGGAAAACAUACACGGAUACACGGCACACACUUCAAUGGAUGGCAAUUAAAAUAAUGAACAUGGCCCAUAUUUAUCCUCUCCGAACAUUUCUUAAUUGUAGGGAAUAAAUUAAAGAGUCCCAGCCUAGGUGAAGUAGAAGGUGAGGGAGCCAUUUAAUUCUUCUUCUUGGGAUUUUUUGCAGAGGCUAAUUUUCUUUAUUAUUUGAAAAAACUUGACGAAGGAGGAUGGUUGAGAGGUGGUUAAAGGCAGCGGCAGGUGGUGGAGGAAAUGGCGGGAAGAGGCACUACAACAAAAUGAAGAUAAUGGGACACUUGAUUAGAGACGUUUUCUUAUAAAUGUCCCAAAGAUAAAUUAUUAGGACACUUAUAAUUUGUGCUUCAAUUACUAAACAUAUAGGGACACUUAAUUAUCAAAUAAUUUAGCAUAUUUUUAUAUAAGUUAAUUUUUGAUUCUUUUUAGCCCACCUCACCUUUCACUUUCUCCAAUCGUAUCUUUUAUUUUAUUUUCUUUCACUUCUUCUCCCAAUUUUUCUAAUCUAUAAUCUAGGGUUUAUAUUGACUAAUAUUUUUCAUUUCUUUUUCUCGAUUCGACAGUAGCAGAUUUUCUUUCUCAUUGUAGAAGAUCUAAAUGGUUAAAGUUUCUUUGAAAUCGUGAAAGCGGCUAAUAGUUUUCUUGUCUGUAGUCUCAAAUCGACGGCCGAAGAUGCUUAAUGUCAUCAAUUAAUCGACGGCGGUAAGACGAGCUAGGGCAACGACGAUGAAGGAUUAAUUGAUGAGUUGGGGCACAACGAUGAAAGGUAUUUCGUUUUUUUCUUUUUGGGAGUGGUAAUAACAGACUCUAUAGAGUUUUGCGGUGAAUCAAUUCAAUAUAGAAGUGCAAUUUUAAUUGUUCAUUGUUCAAACUUGAUGAGCUAUACUUAUGAUUUUUGCAUUUGGGUUAAUGAUUUUAGUCAUGGAUUAUUCGAUUAGGUAUAUAUGCAACUGGUAAAAUUUUGGUACCGCUAAUUUACAAAAUAGUCGUUCAUAGUUAGACAUUGGACUUAAAGAUAUUAUUUGAGACUAUAUGUUUGUACAUGAUUUUGCUACUGAAUUAGGAUUUAGAAAUAUAUUAUUGGUGAAUGUCUCUUAUCUGCUAGUUGUAUAUUUAUUUUGACUAUGCAGUUUAUCGUUGACUGUGAAAUGAGACGAACUUAUAUAGAAGAUUGUGCUAAGAAGUAUACAUAAUUGAUUGUAAUGGUAGCUAUGCAUUUAUACGUGUUAAUUAAAAUAUUGCUUUUACUGCUGAAACUAUAUUUUGGAAUUAGAUUUCUAUUGCAGAUUCUUCAUCCUGAGCCCGCUUCACUAUUGAUGUUUCACCCGGAAUCACAGAUUGGCUCUCUCCUGAGGUGUCCCCCAAGAUAUCUGAUAUCAAUUAUCCAUUGAACAGGUGAAGAAGUUAUAUUAACUUUGUACAAAUGUUAAGUACAAUUUACAUUCUUAGAGGUGAUAGAAUGAUUUAGUCUCUCAUAGAAUUUUUGUUGUUUUAAUUUUUAUAAUAGGUUACUUGUCUUUGUUGCAUCUGUUGUUACUGCCCACAGGUUUGCACAUUAACUUGAUAUUUUUUUUGGUUAUAUAUAAUUCAAAAUGGCACUCUAUCGAUGCAUGUCUUGUGAUGUUCUAGUUUUUUAUUAGAUAUGAUAUAUACAGGUUAGUUGAUAUUUUUGUUUCCAUAUCCAGUUAUUUAUGUCUUUUAGACAAAUAACUGUCACUCUGCCUACUGGAAUAUCUAUCGAAGUGAUAGUGAGCUUCUUUGUUCAAUUUACCUAGUCGAAUUUAGAUUUGGAAAUGUUGUUAUCUCGUUAUUGUUUUGAUAUGACAUCUAACCUAUGUAGAUACAUUGGCUCGUGAAGUAAUUUUAUAUUGUCUUUUGUGCAGAUCACAAGAUAAGACUCAAAAUUGCUUAAUUGGGCAGUAGUUUAUGCUUUGUCAGACAUGAGUUUAUCAAAGGUGAGUUUUUUAUAUUACACUAGACAUUUAACUGUUUUAUUAGGUAUUCUCGGUUAGUUACUAUUAACUUAAGAGAAUUUCUUUAGAGAUCUUCCAAUCUCUGAGCAAGUUAUAUUAUAUACGUUCUAUUUUUGAUCUUUGUGAUUAUUGUAACAGGCUGAUUUCAAAAAAUGAUCAUGGAGAAAAGCUUAACUCACACAAGAGAAAGAGCAAAACCUCCAAAGGAUAAAAGCAACUUGCCAAUAUGCGAUUUAGUCAUAGGACUCUUGUAUGUUUUGUCUAUUUGUCACUGAAUACUAGUUGACCAUUUGUUGGCAACUCAUGAAAAUACAUUGAAUUAAUUGUGGAUUUUAAUAAAUGGAUUACUUUUGAUUUUAUUUCAUAUUCUUUUGUACCUUUAUUAUAUACUGUACUUCUAGUAGAUUACAUGCUUUGAUAACGCAGCUGAAAUAUUAGAAAUUAUCGUAUUUUUUUUUUGAGUAAGAAAUUAUCGUAUUAAUUGUAUUUGAUAACAUUUGUAAUACAUAUAAGUGUCUCUAAACAGGUUAUAUUACUCUUUUAAAGUCUGUUAUAGGACAUUUAGUUUUGUCUCAACUAUAUGUAGUGAUAAUUUUGAAUGUCCCAAUAUAUUCGUUAUGUGACACUUAUAUUUGUCUCCAAAUCAAAUAAGGAUGUCUAUAAUUGUCCCGAUACAAUAUAUUUCGGGACACUUAAUUUUGUCUCCAACUCUAUCGAGAUAUUUAUAAAUUGUCCCGAUAAAACACUAUAUUGAGACACUUUAAGUGUCCCUAACUUUAUAGGACACUCAAACAUGCGACACUUGCAACAAUUGUCUCUAAAAGUCCAAGUGUCCCAAUACAUGUCUUAUUGGGACACUUAUCCAUGCCCUAAAAGGGAGUUUUUGUUGUAGUGAGGGUGAUAAGAGGUAAGGAUGGGGUGGAAGGAGUUUUGGUCCAGCUCAUUUGCGGGUCCCAAGUAGACGUCACAUGAGAUGCACAUGAGGUUUCCGUCAAAGUUAACAAAAAAAUUAGACAGCCGAAAUAAAAUUGUCAUAAAGUUGUAAGUUUUUAGGAUUAAAUUCGUGCCGGCAAAUGUUGAGAUCGAAAAUCCUUUUAGGUGAUAAGUAUAAGGACAAAAAGUGUAAUUAUCCCGUCAAAAGUAACAUCAUAUAAGGAUAAUGUAAGACCUUACCUCGAGGGUAAUUUACAUAAAAAAUACUAUUAUUACAAUAUUCAGUCAAAUUAGGUAAACUAUCGGUUAUAUUAUGAAAACAUCGGUCAUAUUAUGCAAAAAAUCCAACUAUAUUAUUCAAAACUUCAGAACUUCAGAUUCAGAUCGUGGAAAAUGAAGUCAGAUUCAGCAAAAAAUAUGUCCGAUCGUUGUUCAAUAUUAUGUUAGUUAAUAGCAUUUUUCCAGUUUUUUUUUUUUUUUUUUUUGAGAAAAAGAUGGCUAUAUUAGGCACACAUGGCCAGAUGUGAAGGGAGAAUAUACCCUUCUAGAGUAUCUGAAACAGAAAAAGCAGCCAAAGCAUGAGCAAGAUGAUUACCCUGUCUCUUUACAAAGGAAAAGGAACACGAUGAUAAAGAAUUAACGAGAAUUAAACAAUUAUCUAAAAUGGCCCCAAAGGAGUGGAGCGAAUGGUCACCCUUACGCAAAGCUUCCAUUAUUUGAAGGCAAUCUCCUUCAAUGAUGAUAUCCUCCCACUGCCAAGAGAUAGCCAAUAAGAUGGCUUGGCGCACCGCUUCGGCUUCACCUUCAACUGGGCGAACACGGCCGGCAAUCUUCCUUACUUUCCACCAGACACAAUCACCAUUAGCAUCUCUAACCACGACAGCGGUAUUGAAGAAAUCUGCACUAGGCGGAAAUGAGGCAUCCACAUUAAGUUUUAGAACUCCUAACGGCGGCGGCUUCCAGGCGGUCAGGUGCGCGAUCGUCUUGACUGUUACAUGCGCGAAUCGGGCAUCUUGAAAGGUCGCCAAAUAAGAGCUACACCAAACCACAAUAUCGUCCAGCUUAAUCGUAUCCUUGCCAUGCAAAAUACAAUUCCGACGGUCCCAUAUUUUCCAACACAAUAUUACAGCAAGAAGAAAUAAUUCAUCAACCAAAGAUUUAGAGAGAAGAUCAAACCAAGCCCAGAAAGACAUUUCCUCGCCCAUGUGUCGAAUUUUGAAAGGACCUUUCAUCCACAGCUCCUUCAGCCCAUUACACCCGUAGAUAGCGUGAGCCGUUGUCUCGGGAUAUUGACCACAAAUUGGGCACAUCGGGUCUAAAAUGAUUUUUCGUCUGAACAACUCCACCUUACAUGGGAUAAUCUCCGAGCAUGCUCGCCACACAAAAACACGGAUCUUUGGUGGAACCUGUAAAUGCCAGAUUCUUUUCCAAUUUUGACUAGGAGUGCCACUAGGUUCCCCAUAGUGGUCACUUGAGAAAGAAUAGCGACUGAGUCGUUCCAUAAUAAGGUGGUAGCAAGUUUUAACUGUAAAUUGCCCCGUAGUUGACGGGCCCCAAAUCAGGCGGUCCCGAGUAGAAGGGCCCCCAAUCGGAACCGCAAGAAUACGUGCCUUGUCCACCGGCCAGAAGAGAUUGCUUAUCACAUCCACAUUCCAGAGACUUGUAGACGGGUCGAUGAGGUCCGAAACGGAAUUAGGGAAAACGGAGUGGACUGGUCUCGGAGUGAAGAUUCUUGGAUUAUCGUCUUUAGAAAUCCAGGGAUCCCACCAAAUAGAGGUAGAGGAUCCGUCGCCAAUUCGAACCCGAAUUCCUUCUCGGAGGUAUGUACGAGAUGCAAGGAUACUACGCCACGUCGCCGAGGGACGGUUGCCAGUCGUUGCCGACCAUAGAUCAUUUGUAGGAUAAUACCGCGCUUGGAGAAUGCGGGUGAGAAGAAGCUCGGGUUUCGUAGCAAUUCUCCAAGUUUGCUUUGCAACAAGAGCCAAAUUAAAGGCUCGAAGAUUACGAAAGCCCAAACCCGAGAAGAAGCUCGGGUUUCGUAGCAUUUUUCCAGUUAUACUUUGCUUGUUUUUGCACUUUGUCAACUUAACAAAAAAAUAUUGCACGGGCACACCCAACCCGUUAUAAUUACUUACUUAACCACCUAGGGCGAAUAUUCAGACGAAUCUUCACAAAUUACGGCGCACGGGCAAAACACAUAACAAUGUAAAUUGAACUUAAUUUGAAAUUUGCCUAAAUUCGAAAUUAAUUAAAAUAAAGCAUUAUUGGAUCUUUUUCUUCCAUUGGAGUUUCUCCCCCAAUAAUUCAAAGAAGAUAAAAUUAUGGUCGGUUGUAAUUACCAGUGCCAAGAAUCAGUUUAGCAGCACACACAAACACUUGUCCACGUCCGUCUCUGCAGUAAAAAAAAGAAAAAAUAAAAAAAUAAAAAUAAAAAAAACUCUUCACAUUCAAUUCAAAAGACACAACAUGCACCUCGAAGAAAAGUUUUUCUUUUUUAUUUAUUUAUUUCGUUCGCAAGUACUUUGUUCGUUGUAAUUGUGAUCCGGUUCUUUUUUCUUGAUCCUUAAUUUGUUUGCCAAAAAGAGAAAUUUGAGUCGAGCGUCCUAUUUUUUGUAACUUGCUUUGUUAUUCAUUCAUGUUUUAGAUUUCUGAUCUUUUUUCACUUUCUGCAUAUUUUGACCAAAUGAGAUUUGCCACAUGUAUAAACCACCAAAUAAAGUUAAGAUAAUAAGCUAAAGCAAACUAUUAUUAGAAUACGUUCCUUUACAAUUUGCAUAAAGUUGUAAGGAACUUUUGGGGCUAUUGAUACGAUCCAGAGAUGCUCCAGGACGAAGAAUUGGAAGACGCGAAAGCGUACGAGUUUAAAGACAUUAUUCGAGCUGUCCUUGGAGAGUAAAGGGUUGAAUAAGACCAUUGAAGAGUCCGUGGUUUGGAAUUGGAAGAAAAGAAAGAGAAGAAGUCGUUGGACAAGUCGAAUUCCAUGCAUCCGAGAUUCUCGCUUAUUCUGGCAGAGUUUACCAUUUGAGUUAUAACUCUCGCAUCUGAAGUCCAUUUAAGCUGAUUCAAAAUGGUUCGGAAAGCUAACUGAAAUAUCUACAACUUUGAUGUUUUGAGCGAAGAUAUAUUCGAAGUGGAACAGUGUCGAAAUUGAGCUUUAAUUGCAUGCACGUGCACAGCCCAAUGUCGCGAGUUAAGAAGGGUGAUCGAGAAGUCGACUUGAAGAUCAAGUUAUUAAAUUUAUUUAUGCACGUUUUUAAUUUAGUAUUUAUUAUGUUUUUAUUAGUUUAGAGUCUUUUAUGGUUAGGAUUUGCUUAUUUACAUGUUUCCUUAUUAUAGUUUAGGUAGGAGUCCUUUUCCUUGUGAAAAAGGAGUCUUUUUAGCAUUUAUUAAUAGGUUGCCAAUUUGGCUUAUUUUAUAGGACGAAUUUUAAUGAUUUAAUUGAGAAUAUUCUCUUUGGUUCUUUAAGAACUCUUCGAACAUAUCGGUGGAUUCCGUUUGUUCACCUCGACUUAUCAAUCGAUCUUUCGCAAUCGAUUGUGGCGUCUUCACAUACCAAGGUUCUUGUCUCUUUAUAGGCAACGGGUCGCGGUUCCACCCCUUUGAAUCUUUGUUUUUGGAUGUUUUCGAUCUUGCUUCCGCCUAAGGUAUUAGGGUCUCAUAACAAGUUCUACGGGGUUCGUAUCAGGGCUAUGAUCUUAGUUUGCUUGUGAUUUGGUCUUCGUUUUAUGUUUUCUCAUACUUUCUUGGUUUGUAACAUUUCUUGUUUUCGGGAUUUUUUCAUACGGUAUUGUCCAAAUUUCGAGGAAGAUGGUACGGUUAUCGAUGGGAGAGUUGGACAAACCGAGUAAGAGAGAAGAGGAGAUUGACUAUGACUUUAAUUUUUUUGUAAUUGGAGAGGUGAAAAAACCCACUGAAAUUAAUUGAUAUAAAGGUAUGGGUUUUCUUUGAAUUAAUUAAUGGGGAGAAACUCCCAUGGAAGAAGGAAGAAGACCCAAAACUUUGUUUUAGUUAAUUUCGUAUUUUAACAAGGUUCAAAUUAAAUUCAAUUGAGUCCUUGAAACAUUCAAUUUCAUCCCAUGUGAUAUUUUUAGGUGAAAAGAUGAAAAAACACAUUUAUUUUAUCACGUGUUUCAUGCUUGCGCCUGUAUUUGUGAAGAUUCGCCAUAAUAAUUGCCCAAAGUGGUUAAGUGAGUCAAAAUAACGAAGUUGAGUGUGCUUGUUCAUUUUUAUUUAAUUAAGGUGGCAAAGUGCAAAAUCAUGUAAAGAAAAGGUGGCAAAAUGCUAUAAAAUCUAAAAUUUUCAUCCAAUUAUGCUUUCACAAAUCCAAGUUCGUUUUGAAAGCAACAACUAGAGCUACAACGUCUUCCAUGUUUGGCGUACUCGAUGAUACAAAGUUUAUGGUACUUACAGUUACAUAGUAUGCUCAAAAUUGUGCAUGGAUUACGAAUUGCGCUACUUACAUAGUUACGUAUUUCUACCAUAGCUACCUCGUCUAAAGUCCAAGUGCCUUGAUACAAAAUGUAUUCAAAAGCCAAAACAAUAGACCUACAAGAAAUGAAUCAGUAAGGAUUUGGGUUUGCGUCUUUCAUAAUUUAAAUUGCAACUCAACGAAAAUUGAAAAAAUGCAGGUGUACUUUUGUAAAAGAGAUGAGGGAACUCAAAUUUCAUUCAUAAGAUCGUAAGUUAAUACACAAUAAUAUUAUUCAUGAAUAUCGCUCAAAUCAUAAAUAAAUAAAAACAUUCACGAAUCAAAUAUUUUAAUUUCCGAUUCUUGCAAGACAAUGACAUGUCCAGUAGGGCUCCAGGGGAGGGUUCGGAGAACGGCAAUAUCCUCCGGGGCAAGGAUAGGACCCACAUGACACUUUGCUACACGCAAAACUACAAACUUCUCCAAGGCAUGGUUCCAUUUUGAAACUUGGUUCACCAUUACAACUUAUACUACACAUUAUUGAAACCAAACCAUAAACAAGAAAAAUAAUUAUUAGUACUUGCUUCCUCAUUGCUUCCAUUUAGUAGAGAGUGUUCAAUAUUAUAAACUGUCAUAAUUGUGCCCUUUUAUAGAUAGAAAAUAUGUAAUGUUCAAUAAUACUGUAAUUACAUGAUACAAAGAUAAAAAGUCAGGUAUGGAUUACUUGAAUUACAUGAAAAAACCAUAAUUCAAACAAAGAUGUAUGCAAUAAUAUAAAUUUUCUCUUAAUAUAAAUAUAAAUUACAAAAUCAACGACAAAAGUAAUAAUUAAGUAUAAAUUACUGUAAUAAAAAUUGACUAAAUAUUUUUAUAAAUUUGAGUUGACUAUUGUAUUGUAAGGGACUCUUUGAGUUUUGUGCCAUUUCUCAAUAAAGAAGGGUCCAACCAUAUUUUUAGCAAUAAGCAUACAUUGAACCCUUAUUUUGUUUAAAAUUUACCCUCUCCUAUCUUACUCACUGCUUGAUGUUUUUUUUCUUUUUGUGUUUUCUAAUUUUAUUUUUGUUUAUAUAUAUUCUAAAUAACUUACAAAAUUACCAUAAUAAACUAGAAUUUUAUUUUUAUGUUUUGGGUUUUUUUUCUUCUAAAAUCAACUAUAAAAAAUUACCGUAAAUAACCACAAAAAAAUGGUAUUCAACCACAAGUUUACAAAAUAAAAAUCAACUAUAAAUUAUCGAAAUCGACUACAAAAUAUCAAAAAGUUAUCUAAUUCAACUACAUGUUAAUGAAAUAAACUAAAAAUAAAAAAGAAAACACCCAAAUCAUGACUUGUCAAACUAAUGAGCGAAAAGUAAUUUGACUCGUGCGAUGCACGGGGUGGAUAAAAAUUAAUUUUGAAUAAAAUUUAAUUUAAUAAGUUGAUGUGUUCAAGAGAAUAUCAAAUGAAGCAGCAUCUUUAAAUAUAUUAAUAAUUCUUUAAAUAUAUUAAUAAUUUUAUUAGUGCGACAUAUACUUACUAUUAAGCAAGUUAAAUUCAAUAAUAUUUCAUAUUCAGUAACUUGCAAAGCCAACUCAAUUUUCCCCUUUACGAAUUGUUUUACGCCCGAAAACAAUAUAUAAAAAAAAAGGAUAUACAUGUCAUGCUAGUUUUCAAAGAACUGAGUAGUUAGUAAUGGGAAUAAAUUGUUGACGUUUAUUACACCUUUUAAUAAUAAAGAAAAAUAACAUAAUUUUCCAUCAUAAAUAUCAUUACGAGUAAUUGUAAAAAUAGAGCCAAUAAUUGUGAAACAAAUUAAAAAAAUUGCUUACCAGUAUUGACACAAAAACCUAGUUCUAAGAUCUCUAUUACGUUUUUCUCUAAGGAUUUCAAGCAAUAAAGCAACAAAAUACAUGAUUUGCAUGCGUAUCAAAAAUAAAAAAAUAAAGGGAACAAAUGUACGAUUUCCAAAUCUGUCAAACAUAUUUAAACUCUUUUAUACUAGUCCUGCAAAUUUUCAGGAAAUCUACUAAUAUAAAGGAUGCAUGCAGAAUUUGAAAAUCACUUAAUCUAGGAUAACUAAAAUAUAUGAAAUCUCCUAGUUUUCGAAAAAUAUGCUAAUUUUUAGCAUAAAAUGGUUUCAAAAAAUGAAUUUAAUUAAUAAAAUGUAGCGACAUAAAAUGAAAAUCCGUUACUCUAAUGCUAAUAUAAUACUAAUAUUAAUUAUAAUAUAUUAAUGCUAAUCCUAAUAUACUAAUGCUACUAAUGUGAAUACUAAUGUUUUUAUUAAUAUUAAUGAUACUCCUAAUUUUAUAAUUAAAAGUUAGUAUUAGUAUUAUGUUAGUGUUAGUAUUAGUGUUAGUGUUAGUUUUAGUGUUAACGUUAGUGUUAGUAUUAAUAUUAGUAUGUUGUUAUAUUAAUAAUUUAAUGUAAGAAAUUUAAAAUAGUUUUAACUUUUAUUUAUUUAAUAGACUAUUGAUAAUAUAAAGUUAUUUUUUACAAUUAAUAAAAUUCAUUAAAUAGAAAUUGAUAAAAUUUAAUUAUUAAUAUUAAUAUUUUAAAUACAUAAUAGUAAAAUUUAAUUUUGGUUUUAGUAUAAUUGAUGUAUAAUAAGUUUUAAACUUUUGGUAUAAUUAAAUUAAAUACAAAUAUAGUAAUUAAUAUUUGAUAUAAUUUUAAAAAUACUUUAUUAUAACAAAUGACCACAAAGUACAAGAGUGUACAAAUUUUAAUAUUUUAUUGGUUUGCUGUAUUUUAUAUUGACAUGUUAAAUAUGAGAAGCCAAACAUAUGAUAAUAUUUUAUUGGCUUAAUAGAAUUAUAUGUUUGCUCAUGAAGAUUGUUAAAAGAAUGUAAAUGAUCAUUUACACAUAUCUCGACAAUCCUUUUGUUUUUAUCUUUAAAGUACUUAAUUCCUAAAUUCAGUGACGAGGCUGGCUAAAAUUUGGCAUUUCUCAACAAAUAAAUAAUAAAAAUAAAAUAUAAAAUAAAAAAAUAAAAAAUAAAAGAAUUUGUUUACUAAUACCUUACCUUAACAUGUGUGUUGUCAGUUGUGUGAUUGUAUCAUAUAUCUGACAAACUAUUAUUGUCCACUCAAAUUUGCCCUUUAAGAUGACAAAUUUGUUAGGUUUAUAUCCAUAAUUGUUGAGUGACAAUUUAUUAUAUGUGUAUAAAUUCAACUAAUAAGAUUCAAUUUUUAGUAAAUUUAUUAUUUUUUAUGCGUGAAAAAUACCUCUACUGAUUUAAGCAAAAAUAAAUUCUGAAAAUAAUAUCCCUUAUUUUUCUUCCCCUUUCAUUUGACCCAUCUGUUACCAAAUCAGAUAACGGUUCCGAAAAAUCUCAAAUCCCAAAUUCUACAGCCCCGGAAAAUCAAUUCCAUUAAUACCAAACCCUAAACAAAAAUUACAUCGGGCAUGCCAUAUUUUGAGUCUUCCAAGCGUUUGCAAUUUAAAAACUUCUGUUUGUUAUAUGAUUUGUGGAACAAGUUUACCAUUUUUUAUUUGCUAUUUGGAGAUCGAUUGAUGUUUGAAGGCAUCGCCUGUUGUUUAUUGUUUGUUGUUUGCGAUUUCUACAAUGGUUCAGACACGAUUUAAUCUUGGUAAUCAACACCCCUAGCGGCUGACCGACGACGGUCAAACUUAGAGUCAAAAUUGUAGUAGAGGUCAAAAUUGAAUGAUUGACAAAAUUAAAUAUGAAAUUAGAAUAUACUAAAAUGCAAUGGGGGUAUUUUAAUUUUUUAAACAGACCUAAACUCAUUUGUACUAUCUUCCCUUAAGAUGUGUGCAUCAAUGAUAUAUCUGACACUAAACAAAGUAUCAAACUAUUGUCCACACAAAUUUCUUCUUCAAGAUGACAGUUUGUCUUACGUUUAUUAUAUCCGUAAUCAUCGUCAUCUCAAACGUCAUACUUUCUAAACCCUAUCUAGGUUUACAAAUUAAACUUGACUUUUAUGCUUACUACUCCAUGAAAUUAAUCCAACUAAAAAAAAUUACUAACCACAAACUUCCACAAUUCCUUUCUAUAUAUAGCAAUUAGCAUAGUGAUUCUCCAAUCCUCAUCUCUCUCAGUCUCUCUCUUUCUUUCUCUCACACACACUCGCACGUAAAUUCACACACACACACACAACACAACUAUGGGCAUCAACCCAUCCCUUCAGUUCCGGCACGUGCUGUUAGUAACAUUUCCGGCACAAGGCCACAUCAACCCAUCCCUUCAGUUCGCCAAGAGGCUGACCACCAUGGGCAUCCCUUCAUCAUAUAGAUUAAAAAUUUACAAGCUUAAAAUUGUCAUGGGACUUAUCAAAAAUUUACAAGCUUAAAAUUUAACGAUAGUUAACUGAUUACCAUUGCCAAGAACCAAAAAUCAUGUUAUCGCUUCAAGCAUUCAAUAUUUGUAAUCUAAAAAUAUAGAAAAUUUAUACUUACAUAGUAAUAUUAGACUCCAAAGACUCACCGAAUUUCUCUACUCUCGAAUAAUUGAGCUAUUGGGAUCAUUGAGACUUUUUGGCUUUCAAUUGUUGGGCUCUUUGGUGCAAGGUAGAAAAUAUGGCUAUAUAAGUUGCUUUUUUUUUCUUCUUAAAUCGAGGUGUUUUCGCCGAGAUUUGAAAAUUUGACUUUUUGGAAUAGCUUAUUGACCUCUGAUGACUUAUUAUCUUACUCGAUUAUCAAGAGUUCAAACGUCUCCACUUUUGCUCUUGAGGUAUGGUUCCAGUUUUUAUUCAAAUAUUUGCGCAUGUCCUCCUUUUCCCUUCUAGUUCUCUUCUUCUUCGUUCUUUUUCCGAGAAAAAAGAAAAACGUAACAAAUUUUCCAACAAAACUCCAAGGGAUUUUUUUCAAGAAUCUCCAUCUACUCUACCUUGCACGCAUUGGCUAAAAGAAAGAACUCUUUUUUCUUUGAGGCCCAAAUCAAGGUUCUAAGGAUAAUUUCGAUAAAAAGAUCGGCUUGAAAGGCUUAGAUGGUUCAAAUAAGGCACAAAUCAUAUCCCAAAUCAUUCAACGGCUCAAUACUUCACUUUGCAAAUUCCUAAGGUGAGUUCUAAAAACAAACAUCAUAUGAUAUUUCAUAAAUUAACUCCACGUUUGAAAAACAAAAUUUUCAACAAAAGCAACACAUAAUUCAUGAUUCUCAAUAAUGACUCACUCCGAAAUUACUUUGAAUCGAAAGCUCGCCAAAAUUCAAGUACUACAACAAAGCAAGUAAUAUCAUCAUCAAACAUUGGCCAUAUUUCUUCAUUAUAAUUCAUCUAUGCAUUCAACUCAAACAUUUUUUUAAAGAAAACAAUAAAUAUAUGAAAACGACUAAAAAGAAAAAAAAAUCCUAAAGCAUGCAAUCUAAAACAUAUAAAGCACAUAAAAAGUGUUUUUCCACCCCCAUACUUAAAGUUUUGCAUUAUCUUGAAUGUAAUUAAAACGAAGUUUAAGGAUAGAAUACACCUUGAUUAGUCGGAACGUCCUCCACGCGUUGCACUCCUCCAUCUCUUCAUCUUUCAAGCAAACUUUUUUUUUUUCAAUUUUUCGAAAAACAAAUAAAUAAAAAAUUAUCUAGGGGUGUUCCGGACGGCCGUCUCACCUUUUGCACUGUUGUAAAGAUGACCGUCUCAAUUUCCGAACAUUCACAACUUGUCGUAACUUCUUCGUACGACCGUCUGGAGUUUUGGCUUGAUUUUCGGACGACCGUCUGGGCUUUAUGUGUCCGUUUUUUGACCUUAAAAUUCAAACGUGAUUAAAUUAUUAGAUUGCAAGUUUAUAUAUAUUCUAGGAAAAUAAAAUAAAAAAUAAAAAAUAAAAAAAAAACACACUAAAAAAAUAUGAGAAAAAAAAACGAAAAAAACAAUAAAUGCUCGGGUUGCCUCCCGGGAAACGCUAAAUUUUAAGUCUUUUUUGCUUCUUAAAAUUAUUAUCCAAAUCCUUGUAAAUUGUGCAUCCAUUAAUGGGCUCUACAACUUCAAUUGCAACCAAGGCAUGGAUAGCAUUGCAAUAUGUCACAGGGUCCACCUUAGCUUGUAGUCUUUUUUUUUUGUUGUAAUCAAUCGGUACGAAGCCAAGAUGGGAUGUUCAUCAGUCGCUCCAUCAAAUCGGUACACAAAAACCUCAAGUCUGCGUAUAACAUCCACCUCAAAAGCAUUCGCCUUCUCAUCAACCACUAUUGAUGCCUUCAAAACCACAUCAGGUACAACGAUAAGAUCUUCAAUUUGAAUAUUUGCAAUAACCACACCCAUCUCCUUCUUCUCUUGUUCCGAGACAUCUAUGGAGUUUAGCUCGAUUGCUUUCUCAGAUUCAUCAUCUUUAGGCGUCUUCAUAAUUUAUUUUUCCCUCUCAUCGACACUAUUUUCUAAGUCUGAAGAAUUUUUCUCACUACAAGUUUCAGACGAAUUUUCUUUGUUGCAACCAUUCUCGAUAUCGUCUGGAAUAUUUUCAUGACACCUCUGGAACUUGAUCUCUUCCAACUGUAUCUCCAAUCUUUGGGUAGAUGCUUGAGUGGAUUUCCUAAAAUCUUCAAGGAUGGAUUUCAAAUAACACUCCUCAAUAGUGGGAUCUCGUGGCCUUGCAUAUUAGGUUUGAAAGUCAUCAAAUUGCGGCUCCCGAUGUUGAAAAUCAUUGAAAGCUUGGCUGGGAACACUAUGUUCGUACGUGUUGGUGUAUGUGUUCCAAUAACCUAUGUUGGUAUUAUCGAAGAAAUUAUUCGCUUUCGGUGAUUCCCAACAUUGGUUAGUGUAAUGAUUUCUAACACAUGUGGAACAAAAUAGCGGCAUAUCAUAGGUGUUUUGGAGGUAUUCGCCAGAUGGAAGCAAUUCAUAUCCCGUUUGAGGUGCGCGAAAACUGUAACCUGACAUGUAACAAAAGAAGAAUAAUAAAUAAAUAAAUAAAUAAAUAAAACAAAAAAAAUUAAAAUUAAAAUUAAUUUCGGUGAAUCGAGAGAGUUGUUUGAAUCUAGAGUCAAAAUAAAUAGACAAUGUAUUAUAUGGUUUCGUCAUCUGGAUGAUUUCCUUAAGAUGAAUUUGAAUACAUUAAAUCAUCUAGUUCUUCAUCUUCAUCCUCCUCUUCAGAGGAGGCUCUUCGGAGAAAGAAACUCAAGAAAUGAAUAAUUUUAUUCUUGGGAUAAUUGUAGCAUAUGAGGAACAACCGCAUCAGCGACAAUAUAUCUAUCGUGAUCGCGAAAAAAGUCAGAAACUAUUACGGAAAUAUUAUUUUUCUGAAAUUUGUACUUUCUAUUUUCUUAUUUUCACAGGCGUUUUAGGAUGCGCAGAGAGUUGUUUUUUAUAUUCAAAAUGAUCUUUAAAAUUAUAACACAUAGUUCAUCUGAAAGAGAGAUGUACGUGGUCGUCUUGGCUUAUCAUCUAUUCAAAAAAUAACUACUGCAAUUCCGGUUCUUGCUUAUGGGGCAUCUGCUUAUUUUUACAAUGAAUAUUAAAAGAUCGGGGAGGCAACUGGUAACGAAACUUUAAGAGAGUUUUGUUCAUCCAUAAUCGAACUAUAUGGAGAACAAUACUUGCGUUCACCAAAUGAACAUGAUAUUCACCGUCUUCUACAAGAAGGCGAAUCACGAGGUUUUCCAGGUAUGCUUGGAUCUUUAGAUAUUAUGCACUAGCAAUGAAAAAAUUGUCCAACUGCUUGGCAAGGCACACACAGGGGUCACCACCACAAACCAACAUUAAUUUUAGAAGUAGUUGCAUACCAUGAUACAUGGAUUUGACAUUCUUUUUUUUGGCAUGUCAGGUGGAAAUAAUGAUAUUAAUGUCUUGGAUCAUUCUCCACUUUUUGAUAAUAUGAUGCGUAAUAGAAUGUCUCCAGUUCCUUAUACGGUGAACGGUCGUUCAUAUAUGACGGGUUAAUACUUAACUGAUGGUAUUUACCCAAAAUAUGCAACUCUUACUCAAAACAUUGCUCAUCCCACCACUGCAAAAGAAAAAUUAUUUGCGGCAAAACAAUAAUAAGUUAGAAAAGAUGUGAAGCGAGCAUUUGGUGUUUUACAAAGUAGAUGAGAUAUAACGCAAGGACUCAUCCGUUAUUGGUCAAAAGAAGAUAUAUGUAACACAAAGAAACCAUGCAUUAUCCUUCAUAACCUGAUUAUAGAAGCUGAACUUGAAAUUGACAUUGAACCAUGGAUGCCACUACCAUAAGAGAAUUUUCGCCCCUCUCAAUGUGAACGAGAUCCAUCAAUUUUGGCGGCACAUAUCUCAGCACGCCUUAGUCGGAUCCACAAUCGACGAACCAAUGAAAGUUUGAGAUCUGAUCUAUUUAACCAUUUGUCGAAUAUCUACAGAGAAGAAGAUGUCUAAAUAAUCUAUUGCUUUUGAGUAUUUUUAAUUUUAUUUGUGAGUUAUUGUUCUUUUAUUUUCACUUGAAGAAUUAUAUUUUAUAAUGUAAUCGAAUUUAAUAAAAUUAAAUUACUACAAAAAUUAUUGUGACAUUUCUUUUAAUAAAAGUGAUGAAUACGAGAGACAAAUGUGGAGCAAUCAAUAGGACUUCACAUUGUUAUUCAUCUUGAACAAAAAAAGUUGUAACAUCUCUUUUACUAUUAGACAUAAAUUAAUAAUAUUUAAGAAAAAAAAGAUCAAAAUAAAUGCUUCGUGUAUUAUAUUUUAUAAUUGAAUUUAUUAACAUUUAAAUAUAACUUUUUUUAUCGAUAAAUCUAAAUGUAACAUUUCUUUUGCUAUUAAUAUUAAAACCAAUGAAAUUUAAUAUUGUAAUCCCUAAAAACAUAUAAUACAAUCAAAUAAUAAAAUAGAAUUAAACAUCACUUAACAAAAAAGAAAAUAUAUAUAUAUAUAUAUAUAUGUAUAUAUAUAUAAAAUCAAAUAAUAAAAUAAUUAAACAUUAUUAAACAAAACAGAAGAAAAAAAGAAAAAAAAAAAAGAGGAAAAGAUACACGGAUACACGGCACACACUUCAAUGGAUGACAAUUAAAAUAAUGCACAUGGCCCAUCUUUAUCCUGCCCAAACAUUUCUUAAUUGUAGGGAAUAAAUUAAAGAGUCCAAGCCUAGGUGAAGUAGAAGGUGAGGGAGCCAUUUAAUUCUUCUUGGGAUUUGCAGAGGCUAAUUUUCUUUAUUAUUUGAAAAAACUUGACGAAGGAGGAUGGUUGAGAUGUGGUCAAAAGGCAGCGGAAGGUGGUGGAGCAAAUGGCGGGGAAGAGGGUGAUAAGAGGUAAGGAUGGGGUGGAAGGAGUUUUGGUCCAGCUCAUUUGCGGGUCACAAGUGGACGUCAUGUGAAAUGCACAUGAGGUUUCCGUCAAAGUUAUCAGGAAAAUUAGACGGCCGAAACAAAAUUGUCAUAAAGUUGUAAGUUUUAGGAUUAAAUUCGUGACGGCAAAUGUUUGAGAUCGAAAAUUCUUUUAGGUGAUAAGUAUAAGGACCAAAAGUGUAACUAUCCCGUCAAAAGUAACACCAUAUGAGGAUAAUGUAAGACCUUACCUCGGGGGUAAUUUACAUAAAAAAUAAUAUUAUUGCAAUAUUCAGUCAAAUUAGGUAAACUAUCGGUUAUAUUAUGAGAACAUCGGUCAUAUUAUUCAAAAAAUCCAACUAUAUUAUUCAAAACUUCAGAUCAGAUCGUGGAAAAUGAAGUCAGAUUCAGCAACAAAUCAAUAUUAUGUUAGGUUAAUUGCAUUUGGCGACUUAUACUUUGCUUGUUUUUGCACUUUGUCACCUUAGCAAAAAAAUAUUGCACCGGCACACCCAACCCGUUAUUAUGACUUACUUAACCACCUAGGGCGAAUAUUCAGACGAAUCUUCACAAGUUACGGCGCACGCGCAAAGCACAUAACAAUGUAAAUUGAACUUAAUUUGAAAUUUGCCUAAAUUUGAAAUUAAUUAAAAUAAAUCUUUGGAUCUUUUUCUUCCAUUAGAGUUUCUCCCCCAUUAAUUCAAAGAAGAUAAUAUUAUGGUCGGUUGUAAUUACCAGUGCCAAGAAUCAGUUUAGCAGCUAACACAAAUACACGCACACACACAAACUCUUGUCCACGUCCGUCUCUGCCGUAAAACAAAAACUCUUCACAUUCAAUUCAAAAGACACAAACAUGCACCUCCACGAAAAGUUUUUUUUUUUUUCUUUUUUUUCGUUCGCAAGUACUUUGUUCGUUGGAAUUGUGAUCCGGUUCUUUUUUCUUGAUCCUUAAUUUGUUUGCCAAAAAGAGAAAUUUGAGUCGAGCGUCCUAUUUUUUGUAAUUUGUUUUGUUAUUCAUUCAUGUUUUAGAUUUCUGAUCUUUUUUCACUUUCUGCAUUUUUUGACCAAAUGGGAUUUGCCAACAUGUAUAAACCACCAAAUAAAGUUAAGAUAAUAAGCUAAAGUUGUAAGGAACUUUUGGGGAUAUGAUCUUAGUUUGCUUGUGAUUUGAUUUUCGUUUUAUGUAUUCUCUUACUUUCUUGGUUUGUAACAUUUCUUGUUUUCGGGAUUUUUUCAUACAAUAUUGUCCAAAUGUCGAGGAAGAUGGUACGAUUAUCGAUGGGAGGGUUGGACAAACCGAGUAAGAGCGAAGAGGAGAUUGACUAUGAGUCAUGACUUUAAUUUAUUUGUAAUUGGGGAGGUAAUCAAACCCACAGAAAUUAAUUGAAAUAAAGGUCUGGGUUUUCUUUUAAUUAAUUAAUGGGGGAAAACUCUCAUGGAAGAAGGAAGAAGACCCAAAACUUUGUUUUAGUUAAUUUCGUAUUUUGACAAGUUUCAAAUUAAAUUCAGUUGAGUCCUUGAAACAUUCAAUUUCAUCCCAUGUGAUAUUUUUAGGUGAAAAGACGAAAAAACCCAUUUAUUUUAUCAUAUGUUUCAUGCUUGCGCCUGUAUUUGUGAAGAUUCGCGAUAAUAUUGUUAUAGUAGGUGACCAACAAGCCAACAUGUGGCUGUGGUCUUUCGUAUUUAUUAUUGUAAUAAACGAACCUUUAUUCGUAUUAAUGAUAAAAGACCUUGGCAUUCUAUAUCUUUGUCCCUUUGUCACAAGCAUAGAUAUAGUCCUUACAGUUAUUACAAGUACUGGUAAUUGAUCGUUAGGAUCGUGAGAUAUUUACUUAAGUAUUAUAACUGUUAAACGUGUUCCUAGUCGAAGGGUUACGCCACCAAUGAGGAUAUCGGCCUUUCCCAUUAAGAGACUAGCACUUAGUGUAUGUGUACUGCAUCUGAUCAGUAAACGGUAUUGUGAUAUCGGCAUGCAUAAGUGGGUACUCGUAAGUUGGCGAGUUCACUGAACUCCCUCACCCUAGAAAUCUCUAAGUGGUUCCCAAUAAUCGAGUAGAGAUAUCUAUGGUAUAGUUGUACACCAUUAGUCCUUAUGACCUAGACAUCACCGUGACUUCACUAGAGGACCAGUUGUAUCGUGACCUGUCCCUGAGUUCCACCGAGGACCAUCCCAAGGGCCAGUGUUCGUGCAGUCCGAAAUCUAGUGGGAGGUCUGUGCAUUGUAGUCGGGGAUUCGAUCGCUAGAAAAGUCUUGGAUGUCCUGUGUGUUCUGAAAGUUUGUAAUCAUUCUAAGUCUCUGGCCAGAGCUGACUAAGUGAUGAUUAGAGAAUUCGAUUCUCUAAGUCAUGCACGUAAGGAUUACAACACUUAGAACGAUCGCACUGUCAUUGAACAAAUAAAGAGGUCUCGAUGAACCAAUGCCUCUAGUUCAAUCGGGACAUAUGAAUCGAAGGGACCGUACUGUACGUUAACUAUAUCUGAAGGUUCUUGCAGGCACUUCAUUUGUAUCUAGGGAAUCAUGACGCGUAGUUGCUAGACGCCAAUCUUGAUUCGUUGGGUGAUUAAGGUGAAAUGAGUUUCAUCUUAAUCGUAACUCUAAGGGGACGAGUUUUGACCACAAAGGGUUGUGGGCCCACGGCUAGCUUACACCUGAACCAUCGAGGGUCACACUGCUCGUGCACAUGAGAUCUUUGAAUAAACGGUCAGAGAUAAAAUAGUUUAUCUUUGAAUGAUUGGAAGUCAAUAUGAUUGGGUCCAACAUUCGUAAUUUGGAAUUAUGAAUGAGAAUAAGAAAAGGAAAAGAAUAGGCAAACGUAUUAGUGGACUUUCUAAAUCGGGAAGUUUCCAAAUUUAGAAAGUGCACUGAAUUAGGGUUUCCACUUUUGGAAAGUUGGAAUUCGAGAGUUGGCACUCGUAAUGACGAGGACAUUAUAAUGAUUCCGAAAAUGUAAUCGUUACAUUUUUCCAAUCAUUGAAUUGAGAGGGACGAGCAAGUAAAGGAACUAACGAACUUAAGCUGUUGGGCCCGGUCCAACUUAAGCCCGUUAGGGUUUUAUGCAAGACACUAUAAAUACAAGAUUUAUAGGUCCUACAAAAUACACAACACGUCCAAAAACCCUAGCCGCUCCCUCUCUCACGCUCGGCCAUCUCCCCUCGGCCACCGCGCCGUCGUCGCCGGAAAUCGCCGGAAUCGGCCAUCCAUUGGCCGAUCCUUUUGGUAUUUCUUUCCUUCGUUCUGUUCUUCCGUUUUUCUAACUAUUACGUGUCUAGUGCCACGUAUUUAGUAGAUCGAAGUAUACGAGGUGAAAUCCAAGAGGAGGAAGAUCGAAGAAUCGAAGAUGCGAGAAGGCAAUUCUGAAAAACUGCUCUCUGAUUUUCUGCGCUGUCCAGCAAGAAAAUUCGCCAUAAAUCAACCGGUGAUCGGAUGGACGUGAAAUUUUGACAGCAGCUUCAAGACUCAUAAAUAUACAAUUUUCCAGAAGGAAUUGUUCAUCCAGUAAAUAAGCAUGGAGAUAUUGAAGUCGGAGCAAGGCUGUAAUUUCAGAUCAGCAAACAGGUUGGAUCAAUAGGAGUGGGAAGAGCAGCUAGCCAUCUUCUCGAGUCGUCGUUCGAUUCAUUCUUCAAGGACAGCGCGUGAAUCACACGCGCCGCCGUAGCUCGGAUCAUCGCCGUCGAUGCAUUGCCGUUGCUGCCCCGGAUUGCACGGAUUGGUUUCCGUGGCAAUCUAGCUUUGCUUAGUGCGCCUACCUCACGCUUCAAGAGGUAAUGUUUUGAAUCUAUUGUUAUUCGAUUCGGUUACGUUUAAAUUAAUAUAUGCAUGUUCGUUUUAAUAAGAAACUUGUAUGAUUUUAUAUGACUACAUGAAAUUGGUUUUAUUAUUGCGAGCAUGAUUAUUUGAUUUAAACGCGAGCAUGCUAAUUGAUUUAAUUUUGAUUAAGUAAUUAAGCAUGUAUGUUGGUACGCAAUGUAUGUUGUUUUUAAUUUCGCUGGAAACGCAAAGGUACGCAAUUAAUUGUUUUCAAUUAUCGGGCAUGUGUUUAUGUGUUUUAAAGUUGUUUAAUUCGCAUAAAAUUUUUGUUUUCCGCUGCGUACACGUGCCCGUUACCCAACAAAUAUUUGCCCUAAGUGGUUAAGUGAGUCAAAAUAACGAAGUUCGGUGUGCCUGUUUUUUUUUUUUUUUUUUUAGUAAGGUGGCAAAGUGAAAAACCAUGUAAAGAAUAGGUGGAAAAAUGCUAUUAAACCUAAACUUUUCAUCUAAUUAUGCUUUCACAAAUCCAAGUUCCUUUUGAAAGCAAACAACUAGAGCUACAACUUUCGUGUUAGGCGUAUUCGAUGAUACAAAGUUUAUGGUACUUACAGUUACAUAGUAUGCUCAAAAUUGUGCCUGCAUUAUGAAUUGCACUAUUUACAUAGUUUCUUAUUUCUACCAUAACUAUCUCGUCUAAAGUCCAAGUGCCUUGAUACAAAAUGUAUUCAAAAGCCAAAACAAUAGACCUACAAGAAAUGAAUCAGUAAGGAUUUGGGUCUGCGUCUCUCAAAAUUUAAAUUGCAACUCAACGAAAAUUGAAAAAAUGCAGGUGUACUUUUGUAAAAGAGAUGAGGGAACACAAAUUUCAUUCAUAAGAUUGUAAGUUACAACACAAUUAUUCAUGAAUAUCGCUCAAAUUAUAAAUAAAUAAAAACAUUCACGAAUCAAAUAUAUUAAUUUCCGAUUCUUGCAAGACAAUGACAUGUCCAGUAGGGCUCCAGGGGAGGGUCCGGAGCACGGCAAUAUCCUCCGGGGCAAGGAUAGGACCCACAAGACACUUUGCUACACGCAAAAGUACAAACUUCUCCAAGGCAUGGUUCCAUUUUGAAACUUGUUCACCAUUACAAUUUGUACUACACAUUAUUGAAACCAAACCAUAAACAAGAAAAAUAAUUAUUAGUGCUUGCUUCCUCAUUGCUUCCAUUUAGCAGAGAGUGUGCAAUAUUAUAAGCUGUCAUAAUUGUGUCUUUUUAUAGGUAGAAAUAUGUAAUGUUCAAUAAUACUGCAGUUACAUGAUACACUGAUAAAAAAUUAGGUAGGGAGUACUUGAAUUACAUGAUGAAACCAUAAUUCAAACAAAGAUGUAUGCAAUAAUAUAAAUUUUCUCUUUAUAUAAAUAUAAAUUACAAAAUCAACGACAAAAGUAAUAAUUAAGUAUAAAUUACUGUAAUAAAUUGACUAGAUAUUUUUAUUAAUUUGAGUGGACUAUUAUAUUGUAAGGGACUCUCUGAGUUUUGUGCCAUUUCUCAAUGAAGAAAGGUCCACCCAUAUUUUUAGUAUUAAAGAUACAUAGAACCCCUAUUUUGUUUCAAAUUUACCCUCUCCUAUCUUACUCACUGCGUAAUGUUUUUUUUUCUUUUUGUGUUUUCUAAUUUGAAUUCUCUCUCUCUCUCUCUCUCUCUCUAUAUAUAUAUAUAUAUAUAUAUAUAUAUAUAUAUAUAUAUAUAUAUAUAUAUAUAUAUAUAUAUAUAUAUAUAUAUAUUUCACAUUUUUAUUCUUCUUCUAAAUAACUUACAAAAUUACCAUAAUAAACUAGAAUUUUAUUUUUGUGUUUUGGGUUUUUUUUUCUUCUAAAAUCAACUAUAAAAUUACCGUAAAUAACCACAAAAAAGUGGUAUUCAACCACAAGUUUACAAAAUAAAAAUCAAGUAUAAAUUAUCGAAAUCGACUACAAAAAUAUCAAAAAGUUAUCCAAUUCAACAUGUUAACGAAAUAAACUAAAAAGAAAAAACGAAAACACCCAAAUCAUGACUUGUCAAACUAAUGAGCGAAAAGUAAUUUGACUUGUGCGAUGCACGUGGCGGAUAAAAGUUAAUUUUGAUUAAGAUUCAAUUUAAUUAGUUGAUGUGUUCAAGAGAAUGUCAAAUGAAGCAACGUCUUUGGAUAUGUUAAUAAUUUUAUUAGUGCGAUAUAUACUUACUAUUAAGCAAGUUACAUACAACAAUAUCUCAUAUUCAUUAACUUACAAAGCCAACUCAAUUUUCCCCUUUAUAGAUUUUACUACACCCAAAACAAUAAAUUAGAAAAAAAAUGGAUAUACAUGUCAUGCUAGCUCUCAAAGAACUAAGUAGUUAGUAAUGGGAAACAAAUGGGUGACGCUUAUUACACCUUAUAAUAGUAAAGAAACUUAACAUAAUUUUCUAUCAUUAACAUUAUUAGGAGUAAUUGUAAAAAAUGAGCCAAUAAUUGUGAAACAAAAUAAAAAAAAAUUGCUUACCAGUAUUGACACAAAAACCUAGUUCUGAGAUCUUUAUUAAGUUUUUCUCUAAGGAUUUCAAGCAAUAAAGCAACGAAAGACAUGAUCUGCGUAUCAAGAAACAAAACAAAAAUAAAAGGAACAAAUUUACGAUUUUCGAAUCUGUCAAAUAUAUUUAAACUCUUUUGUACUAAUCCUGGAAAUUUUCAGGAAAUCUUCUAAUAUAAUGGAUGUAUGCAGAAUUUGAAAAUUAGUUGAUCUAGGAUAAUUAGAAUAUAUGAAAUCUCCUAAUUUUCGAAAAAUCAACUAAGUUUUAGUAAAAUGAAUUUAAUAAAUAAAAUGUAGCCACAUAACAUGAAAAUCCGUUACUCUAAUGCUAAUACUAAUACUAAUACUAAUACUAAUAUUAAUUAUGAUAUAUUAAUGGUAAUAUACUAAUGCUCAUCCUAAUAUACUAAUGUGAAUGCUAAUGUUAUUAUUAAUAUUAAGGCUAUUCAUAAUUUUAUAAUUAAAAGUUAGUAUUAGUAUUAGUAUUAGUGUUAGUGUUAGCAUUAAUAUUAGUAUUAGUAUGUUGAUACAUUAAUAAUUUAAUGUAACAAAUGUUAGAGUAUGUUAUAUUAUUAGAUAUUUUAGGAUAUUAGGAUUCGGCUACCUAGAUUAGUUAGGAUUUAGUUGCCUAGUCAAACUCUAUUACCUUGCAAUAUUUAUCUAUAUAUAUUCCAUGUAACUUACCCAUAACAUAAUGGGGGUUUCUAUUAUAUUACGUAUUAUUAUUUCUGUCUUUCUCCUAUUCUAUUUUUCCUAUAUGGUAUCAGAGCACCAGGUUUUUUAACCUGGUCGUCUUUCUUCUCCAUGGCGGUGACCACCCAAUUUUCUCCCUCCCCCGGUGAUGGUACUCUAAUAUCUUUUUUUUUCUAUCUUUUCCACGAACAUCACUCAAAUUUCCUCCCUCCCCGGAUGGUGUUACUCUUCUCUUUUAAGUUAUAUUAUUUCCGACAUCUUCUUCUUCUUAGUCGAUUAAUCUCUUUUCUCUCUCUUUAAUCUCUAUCAUUUUUUUAAUAAUUCUUCUUCCCCUCUCAUAUUUUCUCUUUCUCUCAAUUCAUACACACACAAAAGAAAAAAAAAACAAAAGCAAUUUUAUUUUCUCUCCACGUUAUUUUUUUUCUAUCAAUUGGGCAGAUAUUUUCAGAAUGGAAUUCUCUAGCGUUGUGUUUCGCGGUUUCUGUCCAGUCUUCACUUUUAGAGUUUAUUCAUUUCGUCUGCGGGAGCGUGUUAGCAAGUGAUUGUCCGGUCUUCACGUUCGUCACCUUUCGACUGCAGGAGCGUGUUAAAACUAUUUAGCUUUUUAUUUUAUUUUUAUUUUUUUAAUAAUAUUUUUUUAAUAAUUUAUUUUUUUAAACAAAAAAAUGAUUUUUUUUUCUCUACAGGUUUACUACGCCGAAUGUGACCAUAGUUGAAUAUGACUAUAGUCUAAUAUGACUAUAUGUGACUAUAUCAACUGUAGUCAUAUUCUUGAUUUAUAUUGCAGUUUUUUACAUUUUCAAUUUAAAAAUUCUGAUUAUAUAGUCUAGUACAAUCAUGUUUACCAAAUUAUAUAAAAAAACGAAGAUUGCCUAUUAUUUAAGAAACCAAUCCAAUCAACAUCCUUAAAAAAAAUCACAAUUUGAAUCUUGAAACGAUAAGAUAGAACAUAUUCGAAUAUGACUAGAGUUAUAUUCAACAAUAGUCAUAUUCGAAUAUGAUUAUAAUCAUGUUAUUGUUGCUGCUCAAAUCUGAAACUAUAUGUUCACAUUGCUAUAAAAAAAAUAAAGAGAAAUCGAAACAGACAGAAACAAUUACCAAACUUAAAUAUGACUAUAUAUGUGACCACAUAUGACUAUUAUGUAUAUGACUAAAAACAUAGAUUUUAGCCAUUUGGCUUGCAAGUUGCACCAUUUUCAUUAGUGCAUUUCAUAGCCACCGCCACCAUUUAUUCCGAAGUUUCCUCAUCGGAUAUGAAAUAAUGCUCAAACUGCGUCUUUUCAAAAAUAAAAUAAAAUUGACUGAUUAACAACAAUGGGAAUAUCAAAAUCAAACACAAAUGACCUCAACAAAUUUUAAAUGCAAAAUCUCUAAAAGUGAAGACUAAAAAAUGAGAAAAAAUCUCACCAAAUUGUGAUAUAUUCACAAUUUAUAUCCGAAGUUAGGGGGCAGCAAAUUCAAUCUCCUCCAUACAGUAUAUAAAAUAUAUACUCCGAAUACUCUAUCCAAAUGUCGGCCACAUCAAACAGUUCAAUUGCACGAAAAACGCGUCCAAUCUAGCUGCCCUGAAUUAUCUAGUAACAAAAACACCAGCAGCGAGUUUUAAGAUUCGAUCUAUAUUUAGAUAAGUCUGAUUCCGAUCUCCACUAGUCAUAAGUUAUAUUGAUGUGUUACGAGUCCUGUAUAAAAAUAUCAAACCGAUCCGACAGUUAGAUCUUCCGAUCUGGCCUGUGCACGAAAACUGCUGCAUCUCAAAAACUUGAUUUUUCUCCUCUUUUUUCAUCCGCUCUUCGGAAGGAGAAUCGAAACCCGGCGCCGGCGCCGUGUGCGGCUGAGUGGUCUCCAUUGGCGAGUGGUGGAGGAUUAUGGGUCUGAAGAAAAAAAAAAAAAAAGAGAGAAGUUGCGUGAGAAAGAAAGAGAAUGAAAGAGAGAUAUAUGGAGAGUUUCGUCUUAUCACAAUUGUUGAGGGGUGUUUCACUAAUUAAGAUUGGACUUUGGAUGUGGACAAUAGUUUUAAAAGUCAAAUGAGUUUAACUCAUAAUAUUUAUGGUUUGAGGGGGGUUUUGCAUAUUUCUCCAUUAAUUUAAUAGUAAUUGAUAAAAUUUAAUUAUUAAUAUUAAUAUUUUAAAUACAUAGUAGUAAAAUAUAAUUUUUGCUGUUAGUAUAACUGUAAUUUACAUUGACAUAUCAAAUAUGAGUAGCAAAACAUAUGAUAAUAAUAAAUAGUAAAUAAAAAAUAAAAAAUUUUGUAUUUCUGAACAAAUAAAUAAUAAAUAGUAAAUAAAAAAUAAAAAAUAUUAAAUAAUAAAAAUAUAAAUAAUGAAUAAUGAAUAAUAAAUAAUAAAUAAAAAAUAAAAAAUAAAAAAUAAAAAAUAUAAAAUAUAAAAUAUAAAAUAUAAGAGUUAGUAUACGAAUAUCCUACCUUGACAUGUGUGCUAUGAGGUGUGCGUUGCAUCUAUCAUAUAUCUGACACACUAAACAAAGUACCAAACUAUUGUCCCACUCAAAUUUGUCUUACGUUUAUUAUAUCCGUAAUGGUCGUCAUCUCAAACGUCAUACUUUCUAAACCCUAUCUAUGUACACAAAUUAAACUUGACUUUUAAAUUGAAAUUAAUCCAACUAAAAAAAAGUUACUAGAAUCAGCGCCAAUCUCAACCACACACUUCCACAAUUCCUUUCUAUAUAUAGCAAUUAGCAUCUCUCUCUCUCUCACACACAAAGCACCCACUAGAAUCAGCGCCAAUCUCUCUCUUUCUUUCUCUCACACACACACACACACGUAAAUUCACACACACAAUUACAUAUGGAGCAGCAGCGGCACGUGCUGUUAGUUACAUUUCCGGUACAAGGCCACAUCAACCCAUCCCUUCAGUUCGCCAAGAGGCUGACCGCCAUGGGCAUCAAGGUCACCUUCGCCACCAGCCUCUACGCACGGCGGCGCAUGUCCAGAACCGCCGCCGGACUGCCCAAGGGUGUCACCUUCGCCGCCUUCUCCGACGGGUACGACGAUGGGUUCAAUCCCGGAAACGACGAUGCCGGAAAGUACAUGACGGAGAUAAGAAGCAGAGGCUCCCAAAGCCUGAGAGACACCAUCCUCGCCGCCGCCGAGCAGGGCUGCCCCGUUACCCAACUGGUGUACACCCUCCUCCUCCCGUGGGCACCAGAGGUGGCGCGUGAGUUCCACGUCCCGAGCGCCCUCCUCUGGAUCCAACCCGCCACCGUCCUCAAUAUAUACUACUACUACUUCAACGGCUACAGAGAUGAAAUUGCAGCAAACUCGAACGACGCCACGUGGCAAAUCCAAUUCCCGGGAAUUCCCGCCCUUAAUUUUUCCAAACGAGACCUUCCGUCGUUCAUACUUCCGUCGAGCUCCGACAAGCACAGCGUCGAACUUCCGAGUUUUAAGGAGCAGCUCGAAACACUAGACGCCGAGAAAACAAAACCCAAAGUGCUGGUCAACACCUUCGAGGCACUGGAGCCCCACGCGCUCAAAUCCAUCGACAACUACGAGCUAAUCGGAGUGGGGCCGUUGAUUCCUUCCGCCCCUUCAGACAAGUCAUUCCGCGGCGAUCUUUUCGAAAAAUCCGAUGACAACAGCGUAGAAUUAUGGCUCAACGCCAAGCCGGAAUCGUCGGUUGUUUACGUGUCUUUCGGCAGCAUUCUCAAGCUACCGAAAGCACAAAUGGAGGAGAUAGCGAAAGGGCUUUUAGAAUCCGAUAGGCCAUUUCUAUGGGUUAUACGAAUAAACGAGGAUAACAAGAAUGAAGAGGAGGAGGAGAAGUUGAGUUGUUUAGAUGAACUCGAAAAGAUAGGAAAGUUUGUACCUUGGUGUUCGCAGCUCGAGGUACUGACGCACGCUUCGGUUGGUUGCUUCGUGUCGCACUGCGGGUGGAAUUCGACUCUGGAGAGCUUGUCUAGCGGAGUUCCGGUGGUGGCUUUCCCUCAGUGGACCGAUCAAGGGACGAACGCGAAGUUGAUAGAAGAUGUGUGGAAGAGUGGGGUUAGAGUGAGAGGAGUUGGUGGAGAUGGGGUGGUCGAGAGUGGUGAGAUAAAGAGGUGCAUUGAGGAAGUGAUGGAUGGUGGGAAAAGGAGUCGGGAGUUGAGAGCGAAUGCUCGGGAAUGGAAGAGUUUGGCGAGGGGAGCUAUGGAUGAGAAUCGGAGUUCUUGUAAGAAUUUGAAGGCUUUUCUUGAGGAAAAUUGAGCUCCUUGUUUUAGGGUACAUUAAGUGUAUUUACUUUGCUAGAGAGGUUUUGUUUGUCGAAUGUUAAUUUUUGUUAAUUUAAGUGAAGGUUGAAGUUCUUCCUUUUUUUUUUCCCACCUUUUCUUGUUUAACUUUGUGUUGGUAUGUUUAGUUUUUUUAAGUAUAUCAAAAUUUGUAUUGUUUUUUGAAUAUAUUACACCUGGGGGUGAAAACGAUCGAGUCGAGUCGAGUCGACACUAACAACUGGUUGUGAUCAAGCUCUUGUGCAUUUAUAUCGAGUUUUGUGUUUGAGCUUGAUUUGGUAAGCAAUCGAGAAACUCAACACACUCCCAAACUUGAACUUUUGUUUGUCCUCAAACAAUACUACCAACUUGCAAAGCAACAAAAUCAAUAAAUGAAUCAUCUCAUCACAUAGAUUUAAAAUUUACAAGCUUAAAAUUGUCAUGGGACUUCUCAUGAAUUUUUACAAGCUUAAAAUUCAAGGAUAGUUAACUGAUCACCAUUGCCAAGAACCAAAAAUCAUGUUAUCGCUUCAAGCAUCCAAUAUUUGUAAUCUAAAAAGAGAUAAAAUGUAUACUUACAUAGUAAUAUUAGACUCCAAAGACUUACCGAAUUUCUCUACUCUCGAAUAAUUGAGCUAUUGGGAUCAUUUGGUGGCUUUCAAUUGCUGGGCUCUUUGGUGCAAGGUAGAAAAUAUGGGCAUAUAAGUGGCCACUCUUCUCCUUUUCGAUUCUCAUUAUUGAAUAAAGAGUUGCACUGAUCUUCUUAAAUCGAGGUGUUUUCGCUGAAAUUUGAAGAUUUGGCCUUUUGGAAUAGCUUAUUCACCUCUAAUGACUUAUUAUCCUACUCGAUUCUUAAGAGUUCACAAGUCUUCACUUUUGCUCUUGAGGUAUGGUUCGAGUUUUUAUUCAAAUAUUUGCGCAUGUCCUCAUUUUCCCUUCCAGUUCUCUUCUUCUUCGUUCUUUUUCUGAGAAAGAGAAAAACGUAACAAAUUUUCCAGCCAAACUCCAAGGGAUUUUUUUUCAAGAAUCUCCAUCUACUCUACCUUACACGCAUUGGCUAAAACAAAGAACUCCUUUUCUUUGAGGCCCAAAUCAAGGUUCUAAGGAUAAUUUCGAUAAAAAGGUCGGCUUGAAAGGCUUAGAUGGUUCAAAUAAGGCACAAAUCAUAUCCCAAAUCACUCAACGGCUCAAUACUUCACUUUGCAAAUUCCUAAGGUGAGUUCUAAAACUGAACAUUAUAUGAUAUAUCAUAAAUUAACUCCACUUUUGAAAAACAAAAUUUUCAAAAAAAGCAACACAUAAUUCAUGAUUCUCAAUAAUGACUCACUCCUAAAUUACUUUGAAUCGAAAACUCGCCAAAAUUCAAGUAUAGCUACAUGAAAGCACGUAAUAUCAUCAUCAAACAUUGACCAUCUUUCUUCAUCAUAAUUCAUCGAUGCAUUCAACUCAAACAUUUUUUUUAAAGAAAACAAUAAAUAUAUGAAAACGACUAAAAAGAAAAAAAAAAUCCUAAAGCAUGCAAUCUAUAACAUAUUAAGCACAUAAAAAGUGGUUUUCACAAAUAUCCUAAAGCAUGCAAUCUAAAACAUAUAAAGCACAUAAAAAGUAUUUUUCCACCCCCAAACUUAAAGUUUUGCAUUGUCCUGAAUGUAAUUAAAACGAAGUUUAAGGAUAGAAUACACCUUGAUUAGUCGGAAAGUCCUCCACGUGUUGCACUCCUCCAUCUCUUCAUCUUUCAAGCAAACUUUUUCUUUUCAAACUUUUGAUAAACAAAUAAAUAAAAAAUUCUCCAGGGGUGUUCCGGACGGCCGUCUCACCUUUUGCACUGUUUUUUAGACGACCGUCUCAAUUUCCGAACAUUCACAACUUGUCGUAACUUCUUCGGACCACCGUCUGGAGUUUUGUCUUGAUUUUGGGACGGCCGUCUGGCCUUUUUGUGUCCGUUUUUUGACCUAAAAAUUCAAACAUGAUUAAAUUAUUAGAUUGCAAGCUUAUAUAUAUUCUAUGGAAAUUUAACAAAAAAAACUAAAAAAACGAGAAGAAAAAAAAACGAGAAGAAAAAAAAACGAAAAAAACAAUAAAUGCUGGGGUUGCCUCCCGGGAAACGCUAAAUUUUAAAACUAUUAUGUCCAAUCCAAAUCCUUGUAAAUUGUGCAUCCAUCAAUGGGCUCUACAACUUCAAUUGCAACCAGGGCAUGGAUAGCAUUGCAAUAUGUCACAGGGUCCACCUUAGCUUGUAGUCUUUUUUGUUGUAAUCAAUCGGUACGAAGCCAAGAUGGGAUGAUCAUCAGUCGCUCCCUCAAAUCGGUACACAAAAACCUCAACUCUGCCUAUAACAUCCACCUCAAAUGCAUUCGCCUUCUCAUCAACCACUAUUGAUGCCUUCAAUACCACAUCAGGUACAACGAUAAGAUCUUCAAUUUGAAUUUCUGCACUAACCACAUCCAUCUCCUUCUUCUCUUGUUCCGAGACAUCUAUGGAGUUUAGCUCGAUUGCAUUCUCAUAUUCAUCAUCUUUAAGCGUCUUCAUAAUUUAUUUUUUCCUCUCAUCGACACUAUUUUCUAGGUCUUAAGAAUUUUACUCACUACAAGUUUCAGACGAAUUUUCUUUGUUGCAACCAUUCUCAAUAUCGUCUGAACUAUUUUCAUGAAGCCUCUGGAAAUUGAUAUCUUCCAACUGUAUCUCCAGUCUUUGGAUAGAUGCUUGAGUGGAUUUCCUAAAAUUUUCAAGGAUGGAUUUCAAAUAACACUCUUGAAUAGUAGGUUCUCGUGGCCUUGCAUAAUAGGCUUGAAAAUCAUCAAAUUGCGACUCGCGAUGUCGAAUCUAGAGUCAGAAUAAAUGGACAAUGUAUUAUAUGGUUUCGUCAUCUGGAUGAUUUCCUUCAGAUGAAUUUGAAUACAUUAAAUCAUCUAGUUCUUCAUCUUCAUCCUCCUCUUCAGUGGAGGCUCUUUGGAGAAAGAAACUCAAGAAAUGAUUAAUUUUAUUCUUGGGAUAAUUUUGGCAUAUAAGGAACAACCGCAUCAGCGAGAAUAUAUCUAUCAUGAUCGCGAAGAAAGUCAGAAACUAUUACGGAAAUAUUAUUUUUCUGAAAAUUGCACUUUCCAUUUUCUUAUUUUUGCAGACGUUUUAUGAUGCGCAGGGAGUUUUUUUUAUAUUCAAAAUGAUCUUUAAAAUUAUAACGCAUACUUCAUCUAAAAGAGAGAUGCACGCGGUCGUCUUGUCUUAUCAUGUAUUCAAGAAAUAACUACUGUAAUUCCGGUUCUUGCUUAUGGGGCGCGUUCACCAAAUGAACAUGAUAUUCACCGUCUUCUACAAGAAGGUGAAUCACGAAGUUUUCUAGGUAUGCUUGGAUCUUUAGAUUUUAUGCACUGGCAAUGAAAAAAAUGUCCAACUGCUUGGCAAGGCGCACACAUGGGUCACCACCACAAACCAACAUUAAUUUUAGAAGCAGUUACAUAUCAUGAUACAUGGAUUUGACAUUCUUUUUUUGGCAUGUCAGGUGGAAAUAAUGAUAUUAAUGUCUUGGAUCAUUCUCCACUUUUUGAUAAUAUGAUACAUGGUAGAAUACCUCCAGUUCCUUUACGGUGAACGUUCGUUCAUAUAUGACGGGUUAUUACUUAACUCAUGGUAUUUACCCAAAAUAUGCAACUCUUAUUCAAACCAUUACUCAUCCUACCACUGCAAAAGAAAAAUUAUUUGCAGCAAAACAAUAAUCAGUUAGAAAAGAUGUGGAGCGAGCAUUUGGUGUUUUACAAAGUAGAUGGGGUAUAACGCAAGGACUCGUCCGUUAUUGGUCAAAAGAAGAUAUAUGUAACAUAAAGAAAACAUGAAUUAUCCUUCAUAACGUGGUGAUUAUAGAAGUUGAACGUGAAAUUGACAUUGAACCAUGGAUGCCACAACCAGAAGAGAAUUCCCCCCCCCCCUCCCAAUGUGAACGAGAUCCAUCAAUUUGGGCUACACAUAUCUCAGCACACAUUGGUCGGAUCCACAAUUGACGAACCAAUGAAAGUUUGAGAUCUGAUCUAUUGAACCAUUUGUGGAAUAUCUACGGAGAAGAAGAUGUCUAAAUAAUCUAUUGUUUUUUAGUAUUUUUAAUUGUAUUUGUGAUUUAUUGUUCUUUUAUUUUCACUUGAAGAAUUAUAUUUUAUACUGUAAUCGAAUUUAGUAAAAUUAAAUUACUACAAAAAACAUUGUGACAUUUCUUUUAAUAAAAGUGAUGAAUACGAGAGACAAAUGUGGAGCAAUCAAUAGGAAUUCACAUUGUUAUUCAUCUUGAAAAAAAAAUUGUAACAUAUCUUUUACUAUUAGACUUAAAUUAAUAAUAUUUAAGAAAAAAAUCAAAAUAAAUAUUUCGUGUAUUAUAUAUUACAAUUGAAUUUAUUAAAAUAUAAAUAUAAGUUUUUGUUAUCGAUAAAUCUAAAUGUAACAUUUCUUUUACUAUUAAUAUUAAAGAGACUAAAAUUUAAUGUUGUAAUCCCUAAAAAUAUAUAAUACAAUCAAAUAAUAAAAUAGAAUUAAACAUUACUUAACAAAAAAGAAAAUAUAUAUAUAUAUAUAUAUAUAUAUAUAUAUAUAUAUAUAUAUAUAUAUAUAUAUAUAUAUAUAUAUAUAAUCAAAUAAUAAAAUAAUUAAACAUUAUUAAAUAAAACAGAAAAAAAACGAAAAAAGAGAGGAAAAGAUACACGGAUACACGACACACACUUCAAUGGAUGACAAUUAAAAUAAUGCACAUGACCCAUCUUUAUCCUCCCCAAACAUUUCUUAAUUAUAGGGAAUAAAUUAAAGAGUCCCAACCUAGGUGAAGUAGAUGGUGAGAGAGCCAUUUAAUUCUUCUUGUUGGGAUUUGCAGAGGCUAAUUUUCUUUAUUAUUUGAAAAAACUUGACGAAGGAUGAUGGUUGAGAGGUGGUUAAAGGCAGCGGAAGGUGGUGAAGGAAAUGGUGGGGAAGAGGGUGAUAAGAGGUAAGGAUGGGGUGGAAGGAGUUUUGGUCCAGCUCAUUUGCGGGUCCCAAGUGGACGUCACGUGAGAUGCACAUGAGGUUUUAGGAUUACAUUCGUGGCAGCAAAUGUUUGAGAUCGAAAAUCCUUUUAGGUGAUAAGUAUAAUGAUCAAAAGUGUAAUUAUCCUGUAAAAAGUACACCAUAUAAGGAUAACGUAAGACNNNNNNNNNNNNNNNNNNNNNNNNNNNNNNNNNNNNNNNNNNNNNNNNNNNNNNNNNNNNNNNNNNNNNNNNNNNNNNNNNNNNNNNNNNNNNNNNNNNNAAGGCAGACUAAGCAACUCGAUAUUUUUAUUUUAUAUAAAAAAAAAAAAAACACUAAUGUGUUGUUAUGUAUAUAGCUAUAUAGAAAGAGUGGUCCAAAAAGGAAUAUAAUAUUAUUACAUGAGAUGCUAUUACCGAAUAGUUGUAUUGGGAAAAUUGGCUUCAAAGUCAGCUAUCCAGCUGCCUGUGUUACAAGACAACUAACAAUGUAUUGGAGGGGCUGUUUGGUCCUACACAUAUGGGCAUAGGGCUCCAUUUUUAUUCACAAACAAUUUUCAACCUUGUAGGGUUUCAUGUUUUGUUGCUAUAAAAACUUUAUAUAUUUAUAUAUAUAUAUUUAUAUAUUUAUAUAUAUAUAUACAUAUUUAUAUAUAUAUAUAUAUAUAUAUAUAUAUAUAUAUAUAUAUAUAUAUAUAUAUAUAUAUAUAUAUAUAUAUAUAUAUAUAUAUAUAAUCAAAUAAUAAAAUAAUUAAACAUUAUUAAAUAAAACAGAAAAAAAACGAAAAAAGAGAGGAAAAGAUACACGGAUACACGACACACACUUCAAUGGAUGACAAUUAAAAUAAUGCACAUGACCCAUCUUUAUCCUCCCCAAACAUUUCUUAAUUAUAGGGAAUAAAUUAAAGAGUCCCAACCUAGGUGAAGUAGAUGGUGAGAGAGCCAUUUAAUUCUUCUUGUUGGGAUUUGCAGAGGCUAAUUUUCUUUAUUAUUUGAAAAAACUUGACGAAGGAUGAUGGUUGAGAGGUGGUUAAAGGCAGCGGAAGGUGGUGAAGGAAAUGGUGGGGAAGAGGGUGAUAAGAGGUAAGGAUGGGGUGGAAGGAGUUUUGGUCCAGCUCAUUUGCGGGUCCCAAGUGGACGUCACGUGAGAUGCACAUGAGGUUUUAGGAUUACAUUCGUGGCAGCAAAUGUUUGAGAUCGAAAAUCCUUUUAGGUGAUAAGUAUAAUGAUCAAAAGUGUAAUUAUCCUGUAAAAAGUAACACCAUAUAAGGAUAACGUAAGACCCUACCUCGGGGGUAAUUUACAUAAAAAAUAAUAUUAUUGCAAUAUUCAGUCAAAUUAGUUUAACUAUCGGUUAUAUUAUGAAAACAUCGGUCAUAUUAUGCAAAAAAUCCAACUAUAUUAUUAAAAACUUCAGAUUCAAAUAGUGGAAAAUGAACUCAGAUUCAGCAAAACAUAUGUCCGAUCGUUGUUCAAUAUUAUGUUUGGGUUAAUAGCAUUUUGCGACUUAUACUUUGCUUGUUUUUGCACUUUGUCACCUUAACAAAAAAAUAUUGCACGGGCACACCUAACCCGUUAUUAUGACUUACUUAACCACCUUGAGCGAAUAUUCAGACGAAGCUUCACAAAUUCCGGCGCACGCGCAAAGCACAUAACAUUGUAAAUUGAACUUAAUUUGAAAUUUGCCUCAAUUCGAAAUUAAUUAAAAUAAAGCUUUAGAUCUUCUUCUUCCAUCGGAGUUUCUCCCCCAUUAAUUCAAAGAAGAUAAAAUUAUGGUCGGUUGUAAUUACCAGUGCCAAGAAUCAGUUUAGCAGCUCACACAAAUACACGCACACACACAAACACUUGUCCACGGUCCGUCUCUGCCGUAAAAAAAAAACUCUUCACAUUCAAUUCAAAAGACACAAACAUGCACCUCCAAGAAAAGGUUUUUUUUUUUCAUUCGCAAGUACUUUGUUCGUAGGAAUUGUGAUCCGGUUCUUUUUUCUUGAUCCUUAAUUUGUUUGCCAAAAAGAGAAAUUUGAGUCGAGCGUCCUAUUUUUUGUAACUUUUUUUGUUAUUCAUUCAUGUUUUAGAUUUAUGUUCUUUUUUCACUUUUUGCAUUUUUUUGAAUAAAUGGGAUUUGCCAACAUGUAUAAAUCACCAAAUAAAGUUAAUACAAUAAGCUAAAGCAAACGAUUAUUAGAAUACGUUCCUUUACAAUUUGCAUAAAGUUGUAAGGAACGUUUGGGGCUAUGAUCUUAGUUUGCUUGUGAUUUGGUCUUCGUUUUAUGUAUUCUCUUACUUUCUUGGUUUGUAACAUUUCUUGUUUUCAGGAUUUUUUCCUACAGUAUUGUCCAAAUGUCGAGGAAGAUGGUACGGUUAUCGAUGGGAGAGUUGGACAAACCGAGUAAGAGCGAAGAGGAGAUUGACUAUGACUUUAAUUUAAUUUGCUUGUAAUUGGGGAGGUAAUCAAACCCACUGAAAUAAAUUGAAAUAAAAGUCUGGGUUAUCUUUGAAUUAAUUAAUGGGGAAAAACUCCCAUGGAAGAAGGAAGAAGACCCAAAGCUUGGUUUUCAGUUAAUUUCGUAUUUUGACAAGUUUCAAAUUAAAUUCAGUUGAGUCCUUGAAACAUUCAAUUUUUCCAAUGUGAUAUUUUUAUGUGAAAAGACGAAAAAACCCAUUUAUUUUAUCAUGUGUUUCAUGCUUGCGCCCAUAUUUGUAAUGAUUCGCCAUAAUAUUUGCCCUAGGUGGUUAAGUGAGUCAAAAUAACGAAGUUGGGUGUGCCUUUUUUUUUAUUUUUAUUAUUAAGGUGGCAAAGUGCAAAAACAUGUAAAGAAUAGGUGGCAAAAUGCUAUUAAACCUAAAAUUUUCAUCUAAUUAUGCUUACACAAAUCCAAGUUCGUUUUGAAAGCAAACAACUAGAGCUACAACUUUCGUGUUAGGCGUAUUCGAUGAUACAAAGUUUAUGGUACUUACAGUUACAUAGUAUGCUCAAAAUUGUGCUUGCAUUAUGAAUUGCACUACUUACAUAGUUUCGUAUUUCUACCAUAACUAUCUCGUCUAAAGUUCAAGUGCCUUGAUACAAAAUGUAUUCAAAAGCCAAAACAAUAGACCUACAAGAAAAGAAUCAGUAAGGAUUUGGGUUUGCGUCUUUCAAAAUUUAAAUUGCAACUCAACGAAAAUUGAAAAAAUGCAGGUGUACUUUUGUAAAAGAGAUGAGGGAACACAAAUUUCAUUGAUAAGAUUGUAAGUUAGAACACAAUAAUAUUAUUCAUGAAUAUCGCUAAAAUCAUAAAUAAAUAAAAACAUUCACGAAUCAAAUAUAUUAAUUUCCGAUUCUUGCAAGACAAUGACAUGUCCAGUAGGGCUCCAGGGGAGGGUCCGGAGCACGGCAAUAUCCUCCGGGGCAAGGAUAGGACCCACAAGACACUUUGCUACACGCAAAAGUACAAACUUCUCCAAGGCAUGGUUCCAUUUUGAAACUUGGUUCACCAUUACAACUUGUACUACACAUUAUUGAAACCAAACCAUAAACAAGAAAAAUAAUUAUUAGUAUUUUCUUCCUCAUUGCUUCCAUUUAGCAGAGAGUGUUCAAUAUUAUAAACUGUCAUAAUUGUGUCUUUUUAUAGGUAGAAAUAUGUGAUGUUCAAUAAUACUGCAGUUACAUUAUACACUGAUAAAAAGUUAGGUAGGGAUUACUUGAAUUACAUGAUGAAAUCAUAAUUCAAACAAAGAUGUAUGCAAUAAUAUAAAUUUUCUCUUAAUAUAAAUAUAAAUUACAAAAUCAACGACAAAAGUAACAAUUACUGUAAUAAAAAUUGACUAGGUAUUUUAAUUAAUUUGAGUUGACUAUUGUAUUGUAAGGGACUCUUUGAGUUUUGUGCCAUUUCUCAAUGAAGAAAGGUCCAACCAUAUUUUUAGUAUUAAGGAUACAUUGAACCCUUAUUUUGUUUCAAAUUUACCCUCUCCUAUCUUACUCACUGCUUGAUGUUUUUUUUCUUUGUUUGUUUUCAAAUUUGAACUCUCUCUCUCUCUCUCUCUCUCUCUCUCUCUCUCUCUAUAUAUAUAUAUAUAUAUAUAUAUAUAUAUAUAUAUAUAUUUCACAUAUUUUGAGAGAGAGAGAGAGAGAGAGAGAAUUACCAUAAUAAACUAGAAUUUUAUUUUUGUGUUUUGGGAUUUUUUUCUUCUAAAAUCAACUAUAAAAUUAUUGUAAAUAACCACAAAAAAGUGGUAUUCAACCACAAAUUUACAAAAUAAAAAGCAACUAUAAAUUAUCGAAAUCGACUACAAAAAUAUCAAAAAGUUAUCCAAUUCAACUACUUAACGAAAUAAACUAAAAAGAAAAAACGAAAACACCCAAAUCAUGACUUGUCAAACUAAUGAGCAAAAAGUAAUUUGACUUGUGCGAUGCACAGGGCGGAUAAAAGUUAAUUUUGAUUAAAAUUCAAUUUAAUUAGUAGAUGUGUUCAAGAGAAUGUCAAAUGAAGCAACGUCUUUGGAUAUGUUAAUAAUUUUAUUAGUGCGACGUAUACUUACUAUUAAGCAAGUUACAUACAACAAUAUCUCAUAUUCAUUAACUUACAAAGCCAACUCAAUUUUCACCUUUACAGAUUUUAUUACACCCAAAACAAUAUAUUAGAAAAAAAUGGAUAUACAUGUCAUGCUAGCUCUCAAAGAACUAAGUCGUUAGUAAUGGAAAACAAAUGGGUGACGCUUAUUACACCUUAUAAUAGUAAAGAAACUUAACAUAAUUUUCCAUCACAAACAUCAUUAGAAAAAUAAUUGUAAAAAAAGCGCCAAUAAUUGUGAAACAAAAUAAAAAAAAUUGCUUACCAGUAUUGACACAAAAACCUAGUUUUGAGAUCUUUAUUAAGUUUUUCUCUAAGGAUUUUAAGCAAUAAAGAAACGAAAGACAUGAUCUGCGUAUCAAGAAACAAAACAAAAAUAAAGGGAACAAAUUUACGAUUUUCGAAUCUGUCAAAUAUAUUUAAACUCUUUUAUACUAGUCCUGGAAUUUUUCAGGAAAUCUUCUAAUAUAAUGGAUGUAUGCAGAAUUUGAAAAUUAGUUGAUAUAGGAUAAUUAGGAUAUAUGAAAUCUCCUAAUUUUCGAAAAAUCAACUAAUUUUUAGCAUAUAAUGGUUUCAAAAAAUGAAUUUAAUAAAUAAAAUGUAACCACAUAACAUGAAAAUCCGUUACUCUAAUGCUAAUACUAAUACUAAUACUAAUAUUAAUUAUAAUAUAUUAAUGGUAAUAUACUAAUGCUAAUCCUAAUAUACUAAUGUGAAUGCUAAUGUUAUUAUUAAUAUUAAUGCUACUCAUAAUUUUAUAAUUAAAAGUUAUUAUUAGUAUUAGUAUUAGUGUUAGUGUUAGCACUAAUAUUAGUAUUAGUAUGUUGAUACAUUAAUAAUUUAAUGUAACAAAUGUUAGAGUAUAUUAUAUUAUUAGAUAUUAUAGGAUAUUAUAAUUCUAUUAUGAUUCGGCUACCUAGAUUAGUUAGGAUUUAGUUACCUAGUCAAACUCUAUUACCUUGCAAUAUUUAUGUAUAUAUAUUCCACGUAACUUACCCAUAACAUAAUGGGGGUUUCUAUUAUAUUACGUAUUAUUAUUUCUCUCUUUCUCCUAUUCUAUUCUUCCUAUAUGGUAUCAGAGCACCAGGUUUUUUAACAUGGUCGUCUUUCUUCUCCAUGGCGGUGACCACCCAAUUUUCUCCCUCCCCCGGUGGUGGUACUCUAAUAUCUUUUUUUUUUUCUAUAUUUUCCACGAACACCACUCAAAUUUCCUCCCUCCCGCGGUGGUGGUAUUCUUCUCUUUUAAAUUAUAUUAUUUCUGACAUCUUCUUCUUCUUAGUCGAUUAUUCUCUUUUCUCUCUCUUUAAUCUCUAUCAUUAUCUUUAAUAAUUCUUCUUCCCCUCUCAUAUUUUCUCUCUCUCUCAAUUCAUACACACACAAAAAAAACAAAAGCAAUUUUAUUUUCUCUCCACGUUAUUUUUUUUCUAUCAAUUGGGCAGAUAUUUUCAGAGUGGAAUUCUCUAGCGUUGUGUUUCGCGGUUUCUGUCCAGUCUUCACUUUUAGAGUUUAUUCAUUUCAUCUACGGGAGCGUGUUAGCAAGUGAUUGUCCAGUCUUCACGUUCGUCAGCUUUCGACUGCAGGAGCGUGUUAGAGUAUAUUAUAUUAUUAGAUAUUAUAGGAUAUUAGGAUUCUAUUAUGAUUCGGUUACCUAGAUUAGUUAUGAUUUAGUUACCUAGUCAAACUCUAUUACCUUGCAACAUUUCUCUAUAUAUAUUCCAUGUAAAUUAACACAUAACAUAGUGGGGUUUUCUAUUAUAUCACGUAUUAUUAUUUCUCUCUUUCUCCUAUUCUAUUCUUCCUAUAAGAAAUAUGAAAUAGUUUUAACUUUUAUUUAUUUAAUAGACUAUUGAAGUUUACCAUUUAAUUACAAUUAAUAAUAUAAAAAUAUUUCUUAGAAUUAAUAAAAUUAAUUUAGGGGUCAUUAGAAAUAAGCCCCUCAUAUAGCUAAGAAAUGGUGAUACAUGCACUUCUUAAAUCUUUCUUUGUGAUAACCCCUAGAAACGUUAUUCCCAAUAUUACCCUUGUGUUAAUUAGCUAUCCCUAAAAAUCCGCUACCAAAUUUAAAAAAAAAAUUAUUUUUUAUUUUUUUAUUAUUUUCGGAUUUUAUUUAACUUUUUAUUUAUUUAAUUUUUUUAUAAUAUUUUUUUAAUAAUUUUUUUUUAAUAAUUUUUUUUUAAUUUUUUUAAAACAAAAAAAUGAUUUUUUUUCUCUACAGGUUUACUACGCCGAAUGUGACUAUAGUUGAAUAUGACUAUAGUCUAAUAUGACUAUAUGUGACUAUAUCAAAUGUAGUCAUAUUCUUGAUUUAUAUUGCAGUUUUUUACAUUUUCAAUUUAAAAAUUCUGAUUAUAUAGUCUAGUACAAUCAUGUUUACCAAAUUAUAUACAAAAAAACGAAGAUUGCCUAUUAUUUAAGAAACCAAUCCAAUCAACAUCCUCAAAAAAAAUUCACAAUUUGAAUCUUGAAACGAUAAGAUAGAACAUAUUCGAAUAUGACUAAAGUCAUAUUCAACAAUAGUCAUAUUCGAAUAUGAUUAUAGUCAUGUUAUUGUUGCUGCUCAAAUCUGAAACUAUAUGUUCACAUUUCUAGAAAAAAAAAAAAAGAGAAAUCGAAACAGACAGAAACAAUUACCAAACUUAAAUAUGACUAUAUGUGACCAGAUAUGACUAUUAUGUAUAUGACUAAAAAAACAGAUUUUUGUCAUUUGGCUUGCAAGUUGCACCAUUUUCAUUAGUGCAUUUCGUAGCCACCGCCACCAUUUAUUCCGAAGUUUCUUAUCGGAUAUGAAAUAAUGUUCAAACUGCAUCUUUUCAAAAAAAAAAUAUUGCCUGAUUAACAACAAUGGGAAUAUCAAAAUCAAACACAAAUGACCCCAACAAAUUUUAAAUGCAAAAUCUCUAAAAGUGAAGACUAAAAAAUGAAAAAAAAUCUCACCAAAUUGUGAUAUUUUCACAAUUUAUAUUCGAAGUUAGGGAGCACCAAAUUCAAUCUCCUCCGUACAGUAUAUAAAAAUAUAUACUCCGAAUAAUCUAUACAAAUGUCGGCCACAUCCUAGGUUCAAUUGCACGAAAAACGCGUCCAAUCUAGCUGCCCUGAAUUAUUCAGUAACAAAAACCAGCAGCGAGUUUUAAGAUUCGAUCUAUAUUUAGAGAAGUCUGAUUCCGAUCUCCACCAGUCAGAAGUUAUAUUGAUGUGUUACGAGUCCUGUAUAAAAAUAUCAAACCGAUCCGACGGUUAGAUCUUCCGAUGUGGCAUCUGCACGAAAACUGUUGCAUCUCAAAAACUUGAUUUUUCUCCUUUUUUUUCAUCCGCUCUUGGGAAGGAGAAUCGAAACCCGGCACCGACGCCGUGUGCGGCUGCGUGGUGGAGGAUUAUGGGUCUGAAGAAAAAAAAAAGAGAAAAGACGUUGUGUGAGAAAGAGAGAGAAUGAAAGAGAGAUAUAUGGAGAGAAUUGAUGUAAUCCUACAAUCACGUGAAACGGUUAUGGAAAAUAAAAAUAUUGCAAUUAUUUUAAAAACUACUAAUAAAGAUAGUUUCGUCUUAUCACAAUUGUUGAGGGGGGUUUCACUAAUUAAUAUUGGGCUUUGGGUGUGGACAAAAGUUUUAAAAGUCAAAUGAGUUUAACUCAUAAUAUUUAUGGUUUGAGGGGGGUUUUGCAUAUUUCCCCAUUAAUUUAAUAGUAAUUGAUAAAAUUUAACUAUCAAUAUUAAUAUUUUAAAUACAUAAUAGAAAAUUUAAUUUUUGCUGUUAGUAUAACUGUAAUUUACAUUGACAUAUCAAAUAUGAGAAUCAAAACAUAUGAUAAUAUUUUAUUGGCUUGUUGGAAUUAUAUAUUUGCUCAUGAAGAUUGAUAAAAGAAUGUAAAUCACUUACACUCUUGGAAAUACUCUAAAGAAGAUGAAAGUGUAAAAUUAUAAAGCAUAUUGAUACGGACUAAAUUGUCCUCACGGGGUUUCCUAACUAUUUAUUGGGCCGUGGAUUGAGUUUUCACUUAUAUUUGGCCCAAAGUCAUAUCAGGCCCAAGAAGAGGAGCUAUGGCAAGUUUGUUUAUUUCUUGUCCAUCAAGUAUCCUCACAUAUAAAUAGGGAGUUACUCUCAACCUUUCACUUCUAUGCUCUCUCUUAUAUAUCACACUCGAUUAUCUCUAGAUAAAAACUGACUUGAUCGUCGGAGCUUCUACGCCGGCAAACCCCUCCCGGCGUUGCAGGUACCCCUCCGGCGGAAUCCCAGACAAGCUAUCAUCCAAAAUAUCUUCCAAGGAGGACACGUCAUCAUCUCGACCAUUUUGGAGUAAAUCAAGUGGCGCCGUCUGUGGGAAAAAUCUCGAGCUAAGACGUGAGAUGAUUUGAUUUUUGGGAUCUUCUCCAUGAGGUUGGAGAUAAUGAGCUGCAAGAUCGAAGAUCGGUUCAGUGUAGUUCUUGGGGAGUUUUUUAAGGGAAACCAAGAAAUGGGCUCAAAUCUUGUGCUUGGAAUCCAGAUCUGAUGAAUCGAUGAAGUACAAAGAGAAGAAUCUAGAAAUAAAUAUUGCCCUAAUGGCUGAACUCGACAAAAAUCUAAAGAGAAAAAGAAAACAGAGUAGAUUCACAAGAUAAACAACAUGAAACGAGUCCAAAUUCCGAGUCAAGAGCUUGACGAAUCAGGGUGGGAAAAGAAAGGAGGCCAAGAAGUUACAUAGGGACAUUUGUUGAAGCUUGUCAAACACCGAGCAAGUUAGCUUCAACUUUAAGUUGGCAAAACAGUGGAGAACGAAAGUUGUAAGAAGCUGACUUCCUUGGAACCUGGAUUCAACACCGUCUCAGUGCUCGUUGAUCCAUGUCCACCGAGCUAAGUCUCGCCGAUCCCGUCGACCAAGCAAAGUCUCGCUGACCCAUGUCUGCCGAGCCAAGUAACGUCGACCUCGUCUGUCGAGAUCGAAUAUCGAAAAACCACCACAUGUGAAAAGAUUGAGGUCGAGAAGAAUCGGGAAGAGAAGGGGAAAAUUUCAAAGUUCCCCUGUCCCCUCGUAUGAUUUUCCCUAAAUCUAUAGACCCACCCGCAAGCUGUUCGAUAUAAGUCCCCAAAGAGCACACUCUGGGCUGAACACUUCGCCCAUCGGAUUGCAGUUGCACCAGAGAUUUUAUGACCUGGUCAACUUCCAAGGCUGGAAUCGAGCUCCAUGUUUGUCUUGAAGUUGUUGGAAAGAGGAACUCGUGAUUUUUUAUGUCUAUUGAAAACGCGCAUCUGUAUCUGAACUACAACUAAAGCUUUAGCAUGACGGUUCUCUUUGAAAGCAAAAAAUUGUGUAGAAAUUAAUAUCAAGGCGAUUCUCUUCGCCCGGGUUCACUAUUCUGGCUGCUCGCACCUGUGUUAUGGAUUGGAACCUCCAAAAAAAAAAAAAAAAAAAGGGAGAACGAACAAAAAUGGAGGAGUAUGCCGACCCAUGUCGCAUUUGUGGCAGGAUUAUGAGCACUUCGAAUUAUUAGUUUUGUUGAUAAUGAAUUUUCAGUUUUAUGAAGCAAUCUUAAACGAUUGUUGAAGAAUGCUGGAUACCGACAAUUUGUGGUUGGCUAGACCGAAGUGAAAGAUGGAAGUCCUGAUGGUGCACAUAAACUGUUUGAUCGAAGGUCCAGGAGAACAGCAGGCUUUUGCUGGCACAUUUUAUGAAAGCAUAGCCGCGACUUCGUUUUAUAAAUCAUAUCUUGGCCAGACCGUAUGCAACAGGUGACCCUGCUGCAUAGAAUCAAACAAAGUUUGCGGAAAGGAGUGAGAUAAAGACAGAGCUCAUCGACCAAUUGAUGUAUAUUUUGGGUUUAUAAGACUAUGGCAGUCGAGCUGUACUUUGAGAAGCUGGGGCGAGCUAUUACCGAGUAAAUGUCUUACUGAGAGAUGGGAAUAACGACACAUUAGCAUUUGACAACACAACUAUCGAUGAGGUAUGAUAUUAAACAUCAAAUUGGGUGGCAAGAGGAAAUCGAAAUGAUUCUUGAACGAGACUUCUUCCCAAUUAUCGAGACAGUGAGGCAAUCUGACAUCCGAGAAAGAUGUUUGGGCAGAGGUCGUUCUGGCCCAUGAAAACUCAUUACAAGUGGGAAGCAUUACAAUACUACUUGUGGAAAUAUGAGAUAAGCUUAUAUUGGAGCUCAAUCUUGCAUGAGUUCGAUGCGGCUCAGUACGAGACGAGACGGGAUGACUCAAUCACGGCAUAAAGACACUAAACAAUUGGAUCUAUGAUUUGGUUUUCAUAGGAUGGUGCUCAAGAGUUUCUGAAAAGAGGUGUGGAAUAAUAAUUCUUCCGGGGUCUUGUGUCGUUUGUUAGUUCGGAGCUAACAAGCACAAAAUUGUCAAUUGAAAUUGACUCGCACGGUGUUCAAAGGAAAUUUCCGUUGAAAAGUCACCCAUCAAAGAUAUAACUCGGAGGAGUGGUAGAGUAUCAAUAUAUGCCCAGAAAAAAUGCAAGGUAUAUCUCCUCCAGACCCGAGAGCAACUUCAGCCCAUAUUUGUCAACGCGAAAUCUACAAUGGGAUUGAUAGAAAGUAAGAAGAAUUGAAGAUUUUCUUUACCACGAGAUGAAUAUUUCGAAGUCGCGAGCUCAAUGAUGGGACAAACCUUUCCAAGAGCUCGGUACAAAUCAUUCACAAGGCUCUUUUUUUUAUUUGGUUAAUGUCUCAAUCAACUUGAGGACUAUCUGUAUAUAAGCUCACCAUACUCACGAAAGAUUCGUUGGUCAGCUCGCAAAUUAUUUCCCUCGAGUUUCUAGAAGAGCAAAUCUAUUUGUAAUAGCUCUAAUUGAGAAAGGUCGACUGGACUAUUCUCAACGUGAUUUUCCUGAAAUUGGAUUUCUUUAGCUCGAAUAUUUUCAAAAGUCAUCCCUUGCAGCUCAAAUUUCCUGAAGUUUGGAUUUAUUUCUAAAACAAUGAUUCUUGGGGCUCGUGUUUAUUGCUUGGAGCACCAAUAUAUUACUUAGAAAUGUCUUGUCAAGGAACUCACAUUUACAGAGACAGUCUUCUUGAGCAACUUAUGGUUGUUAAAAAUUCUCCGAGAUUUGAAUUUUUCAGAGUUCGCUCUUCUUGAAGCUCGAAUUUUCCUCGUACAUCUCAAACUCCGGGAAAUAUUUCUUAAAGCUCUUAAAAGGCCAGAGUUAUAUCUCAACACAAAAGCGAGUAAUUAACGAUCUCGUUUACCGCUGAGCCCGUUUCUUAUCUCGAAGUGGAAUUCUUUAAGGCUUGUAGUUCUCUACUACCUCGCACUGGUCAUAUGAACCUCGCUCGCCAUCUCGAGCAUAAAGUUACGAAGGAAGAAACCUCUCCUAAUCACCUCCCGAGUUGGGUAUGAAUCCUUGUGGUUAUCAUUUCGGAAUUGGUAAAUGGUUUCCAAGACGGAUUAGCUGAGUGCCACUACACACCAUAAUGAGAUAAUUACAAGAUAAGGAGUUGUCUUGCGCAUUCUCUACUUCAAACUCGAGCUAGGAUAUGGUCAUUGCGAGUUAAAAACAAGAAGCUCGAUCCCUCGAGCUCGUCUUCAUCGGGAUUUUUUGGAGGCUCGUAUUACAGCUUGCAUUCCUCUUGCACAACUCAUAUAUCAUCCGGAGGAUCUCGACACUUCGUAAAUUUAUGAAAUCAACAUGAGACCUAUCAGACUUCUACGAGUUGACAAAGAGCAAAUUUUGAAGCUCACAAUCACAACUCAUGCCUCAGAUUUAUCUAUGGUAAUCGGAAUUUUCGUCAGUCAUAUUUACUUCGAGAAACUUGAACUCGUCUCGUGAAGCGGGACCUCGGGAACUCAACGAUCUUGCAUGAGCUCGAUGCGAUCAAAACAAAACAAAGCAACACAAUCAAAGCAACAUACACUAAAAAGAGACGAUUAUCCAAACCCUUUUGGAUAUAUGAUGGUGUUCAGUACCGAGAAUCUUGUGCCACUGGUUAGCUUAGCGUUGACAAGCAUGGGAUUGUCGGUCAAAAUUUCUUCACAUGGUGUUCCAAAGGAAAAUGUCUUGUGCACUACACAUUCACCCAUCGGAGAUAUAACUUGGGGGAGUGGUACAUGAAUUGAACAAAAACUAAAGUACCGACAUAUGUCUUUAUGUCCAGAAUAAUAGAAGUUACAUCUCCUCUGGAGCCAAAAGCAAUCUUAGCUCGCAUAUGUCGACAUGAUCUACAUCGGGAUUACACAAAAAAAAAAAAAAAAAAUAGAUGAACACUUUGAGCUCGCGAGCUCAAUGGUGGGACAUAAUUCUCCAAGAGCCUGCUGCAUGUUAUUUACAAGCCUUUUCGGUUGGGCCAGCCAUCUCAAUCAACUGAGGGGUUCUGAAUACCCACUAUUUAUAAGCUCAAUCUUCUGAGAUCUCGAUCUUGAAUGAGUUCGAAUAUGUCUCGUGAACGAUUUGGGCUCUCUAUAAAGCUCGACAAUACUCAUAUUUAUAAGUUGCGAGUUGAUGGUUUUCACAAAACCCGAAACUAAUUCCUUGGCAGGGCGUUUUUCAAGAUCACAUUAUUCUCUCGAAACGAAUUCUUGAAGUCCGUAUUGAUCGCUUGGAGCUUGGCCAGCUGACUCCGAGCCAGAUUUCGCCGACCCAGUGCCUGUUGAGCUGAAUAUGUCGGACCCAUCACUUAUGCAAAUUUGGUUCUUUACUCAGCACCACCUCCGCUGAUGCAUAUUGAGUCGGAACCCGUCUGAGGGAUGUAUUCGGACAACCAGGUUUUCUUUUCUCGGUUGGUGGCGGGAUGCUUAAACUCGCCUCUCUAAACCUGACCAUCUAAGGUCACCGACCAGCAUGGGUAUUCGGGCGCCACAGGCCUAGACCUUACCCCUUAGCUCGGUAUUGCUUCACAGAUAUCCAUGCCUUAUUAAUUCAAGGGCUCGAAUUUUCUUUCAGAUACCCCGGAAGAUCCCUCGAGGCACAAAGUUUAUUCCCAUGAUUUAGCGGGGCUGGGCUUUCUUGAAGUUCGGAGUUCUCGGAAUGAACUUGACGCUUGGUGAAACCUUGAAGCUCGCACUCACAACUCACACCUCAAAUUCAUUUAUGGUAAUUGGACUUUUUGUCGCUCACAUUUAUUAAGAGAGGAGAUUAUGUGAGAAGAGAAGAUACACGCCAUAUCUUUAUGGUGUUGUGAGGCUUCCACCUCAACAAGAGAUCGCUACGAGUCGAGGCGAUCAAGUUUUAACACCACCAGGUUUAUCGGAGCUCAUAUUUCUAUCUUAAAAUGGGGCUCUCUCCUAGCUCGCAUUCUCUACCUAAAGCUCGGAGUUAUCCCCUCGGCGAGAUUGCUGAAAACUUACUUUAUCCCGGGAGAUCGCGUUCACAUUGCUCGCACUUCUAUGCCAAUUCUCCCACAACUCCGAGCCAGAUUUCGCCGGCUCGAACGUUGCUAUCUCGGUGCUCUCUAACCGAAUCUCGCCGACCCAAUGCCUGUCGAGGCCGAAGUUAUUCUCGUACAUAAAAGCGAGUUAUAAAAGCGGGUACUUAACGAUCUUGUUUGCGGCUGAGCUCGUUUUCUUACCUCGAAGCGGGAUUUUUCGAGACUUGUAGUCCUCUCCUAUCUUGCAUUGGUCCUAUGAAGCUCGCAUCGCCACCUCAAACACGAAUCUAUGAAAGCUCGAACCUCUCCUAAUAUCCUUGCGAGGUAAAUUCUCUAUUAAAUGAUGUGUCUAUACCUCCAUGGCAAUAACUCUUUGCAUGCUGAAAAACACUUCGAAAAAUGCAAGUUACUCAACAAGUGUUGAACUAUUGCUUGAGUAAGGUCAGUAUAUAGAUUAUUUUUCAUUGAACUAUCCUAUCACCUGGAUAAGUCAUGUGUGGGGUGGAAGGCAUGAAACAUGAAAUUAUCCAUCACCUGGAUAGAAUAUAUUAAUACAAUAAUAACUAAUGGAUCGGUGGAAAAGUGAAGCGUUAAAUCGCGCAAAAAAAGGCGUUAAAUCGCGCAAAACGAGUCGUUUAAUUGAGAAUAAAUAAGGCGAGAUAAGUGCAAAAAUGAAGCACUUAAUCGCCCAAAAAUGAAGCGUUAAAUCGCCCAAAAAAAAGGCGUUAAAUCGCGCAAAAUGAGUCGUUUAAUCGAGUAAAAAUGAGGCGAGAUAAGUGCAAAAAUGAAGCAUUUAAUCGCGCAAAAAUGAAGUGUUAAAUCGCGCAAAAUUAGUUGUUUAAUCUAGAAAAAAACGAGGCGUUAAAUUGAGCAAAAAUGAGUUGUUAAAAUAUGCAAGAAUAACCUAUCAAAUCGAGUAAGUAAAUUGCUAGAGACAUUCAAGCCAAUACGGCAAGAUAAGCGCACGAGUCAUACAAUCCGAGAAAAAACGAUGCAAGAUGAAAAGACAACACGUGAAUAAUACUCAUAGUCUAAUCACGACUUUUAAUUUAGACUUCGGAGAAGGGGGGAGUAGUUGAUACGGACUAAAUUGUCCUCACGGGGUUUUCUAACUAUUUAUUGGGCCGUGGAUUGAGUUUUCACUUGUAUUUGGCCCAAAGUCAUAUCAGGCCCAAGAAGAGGAGUUAGGGCAAGUUUGCUUAUUUCUUGUCCAUCAAGUAUCCUCACAUAUAAAUAGGGAGUUACUCUCAACCUUUUACUUCUAUACUCUCUUUUAUAUAUCACACUCGAUUAUCUCUGGAUAAAAACUGACUUGAUCGUCGGAGCUUCUAUGCCGGGAAACCCCUCCCGGCGUUGCAGGUACCCGUCCGGCGGAAUCCCAGACAAGCUAUCAUCCAAAAUAUCUUCCAAGGAGGACACGUCAUCAUCUCGACCAUUUUGGAGUAAAUCACAUAUGAUAUUUCAAUGCAAAACUGCAAGACCUUUCAUCAGCCUGACAAUCCUUUUGUUUUUAUGUUUGAAGUAAUUAAUUCCUAAAUUCAUUGUUUUUAUGUUUGAAGUAAUUAAUUCCUAAAUUCAGUGUACGAGGCUGGCUAAAAUUUUGUAUUUCUCAACAAAUAAAUAAUAAAUAGUAAAUAAUAAAUAAUAAAUAUUAAAUAAUUAAAAUAUAAACAAUGAUUAAAACAUAAAAAAUAAAAAAUAAAAAAUAAAAAAUAAAAAAUAAAAGAGUUUGUUUACGAAUACCUAACCUUAACAUGUGUGCUGUCAGGUGUGUGCUUCUAUCAUAUAUCUGACAAACUAUUAUUGUCCACUAAAAUUUACCCUUUAAGCCCUUUAACAUCGUCUGUUGUUCAUCGAUUGUUGUUUGUGAUUUCUACAAUGGUUCAAAUAUAAUUUAGUUUUGGUAAUCAACUGUUCUAUCAAGUACGGCCGGUUUAUCGACAAUAACAGUUAAAAUUGGAUUAGAGAUCAAAAUUAAAUAAUUAAUGAAAUUUGGAUUUAAAUUAAAAUUAAUUAAAUUUUAUUAAAGAAAUUUGAUUUGAGCCUCUUAAAUAAAUAGUGCAUGACGAGCUUAUUUAUAAAAGUCUCUUAAAAAAAUAGGACGAAUGUCAAAAAGGUCCAUCACAUGGAGCUUAAAUGUACAUUGGUUAAAAAAAAAAAAAUAGUCUCUCAAUUGAACUCAUCCUCAUAUCUUUAGUCUAAAAUAUCCUCCAAAAUAUAUUUUUUUAUCAAUUACAUCCAUUAUUCUCUAACUUCCUUAAUAUUACACAUUGACCCCGAAUUUAAACAAAUAUAUCACAUUAACCCCCAAAAUAUUAUUUUUUUUAGAAAAUAAUUUUUUUUUCUGAAAUUUUUUUUCCGGCCAGAUUCUAGCGUAGACAUUUUUUUUUUGAAAACUUGUUUUUUUCCUGAAAUUUUUUUUCCGGCCGGUCAACCACCGUUGACCGGCGGUCUCCAACGUUGACGUUUUUUUUUUCGAUUUUUUUUUCUUAGAAAAAACAUAUUUUAAUUAAUAUUACUGUCUUGGCUACUAAAUUACUGUCUCAGACAAUAAUAUUACUGUUUGGGACAGUAAUAUUAUGAAUAUUAUUUUCCCGAACAGUAAUAUUAUUGUCUAAGAUAGUUAAAUUAUUGUUGGAGACAACAAUUUAGCAGCCAAGGCAGUAAUAUUAAUUAAAAUAAUUUUUUUUAAGAAAAUAAAUUUCAAAAAAAAAAGGUCAAUUAGCAGUUAAAUUACUGUCUCCGACAGUAAAAUAACUGUUGGAGACCAUAAAUUAGCAACGAAUACAAUAAUAUUAAUUACAAUUUUUUUUAAGAAUAAAAAAGUCAAUUAAUAGUUUAAUUGUGAGGUGUGUGUGCAUCUAUCAUAUAUAUAUCUGACACACUAAACAAAGUACCAAACUAUUGUCCCACUCAAAUUUGUCUUACGUUUAUAUCAGUAUUCGUCAUCUCAAACGUCAUACUUUCUGAACCCUAUCUAUGUUGUAUACAAAUUAAACUUGACUUUUAAAUUGAAAUUAAUCCAACUAAAAAAAAUAACAUAUCAACAGAAUCACAACCACAAACUCCCACAAUUCCUUUCUAUAUAUAUAGCAAUUAGCAUAUAUAGUGAUAUAUUCUCCAAUCCUCAUGUCUCUUUCUUUCUCUCACACACACUCGCACGUAAAUUCACACACACACACAAUCAUGGAGCAGCAGCGGCACGUGCUGUUAGUUACAUUUCCGGCACAAGGCCACAUCAACCCAUCCCUUCAGUUCGCCAAGAGGCUGACCGCCAUUGGCAUCAAGGUCACCUUCGCCACCAGCCUCUACGCACGGCGGCGCAUGGCCAGAACCGCCGCCGGACUGCCCAAGGGGGUCACCUUCGCCGCCUUCUCCGACGGGUACGACGACGGGUUCAAUCCCGGAAACGACGACGCCGGAAAGUACAUGACGGAGAUUAGAAGCAGAGGCUCCCAAAGCCUGAGAGACACCAUCCUCGCCGCCGCCGAGCAGGGCCGCCCCGUCACCCAACUGGUGUACAGCCUCCUCCUCCCGUGGGCGCCAGAGGUGGCGCGUGAGUUCCACGUCCCGAGCGCCCUCCUCUGGAUCCAACCCGCCACGGUCCUCAACAUAUACUACUACUACUUCAACGGCUACGGAGACGAAAUUGCAACAAACUCGGACGAUCCGACGUGGCAAAUCCAAUUCCCGGGAAUUCCCGCCCUUAAUUUUUCCAAACGAGACCUUCCGUCGUUCAUACUUCCGUCGAGCUCCGACAAGUACACACUUCCGAGUUUUAAGGAGCAGCUCGAAACACUAGACGCCGAAAAAUUGAAACCCAAAGUCCUGGUCAACACCUUCGACGCGCUGGAGCCCCACGCGCUCAAAUCCAUCGACAACUACGAGCUAAUCGGAGUGGGGCCGUUGAUUCCUUCCGCCCCUUCAGACAAGUCAUUU
rnacentral:lncRNA from 1 species